UAAUAAAAUAAAUUUGCCUCAAUUGAGGCAUUAACUGUUGCCUCAAUUGAGGCAAAAAGCUUCCGCAUCCCUCGGGUUUGCGUAAUGCGGCCCCAUGCCUCAUUAUGCUGCAUUAUAAUGCAGCAUAAUGAGGUGUCAAAUUUUGCCAAACAUGUUCUUGGUAAUAAACUAAUGUGAAUAGUAGUAUAAUACCACAUAAUCUCAUGCACCAAACACGCCCUAUGUGUAUUAUUCACGGUAUCUAUGAGGGCUUAUCCUUUUGCUAGAACAAACUCUAGCAAAUUGUCAAAUGUGCUUAUCCUUUCCCUUGACGACUCAUUUUAAAAUUGUCACUCAUUUUAAAAUUGUCUUUCAAUGCACAAACACAGACAUAACCGCCGACAUCGAGCACCAAGUUUGGAAUUUAAUUGAUAAGCAUACAUUUGAUAAAUUAAUGAAAAGUUUGGAGAGUAGUUUUGAUCACCCUUGAUUAGGACGGUAUUACAAAAAAGAUCAAAAAGAAAACAUCGUCUCUCUUCACAAAAAUAAAUAUUUUCCGUUAGAAUUUAAUACAAUAAUAUUUUUUUUGAUUAAAAUUUAAUUAAAUACACAAAUAAAUUAUAUAUUUUUUAAAAAAAUUUACACCCAGUCACAAGGCUGGCUAUUAAACUUAAAGGGUGGAAGCUUCGGAGACUAAAGUUGGUAACUUCUCCAAGUGGUCUUAAGUUGACCGGAACUACCCAGACUUUAUGUUUGGUAGCCUAGACCUGAUCGGACCUAGGCCCAAGUUUGGUCUUAAAGUCCACAAUUAAAUUAAAAAAAAAUUAUUUGAUUUGUAAUUGAUUUAUGGGGAAUGAAUCCGCAGCCCUAAAAUUACACCAAUCUUGACAUAAUGACAUCAUCGGUUAAAAACGUUCAGAUUUAUGGUUAAUCAAUGGUUUGAGAUUUGUUAUCAUUAAUGCUAGAUAUUUUUUAACAUUUUUUUCUAUCUCUCUUCUCCUGAAGGAUUUUCUAGGAAAAUGCAUCCACAACAAAAAUUUUAAAUUGUAAACAAUAAACAGAGUAUAAACGUUAAAUCUAAGGAACAUCGCUGCAUUUCAGCUGAAGCGAACUUUAAUAUUUUACGGAGAAAAAUAAUUAAGUCUUUAAUGUGAUUUAUUGAUUAAUAUAUAUGACUAAUUUUUUAAAAGAAGAUGAAGGAUGAAGCUUAAAAAUAUAAAUUAUAGAAUUAAUUUAUCUCUUCAAUAAAUCUAAAGUUUAUUUUUUUUAUUACAUGCUUCUAUUUUAUUUUUAUUCCAUGUUAAUGAAUGGAGAUUUAAAUCCAUUUUGGAUUUAUAAAGAUGUUUAGAUAUUUAAAUCCACGUGUGAUUCCAAACUUGAACCUUUUUUUUUUUUUUUUCUAAUUAAUGCAAACAGCCGCCUCUUUGACUGCUUUUCUUCUUUGUUUAUUAAUUAAUUAAUUCAGCUGCCCACCUUUCUUUUCCUAAUGUUUUCUACUCCCAAAUUUUUUUAAGGACAAGGCUACGUUGCAGACGCUGUACCUAACAGCUGCACCUUCGCCAGCUUAAAAAAGGGUGCAUUUGGUAAGCAACUUUUCUUUCGUGUGCAUAUGUGUCCUGCCACCAUUGGGUGUGUACGUAACAGAUAAUGUACCGUAACAAGCUCCUAUUUUUAAAUUUGUUUAUAAUGAUAAAAUAUAAAAAUUAAGAUUAAAAUGUAAUGUAAUGUAAAAUUAAAGGUGGAAGAGUAUUAAAAUAAGGCUAAACCUAUGUUACGUUUAACGUAACAUACAUUUAAAUAUAUAAAAUAUCAAUGGAAACCCUCAAAUUUUAUGGAAACUAUAUUAAUAAAAUUAAAAGAAAUAUUUUUAAAUCUGAAAGAAGAAAUAAAAGAUAUAAAGCAAGAGAUAGGAAAACUAAAAAUAGAAAUAUCUGUAAAAGAAAAAGGAAAAGAAAAAUUAGAAAUAAAAGAAACAACUCCAACUGAAUCGAAUUCAGACUAAUGGAAGAUGUAUUAGAAACUUUAACUGAAAAAUUCAGUGACAUAAAUCUUAGUGAUUUAGAAGACUUUGAAAAAGAAUAUUAGAUAAAAAUGAAUACUGCUGGAGGACCAGAAAUGAAACCUAAUGUAGCAUAACCAAGUCAUAGAUAUGGUAUAAAUAAAAUGAAAAAUAAACCUUUUUACGAGUAUAUACCUCCUAUUAAAAAUACUCCUUGGAAAAAAGAAUACAAACCAAAUCAAGAUACAUUAACCCCAAUAAAUAAUGCUGGAACAUUUUUAAAUCUAGAUUGUAAGAUAGACAUUCGAAAGGCGUUAGCAGAAUGGGUGUUACAAAUGAAAUUAUUUUUUAUAUUUAACGGGUCAAAGGAUGACUAGAAUGUAGAGACUGAAGAAGAAAAAAUAGAUAUAUUUGUUGAAAUCUUAAUAGCCAGUUUUUCAGGAAAUGUGUUUAAUUGGUGGAGAGGAUUAAGCGAUGAUACACAAAACUUAAUAAAAGAUUCAACCAAAUAGCAUUUAGAAAAAAUAAAGCCUUAGGAAUGGAAAGGAUAACUGAAUACAUAGCUAGUGAAUUUUUAGGAGAAGAUUGGCUAGAAAAAUCGGGCAUAUAUGAAAAUUUAAAAAUUUAUGAUAAAAAGAUCUUAGUGUUUUUAUUAAAAAAUUAAAAUUUACAUGACUAUUUCUUUAAAUAUUUAGGGCAUAUAUGAACCACGGAGGAGAAAAGCUUUAUUUAAUAUUUUAGAAUAGUUUUUGAUCAGUACAAUUGGGUCCUUAUUCAGAAUUAUUGUUCUCUUCCGCAACAGUUUUUGUUUAUCAAAGUCGUCAAUUAAAAUUUUAGAAUUCUUAUCAGAAGAAGUAGUCGUUUUAGAAGUUGGGUCUUGGAUCAAAUUUCUACGAGUGCAUGAAUUAACAAUAAAAAAAUUUCAUUACACACGGUUUAAGCUACAAACUACUAUUUGCACAGUUGACUAUAAAACUUACCUCCAAUUACACUAAACCUCUCUAUUUGGUAACGUUGAGACUAAAUUAAUUUUAUUAGCAUGAAAAGAUGAUAGAAAUAUAAUUAUAAAUAUUAUUGUUGUUAAUCAAUUAGUACAUGUGAUAUAAAGGUUAAAUGUGCACUAUAUUUAAUAAUUAAUUAGUGGAGCAUGUUAAACAAAAUGUUAAUGUAUAUUUAUAUAGUGUUAGGAAUAUGCAAAGUCAAGUCCUCAAUUUGCAUUAUCCUGUAUAGAAUAUUACUCUAAAAAUGUUUUACUAUAAUUGGCUUAGAACAUUUGUAAAGAAAAAUAAUAAUAAAAUAAUAAAUAACAUACACCGUCACAUAGCACCUAGACAAUGAUAGAAAAUUAUUAAAGAGAGUGCAAACAAUUAAUUAGAGAUUUUUAUGAUGACUUUUAAUAUUCAUGAUAAUAACAAAUAAAUACAUGUAUCACUUUUUUAAAAUAUUAAAUUUGACUGCUCCAUUAAUAAAUUAUUAUUGUAAUUCAGACUCUAUCUAUAUAUCCUUGCACUAAGAAUAAUUAAGGUAACGUUUGUUUUUUAACUUAAUGACUUAAAGUGACUUAACUUAAUUAAUUAAGUUAAUUAGAGGUGUUUGUUUUAUAACUUAAUGAGACUUUUUAGAUAAUUUUGACUUAAUAAAAUAAGCUAAUUUUUUUUGGCUUUUUACUUAAUGGAGAAAUCUGAAUUAAGUCAAUUACUUGCUAAUGUCAAAAAUAUCCUUGUUUUAUAAUUUAUUUUUCAUGUCUAUCCCAAAACUCGCCCGUAGAUAUUUACCCCACAUAAAAAUAUCCCUGUUUUUUUCUUUCUUAUAUUAUAUACGAUAAAAUUUGAAAUUUAUAGUAUUUUAUAUAUUAAAAUUCUAAAAUAAUUAUGUAUUCACUUGAAUAUAGUUUUACUUAUAAAUGUUAAAAUAUGAUGGUAUUUAAUAUAUUAUUUAUUUGACAUUCAAAUUUAAUAAGGAUACAAAUGUAAAAGUACAUAUUUUCAGCUUUUUAAAUUGAAAAAAAAUAACUUAAUAUUUAUUUUCUGAGAUUCAGACGAAAAAAUAAACAUAUUAUUCAGAUUCAUACAUUCAGAUCUAUUCAGAAUUCAAACUAAUUCAAGUCUAUUCAAAUUUUAGACAAAAAAAUAAACGCCACCUAAGUCAUAAUAAAAAUUUUCGUAACUACAUCUCGUUUCUUCCUCAUAAUAAUAAUUAGAUUGGUUCGAAUAUUAUAACUAUAUAGAUUUAGUGUAUAGCCACAUCCAAUUUAAAUAUUGACCCAAUUGGGAUGGUCCCCAAAAAAAAAGAUUCGUUAAAGGAUAAUUCUAAUUAUUUUUACUUCUCAAACGUUAGUGGGACGUUUCUAUUAGCGCACUCGUAAGCCAAGUUGUCAAAUAUUUAUACUAAACUACAAUUGCUAACAAGAAAAAUCAAGAUCGUGUUAAGCAAGUGGGUCCCGAAUAGGACGUGCAAAUCUCUCGUAAGUCAAGUUGUCAAAUGUUUAUAUAAAACUAACAAUUACUGACAAGAAAAAUCAAGAUCGUAUUAAAAAUGGGUCCCGAAUAGGAUUAUCUUUUUAAGAAUAUUAUUAUUUUAUUAUUAAAAUUUUAUUAAUAUAACAGUAUUAAAAUUUAUUAAAAAAUAUAUUUUAUUAUUAAAAUUUUAUACCGUUAUCAAUUUAUUAUUAUUUUAUUAAAAAAAUUAAUAUUUAACAAAAAUUGAGAUAAAAAUUAAUUUUUGUUCUCUGUCUUUAUUUAUUUAUUUAUUUUUUUGGGUCUUCUGCAAAUCACAAUCAAAUGUUGAAUUAUAAAUUUGCCGGCAUUGCUUUUUUUUUUUUUUUUGGGCCGGGGGGUGGUGUUGAAUUGAUGCUCUGGGUUUUUGACUUUUGUUGUCAAAUUUUACUCUGUUUUUCCCAAAUUGAUGCUANNNNNNNNNNNNNNNNNNNNNNNNNNNNNNNNNNNNNNNNNNNNNNNNNNNNNNNNNNNNNNNNNNNNNNNNNNNNNNNNNNNNNNNNNNNNNNNNNNNNNNNNNNNNNNNNNNNNNNNNNNNNNNNNNNNNNNNNNNNNNNNNNNNNNNNNNNNNNNNNNNNNNNNNNNNNNNNNNNNNNNNNNNNNNNNNNNNNNNNNNNNNNNNNNNNNNNNNNNNNNNNNNNNNNNNNNNNNNNNNNNNNNNNNNNNNNNNNNNNNNNNNNNNNNNNNNNNNNNNNNNNNNNNNNNNNNNNNNNNNNNNNNNNNNNNNNNNNNNNNNNNNNNNNNNNNNNNNNNNNNNNNNNNNNNNNNNNNNNNNNNNNNNNNNNNNNNNNNNNNNNNNNNNNNNNNNNNNNNNNNNNNNNNNNNNNNNNNNNNNNNNNNNNNNNNNNNNNNNNNNNNNNNNNNNNNNNNNNNNNNNNNNNNNNNNNNNNNNNNNNNNNNNNNNNNNNNNNNNNNNNNNNNNNNNNNNNNNNNNNNNNNNNNNNNNNNNNNNNNNNNNNNNNNNNNNNNNNNNNNNNNNNNNNNNNNNNNNNNNNNNNNNNNNNNNNNNNNNNNNNNNNNNNNNNNNNNNNNNNNNNNNNNNNNNNNNNNNNNNNNNNNNNNNNNNNNNNNNNNNNNNNNNNNNNNNNNNNNNNNNNNNNNNNNNNNNNNNNNNNNNNNNNNNNNNNNNNNNNNNNNNNNNNNNNNNNNNNNNNNNNNNNNNNNNNNNNNNNNNNNNNNNNNNNNNNNNNNNNNNNNNNNNNNNNNNNNNNNNNNNNNNNNNNNNNNNNNNNNNNNNNNNNNNNNNNNNNNNNNNNNNNNNNNNNNNNNNNNNNNNNNNNNNNNNNNNNNNNNNNNNNNNNNNNNNNNNNNNNNNNNNNNNNNNNNNNNNNNNNNNNNNNNNNNNNNNNNNNNNNNNNNNNNNNNNNNNNNNNNNNNNNNNNNNNNNNNNNNNNNNNNNNNNNNNNNNNNNNNNNNNNNNNNNNNNNNNNNNNNNNNNNNNNNNNNNNNNNNNNNNNNNNNNNNNNNNNNNNNNNNNNNNNNNNNNNNNNNNNNNNNNNNNNNNNNNNNNNNNNNNNNNNNNNNNNNNNNNNNNNNNNNNNNNNNNNNNNNNNNNNNNNNNNNNNNNNNNNNNNNNNNNNNNNNNNNNNNNNNNNNNNNNNNNNNNNNNNNNNNNNNNNNNNNNNNNNNNNNNNNNNNNNNNNNNNNNNNNNNNNNNNNNNNNNNNNNNNNNNNNNNNNNNNNNNNNNNNNNNNNNNNNNNNNNNGAAGGGUCUCUAAUCAAUAGCUGGAAGCAAUUGAGAAGGCGGUUGCUACAGUGAAUUCAAAUGUAAAAUGUUUGCUAUUCUUCGAUUUGGUUAAUGAUUUCGUAUGAAUAUUGUUGUUCCGUUGAGUUGCAUGCGAAUUCAAAUGCAAAAUAUUCUUCGAUUUUCAAUUUUGAAAUCAAAUUUUUUUUUCCUUCUCAAGCAUGUUAUGCAGAAACGAUUGUCAUGUUAUGCAGAAACGAUUUUUACUAAAUCAUUUUUAACAAACUAUUGAAAUUAAACCACUGGAAUAAGAAUUGUAAGGAUUUAUCGUAAGCUUACUAAUACGAUAAUUCUGAAACUAUCACCUUUUUUUUUUUAUUUGUUGCAGGGAAACCCAAAUUUUGUAUUUUGUCAAUUUCAUCUGAUAUGGAAUUUAUUUCCUCCCUAAAGAUUUAUCAAACUGCUUCUCUUCCCUGCUUCAAUAUCUUUAUGCAAUUACGAUCUCAUAGGAAAAGAGAGUUUGGGUUGUAUAUCUUAUAGUAUUUAUUUAUUUUUUGUUAAAAGAAAUUUAUUUUAAAAUAGUUUAUAGCAACAGUUUUUAUUUAACAAUAAUGAGGAAGGAUUAUUAUAGGUUCAAAUAGUUGUUAGAACAUUAUAAAAAAGUCCAUUUACUAUCAAAUGUUUUAAAUUGGUGCAACGUGAUAAUUGUCUCAUAUAAUUUUUUAAGGGUAAAAACUCGUUUCAUUCCCAUAUUUUAAGAUUAUUACUCAUUUAGUCUUUAUAUUUUUAAAAAUGUUUCAAAACAUUCAUACCCUUAAAUUAUUAACAUCUCUGCUGUUACUUUUUAUUUUUUUUUGACUUGUUUUUACAAUAUUGCCCUCUUACAAUAAUGUUUCUUUUUAUAAAAUUAAUAAAAAGAAAAAAAAUUAAAUUAUCAAUUUAACCCCAAAAAUAAAAUAAAAAUAAAAAGAAUAAAUAUUAAUUUUUGUGAAAGUUUACAUGUGUCCAAAAUAAAUUUUAUUGUAAAAAUAAUUAAAUUGCCUUUUUUUUGGACAUUAGUAAUAAAAAAAUUAAUAUAUUAAUUCCUCAGCAGUGUGUUACAAAAAAGUAAAAUAUAUUAAUUUUGUUUUUAUUUUAGACAAUGAGAUAGAGAAAAGUACAAGAUAAAGGAAAGGACUUCAAAACUCACUGUUCAUCAUAAUGCCCUUUGCCUUUAAAAAAAAAUCAUUCUAAUAUUUUAUAACACAUAAAAUAUAAUCCUAAGAUAAAUAUAAUAAUACAUAUUUUAAACUAAUCUCGAUAUUUAAAAUAUGUUUUAAUAUUUUAUAAUCUAUCAGACAUAUUUUAUUAUAUUAAUGUAAAAUUUAUAAUAAAUACAAACAUAUUAUUAAAAUAAAUAUAUAAAAAAUAUUUAUUUUUUAUAUGUUUACACUGAGGACUCUCUUUAAUUCAUUUAUUUUCUCUCUCUCCAAACAGGUACUGUCUUCAGUUAGCAAUGCUAUGAUAGUAAUCCAAUUCUCUUCUCCCCCACCUGAGCGAGAUUUGAAUUUGAAUCCCUUGUUUUUCACCCACUCUGUUUUUUUUCACGCAAGAUUUGACAAUUUGAGUUAAAAAAUAUGGUCCAAAACUUGAACACGUAUCUUUUAAUUGUAAUAAAAGUUCUUUAAGCUUUGGAGAUGGCAUAUAUAUGGCUGGAAGUGUCCUUUUCUUUGACCUAGAGGCAGCACCAAGCUAUCCAGCAUCAUCAUUUUUCAAGUGGGUCUUAAAUGCCUAGAAACGUUGGUGUUUCUUGAUUUAAAGAUGACACAUGCUAUAAGUGUGAAUGGUUUGGCUAAGCCUAAAUUUAAAGUCUACUCAAGUCGCAUUCAGGAUCAUGGAAAUUGGAAAGGGAGAGAUGAUAGCAAGAUUUAUAAUAAACAAUUAACUUGGGUCCUCAGUGUACAAAGCAAAUGCCACGCAAGCGAUAGCCGGCCCAGCCCAGAAAACCCAGUGGCGAUCCCAGAGAUGGCCUCCUCUAACGAGUGCUGGGCCCAAAAAUCUUUGCGGGUUGAGCCCAGCUCCGGCAUAGCCCUUUUGAGCAGUAACAGUUGUCGAGACAAAAACCAGAAGACCCAACACUGUUCCAAUGACAAUGCAUACGGUAAACUCUGCCAAGAGCCUUGGCUUGUCUGGAGUCAAAAGCCAUCCACACAGAAGCAAAAAGGAACACAAACGAGCAAAUUAUCUCAAGCCAAAGGGCCUGCCUAGUCCCCAAGCCGAUCUCAACAGGCCCAUCUGGCCCAGGUACGACAACAUUCAGGGUGCAGCCUCCAAGUUGUCAAAUAUUUAUAUUAAACUACAAUUGCUGACUAGAAAAAUCAAGAUCGUAUUACAAGUGGGUCCCGAAUUGGACGUGCCUAAAUCUUUUUAUAAUUUUCCCAGUGUAGCGGACAGAGGUCAUUACUAAAUUUCUCUUCCACACGCCACAGCAGCUUCGGUUAAUCAAACUCAAUCAAUUUUCUUGGCUUCUCCGCUUAUCAAUAUUACAAGGUAUGGGUAGCAUUUUUCAAAUCACAUGCGAUGGUACUAUUUUCAAUCGUUGCUUAGAUUGCUUUCUUGGAAAAGCAGCAUACAUAAGUAACCUCCAAGAUAAUCUUGUUGCCUUGGAGACUGAACUAAGGAAACUAAUCGCAGCAAAGAACGAUGUGAUGACGGCGGUUGUCAAUGCUGAACGGCAACAAAUGAGAAGGCUGGACCAAGUGCAAGUGUGGGUUUCGAGGGCGGAUGCUGUUAAAAAUGAAGCUGAUGAACUUAUCAGAGGCGGCUCUCAAGAAAUUGAAAAAUUAUGUCUUAGAGGGUUCUGUUCCAGGAACUGCACGUCAAGCUACAAGUUCGGAAAACAAGUGGCUAAAAAGCUACGAGCUGUGGAGACUUUAAUCGCCGAAGGAGUUUUUGAGGCGGUGGCUGCCGAGGUGGUGCCUGAGAGAGCUCCAGAGCCUGUAGCAGAUGAAAGACCUACCGAGCGAACAGUAGUAGGCUUGCAAUCACAACUUGAACAAGUCUGGAGAUGUCUUGCAGAAGAAUCAGCGGGAAUCAUUGGCCUAUAUGGUAUGGGCGGUGUUGGUAAAACUACACUAUUGACCUAUAUCAACAAUAAAUUUCUCGAGAGUCCAACCAACUUUGAUUGUGUGAUUUGGGUAGUAGUUUCAAAAGACCUGCGACUUGAAAAACUUCAAGAAAAUAUUGGGAAAAAGAUAGGUUUGGUUGAUGAUUCAUGGAAGAGUAAAAGUGUAGAGGAGAAAGCUCUCGACAUCUUCCGGAGUUUAAGAGAGAAGAGAAUUGUAUUGCUGUUAGAUGAUAUAUGGGAGCGGGUUGAUUUAACAAAAGUGGGCGUUCCACUUCCAGGACCACAAAAUACUACCUCAAAAGUCGUAUUCACAACCCGUUUGAUCGAUGUUUGUGGUAGCAUGGAAGCUGACAGGAAGUUCAAAGUAGCAUGCUUAUCAGAAAAGGAUGCUUGGGAACUGUUUCGAAAAAAAGUUGGGGAAGAAACUCUUGGAAGUCAUCAUGAUAUCGUUGAGCUAGCCCAAACUGUGGCCAAAGAGUGUGGUGGUUUGCCACUCGCACUUAUUACUAUCGGUCGAGCUAUGGCCUACAAAAAGACAGCCGAAGAGUGGAGACACGCAGUUGAAGUUCUAAGAAGAUCAGCUUCGGAAUUUGCAGGUUUGGGAAAAGAGGUGUAUCCUCUUUUAAAGUUUAGCUAUGAUAGUUUGCAGAAUAAGACGAUUAGAUCUUGUUUCUUAUAUUGUUGUUUAUAUCCUGAAGAUUAUGGCAUUCUUAAAUGGGACUUGAUUGACUGUUGGAUUGGUGAGGGAUUCUUAGAGGAAUCUGACAGGUUUGGUGCAGAAAACCAAGGAUACUACAUUGUGGGCACUCUUGUUCAUGCGUGUUUACUAGAAGAGAUAGAAGAUGAUAAAGUAAAAAUGCAUGACGUUGUUCGUGAUAUGGCUCUAUGGAUAGCUUGUGAAAUUGAGAAGGAGAAGAGAAACUUUUUGGUUUGUGCAGGUGCGGGACUAAAGGAGGCACCUGAUGUUAAAAGAUGGGAAAAUGUGAGAAGAUUGUCAUUGAUGCAAAACCAAAUUGAAACUUUGUCAGAGGUUCCUGCAUGCCCUCAUCUCCAUACUCUAUUUCUUGCCUCUAAUAAUAGUUUGCAGAGGAUCACCGAUGGCUUCUUCCAAUUUAUGCCUUCUCUCAAAGUUUUCAAGAUGUCAAACUGCGGGAAUUUAAUUUUGGAAUUACCUUUUGGGAUGUCAAAGUUGGGUUCAUUGGAACUUCUCGAUAUUUCACAUACCUACAUACAAGAGUUACCACAAGAGUUAAAGUUGUUGGUAAAUCUGAAAUGUUUGAAUUUGAGGUGGACAAGCGAGUUAAAUAAAAUUCCACGGCAGCUAAUAUCAAAUUCUUCAAGGUUACGUGUGUUGAGAAUGUUGGGUACUGGCUGGUUCAAUUUUCAUGAAGCAUCAGAAGACAGCGUUUUAUUUGGCGGGGGUGAAGUUUUAGUACGGGAAUUGCUCGGUUUGAAAUAUUUAGAGGUAUUGGAGUUGACCUUGCGAAGUUAUCAUGCUCUCCAAAUUGUUUUGAGCUCAAAUAAGUUAAAAAGUUGUAUUCGAUCUCUUUACCUCCAGUUGACCGGAGAUAGAAAGUCGAUUAUUGAUGCUACGGCUUUCGCAGAUCUAAACCACCUCAAUGAAUGAUUGAUUUUUAAAGGUUUUGAGUUGGAAGAAUUGAAGAUUGAUUAUACAGAGAUAGUACGAAAAAGGCGGGAACCUUUUGUUUUCCGCAGCCUUCACCGUGUUACCAUAGAUUCGUGCCUUAAAUUGAAAGAUUUGACAUUCCUCGUUUUUGCUCCAAACCUCAAGUCUCUUUCGCUAUUCAAUUGCCGUGCUAUGGAAGAAAUAAUCAGCGUUGGAAAAUUUGCUGAGGUUCCUGAGAUGAUGGGACAUAUAAGCCCUUUUGAAAAUCUCCGAAGUCUUCGUUUGUCACAUUUGCCAAAUUUGAAGAGCAUCUACUGGAAGCCAUUGCCUUUCACUCAUCUGAAAGAAAUGGUGGUACAUGGGUGUGAUCAGCUUAAAAAGCUUCCACUCGAUUCCAACAGUGCAAAAGAGCGUAAAUUUGUUAUUCGUGGACAAGCAGACUGGUGGGACCGACUUCAAUGGGAGGAUGAAGCCACUCAAAUUGCUUUUAGUUCCUGUUUCCAACCUUAACUUGAUUUCUGGUUAGUGCUGUUUCCUUAACUUUUACAUAUAUUCUCGUCGUUUGCUUCGUGCAAAAUACUAGGUCUUUUGUUCUCUGUUUUUAUUUCGCCCAUUUUUUUUUUUUUUUUUUGUCUUCUGCAAAUGACAGACAAAUGUUGAACUAAAAGGAAUUAAUGCUUUAUAACUUUGCCGGCAUUGCUUUUUUCUUUUUCUUUUUUGAUUUUUUGGGGCGAGGGGGGAUCGAAUAGAUGCUCUGGUUUUUGACUUUUUGUUGUCAAAUUUUACUCUGUUUUUUUCAAAUUGAUGCUUGAAUAUUUGAAUCAAAUUAAUGCUCACGUAAAUUUGUUCAGUUGCCGUAAAAGGAUAUAAUUACACUGAAAUACACAAACUCUAGAAUGAAUAGAAUUAAACAGAGAAAAUCUUGAGUAUAUUAGCCGUCUUCACAUAAAAUCAUAUGAAAAUUAAAUUUUGAAGUUUUUAUUUUCUAUUUUUAAUCAUACCCUUUAUAAUUUCUUCUGUUCUAACUACAAUAAAAUUUUUGGUUCAAGGAUUUUUAUGAGGGGUAUUAAUAAUAGUCCACCAAAAGAGUGAACAGUUGGAUGCUGCCCUAAGGGUCUCUAAUCAAUAGCUGGAAGCAAUUGAGAAGGCGGUCGUUACUGUGUACAAAGCCAUGCAGUAUUUGCUAUUCAUCUUAGUAAUUAUGAAGCUUUGGUAAAAUUUUCAAACAAAGUUGACAUGUUAUUUUGAGAUUUGGUUCAUGAUUUUGUAUGAAUAUCGUUGUUCCAUUGAGUUGUAUAUGAAUUCAAAUGUAAAAUAUUCUUUGGUUUUCAAUUUUGAAUUCAAUUUCUUUUCUUAAGCAUGUUGUGCAGAAAUGAUUUCUACUAAAUCAUUUUUGAUAAACUACUUAAAUUAAACAACUGCAAUAAGAACUGUUAAGGAUUUAUCGUAAGCAGACUAAUAUGAUAAUUCUGAAACUAUCAUUUUUUUUUUCAAUUUGUUGCAGGGAAAGCCAAAUUUUGUAUUUUUCAGUUUUAUCUGAUAUGGAAUUUAUUUCCUCUACACUAGCUACCUAAAGAUUUAUCAAAUUGCUUCUCUUCCCUGCUUCAAAUUAAUAUCUUUAUGCAACUACAAUCUCAUAGGAAAAGACAGUUUGGGUUGUAUUUAUUAUAGUUUUUUUUUUCGUUAAGAGCAAUUUAUUUUAAAAUCGUUUAGUAGUAACAGUUUUUAUUGAAUAAUAAUGGGGUAGGAUUAUUAUAGGUUCAACUAGUUGUUAGAACAUUAUAAAAAGUCCAUUUACUAUCAAAUGCUUUAAAUUGGUGCAACAUGAUAAUUGUCCCACAUAAUUUUUAAUAAUAUAUAUGGCCCAUAAAUUUAAUAUGAAUAAAUGAGUUUCGAUAGUUAAAUUUGAUACGAUUAUUAAAUAAGUUAUAUCCAUGUCAAUUCGACUUAAAAUCUGGUAAAUUUAGAUUUAGAGUUUAUAACAUGAUAACUUGUUUUAUGACAUGAUUUACUAAUCAAUUAAUAUUAAAUUAUAUUUUAGCCAAUCAGAUAUGUGGUACAUUUGUCAAAUUUUAAAAAUUAUUUAUUUAUAUAUGAAAUAAAUUUGACUAGACUGUGUGUAGGUAAUAGUGCAUAAUUUCUAAAAAAAUGUAAUAAUAACACGUUAAAAUGUUAUUUUUAUGAAGAAAAAUUGAAAUUUUAUUAAAUAGGCGACACAAUAAUAAAUGGGUUGAGAUUAUUUACAUUUUAAGAAUUACUCUGAACAUUAUUUUAUUUUAUAAAUUUUAUAUUACAAAAACACCCAUAGUUUAAUUUACCAUUAAGAACAAUUUUGUGCGAUUAAAUAAAAUACAUUACUCUUUACCCUUUCACUACAUCGACAUAAAUCCUAAUUGUUAUGUUUCUAAUUUCUUUGAUAUGCUUAUUGAAGUCCACAUUAUAAUCAAUUUUAAACUAUUAUACCACUUAAAUACAUUUUAGAAUGAGAAGUUUGGUUUUCUUCAUGGGCUGCCUUGCUGAUGCUGUUAUUGAAACUAUCGAACUUAAUAAUUUUAUGGCCAAAAUGAUAUAUGUUGAACCAGCUUUUACAUCGAAUUCUACCACCAUAAAAAAUCGUACUUGUAACAUCUCAAGGUUCCAAUUUAUCAAAAGUUAAUCAUUCAUAUUUGUUAGUUCCUAACAGUCACAAGAGCGUACAAGCCAAUUUUUGUAGCUCCUUUUUCUGCAGUAGAUUCAAGUAUAUUAUUAUCAAGCAUUUUUGUUACACCCUUAAUUCCUUAUCAUCAUCCCUUCAUUCAGAGCAACUAAACAGAGGUCAAUGUCAUUAUGUUAGAGUUACGAGGAAGAGUACUGCCAAAAAAGUUCUUUGUAUGGGAUUUAAUUUUCUGGGUUUGUAGUGAUGAACAAAUUGAGGGUUGUUUUGGUAUUUUCAAGAGUGUAUUGAGUGAAAAUUAUUUUUAAAAAAUUUAACAAAUGAGUGUAAUGAGUAAAAAAGUGUUUAAAGUAUUUUUUAGAGUACAAAUAGCUCCACCUUAAUAAAUGAGUUCUUGUAAAAAUUGAGAUUAUUGAUAUAAUUAUUAAAUAGGUUGGAUUGAAGUUAGUUUAAUUUUGACAAGAUAAUAAGACGACGCGACACAAAUACAACCAACCAGUCAACCCAAAUUGCAACCUUUUACUAAUAAAAGAUACCUGUUUGAAAAGUAAUUAUAAGCUAUCUUCUUUGUGUUAUUUCUCUAAAAAUUUGCGGCACAAAUAUUAUUUCCAUGGAGAAAAGUACGAAAUACCCGCUUUCACUUCAGCAGAAGCAAAGCAAAGCUAUGAGCCAUCUCUGUAUAAUUGAAACGCCAUUGCUAAACGGUUCUUGAUGAUGGGUGCCACCGUGCCAGCGUUGUCGCUGAUUUGCAUGAUUUAUUAGUUGUUCAGAUGGCGGAUUUUGUACUGUCACUUUCAUUUCAUUCUUGAGAGCCACGUACAAUACUAGGUGGCAUUGAAGUUGCCCCAGUGGUUAGUUUUCUGAUUUUUUUUAAUUCAAAUUUUUAUGUUUUAGAAAAAUGUAAGAAAUAUGUAGAAAUGUUGACAGCUACAAUUUUGAAACUUUGCCUAAAAUUAUUAUCGUUGCUUAUUGUUUCUUAGCUAAAGAGAAAUCCUAGAAACAUGAAAUUAUUAUUCUAUGCUUGUUUUAAUAUUAUACAUUAGCAGGUUAAUUAAAAAUUAGACGUGAAUACAACAAGAGAUAAGUGGAGAGAAUUUGGUAGUCGACCGCAUUUAGAAUUUAAUUUUUCUUUUAGCUGCCGAUCAUUAAAUUUUAUAUUUCAGAAAAUUAUACCUAGAAUAUUUCAAGGAUAUACUACGAAGAUUAUGAAGGUUUGAUUACAUGUCACUAUCAAUUGCCUCAAUCAUUUGUAGUAAAUUAAUUAAUCAUUUUGCUGCAAAUGAUUUCCUAUUAAAAAAUUCAAGUCAGAGCUGAAUUGCACAGUAGUUAGUCGUGCUUGCAAUUCAAAUCAAGUAUUGUAUUUUCUGCCUGAUUUGGUUGAUUCAACUAUGUGCAUUUGCAUAAUGGAGAUGCUUAUGAACGUUGUAGUAUAGAAAUCGAAACGUCUUGUCUUUUGCUAAGCCCAGAAGCAAAGUUCUUUGUAUUAUACUCAUCAGUUUUCUUCGUUCUCUUCGUUGAAAUUUUAUCCAAACAGCGGUUUCUUCGAAUUUUUGCCCUCUCUUACAUUUUUAAAUCUAUCAAAGAACGGUUACCUGAGAAGAUUGCCAUCAGGUAUUUCGAAAUUGAUUUCACUACAAUACCUUAAUCUAUCAGAUUUUAAUCUAUCAGAUGCUCCCGUCACUCAGUUGCCAAAAGUGACAAAAGCCUUAGUAAAUUUUUAGAGUAAAAACUCAUUUAUUCCUUAUAUUUUAAGAUUAGUAUCUAUUUAGUCCUUAUAUUUUGAAAAAUACCUUGAAACAUCACUGCCAUUAAAGUAUUGAUACCCUUACCGUUACUUUUUAUUUAUUUUGGCUUAUUUUUACAAUAUUACCCUUUAAUAAUAAUUUUUUUGUUUAGACAUUAAUAAAAAUAAAAUAAUUAAAUUACCAAUUUAAUCCUAAAAAAUAAAAAUAAAAAUUUAUAUUAAUUUUUAAUUGUAAAAAAUUGUAUGCAAACUACCAAAUGUGCAAACGGUGCUUGCAAAAAAAUUAAUAUAAAUUUUUUAUUUUUAGGGUUAAAUUAGUAAUUUAAUUAUUUUAUUUUUAUUAAUGUCCAAAAAAUUAGUAAUUUAAUUAUUUUCUUUUUAUUAAUGUCCAAAAAUUAUUAUAAAAGGGUAAUAUUAUAAAAGUAAGCUAAAAGAAAUGAAAAGUAACGGUAGGGGUAUCAAUACUUUAACGGUAGGGAUGUUUCGAGGUAUUUUUAAAAAUAUAAAGAGUAAAUGGACACUAAUAUUAAAAUACAGGGACUAAAUAAGUUUUUAUCCUAAAUCUUUAAGUGUUUGAAUUGGAGUACAUAAAUUAUCUCUCUACAAUUCAAAAACAACAGAUUUGUUACUUUUCAACGCUACAGGUUCCGCGAAUAUUCAGUUGUGGUUAUCUUGUUGAAACACCAGAAAAUAGCGUUCUAUUUGGUGGUAAUGAAUUCUUGGUUGGGGAGUUACUUAGUUUAAAACAUUUAAAUGUAUUAAGCAUCGCCUUAAAAGGUUUUUCUACCGUCCAAAAAUUUAUGAGCUCCCAAAAGUUUCAAAGUUGUACAAAAUGUUUGGAGCUUAUAGACAGUGAUGAUUCAAAGUCGUUUGCCAUGGCAGAGUUGAAGCAUCUUGAAAAACUAGGUAUUUCAAAUUGUGGAAAUUUGGAAGAGUUUAAGUUCUGCUGUGUCGAAGUUGGAAAAACUUGAGAAGAUUUUUGUUUGAACAGCCUUCACCAAGUUAAGAGAAAGGCUUGUCAUAAAUUGAGGGAAGUGACAUGGCUUGUGUUUGUACCAAAUCUUAAGGUUAUUCAGAUAGAAAAAUGUAUGGAGAUGGAGGUUGUUGGGAAAGAGACUACCACAAGCAGCUAAAAAUUAAGCGAAUACAAAAUUCUUUCUCUCUUUGUGUGAUUAAAAUAGGAUGUGCACCACAAACAAAUAAGCAGAAAAAUAAACCAAUAAAUGCAAAGCAAAAACCAACCACAAGAGACACCGAUUUUUAAGUAGAAAAUUUAAAUUGGGAAAAAUCACAGGAUAGUAGUCUGAUAUAAACUUCUACUAUAUUAAUGAGAUUACAACACAAAUUCUUCUCCAGAUAAUACUAGAUGCUAACAAUAUUAAAAUUCUCAACAAUCUUAGUUUAUAAUAAUAGAUCUAAAAUCUAUUUCUUCAAUAAGUGAGUAUCUCAAAUAAUAGCUACUGAGAGAAUAAAAUACAGAUCAACACCAGUAGAAAUAUAGAGGGCAAUGUCAGGAACUUACCCUCCAAAUUUAGGACUAAUCAGAGCUAAAAUAACCUUUUGAUUGUUGAAUCAAAGAUUGAAAACCAAAAAAAAAAAAAAUAUCUCUUUCUCUCGCAGUGUCUUCUCACUUUCGCAAAAUGUCUACAGCUCUCGCGAUUCUUUACUUAUUUCCUUAGUUAAUUUCAUCCAAGUCCAAAAUUUUACAAUAAUUACACAUCAAGCAAAUUAUUUUGGACUUUGAACUUUUUGGUCCACUGAAGUGAAAUGGACCUUACAAAUCUCCCCCUCCAUCUCAUCUAAGGGGCACCACCAAGCCCGCUCUCUACUUACAGCUUUCCAGCUUCUCCUUGGGUAAUGACUUUAUCAUCAUAUCUGAUGCAUUCUUCGUUGUGUGAAUUUCUCCAAGCUGCAACUGUUUCUACUCAAGCACGUCUUGUAUCCAAUGAUACUUCAUAUCAAUAUGCUUCGAUUUCAAAUGAUAUGUUGAAUUCUUUGCCAAGUGGAUGACACUUUAACUGUCACAGUACACAACAUAACUAUCUUGAUUAACACCUAGUUCUUGUAGAAAAUUCUUCAUCCACAAGGUUUCUUUGUAACUUUCAGUGAUUGUAAUAUACUCUACUUCUGUAGUAGACAAAGCAACACACUACUAAAGUCUAGACUGCCAUGAAACUGCUCCUCCUACAUAGGUGAGCAAAUAUCUUGAUAGAGACUUUCUAGAAUCAACAUCUCCUGCCAUAUAUGCAUCCGUAUCUACUUGUAAUAUAGGUUUGUCACCACCAAAACAUAAACAUGCCUUGGAAGUGCCUCUGAGAUAUAUGACAAUCUACUUUACUGCUGUCCAGUGUUUUUUACCCAGAUUAGAGGAAAACCAGUUGACUACCAACUGUUGAAGCGUACCUCAAACUACCAACUGUUGAAGCAUAAAAAACUCUUUUUAUCUCUUGCUUCUCUUUCUCACUUAUGGGACAAUGCUUGAAACUAAGCUUGAAAUGACCUGCAAGUGGAAAAUAAACAUAUUUUGCUUUGUCCAUAUUAUAUCUUUUAAGAACUUUUUCAACAUAUGCUUCCUGAGAUAACCAUAAAUUCCCAGUUUUUCUGUCACGAGAAAUCUUCAUGCCAAGAAUUUGUUUCGCCGAUCCCAAGUCCUUCAUUACAAAAGACUUGCUAAGCUCUCUCUUCAAAUUGUCAAUCUUACUAGUAUCCUUGCCAACAAUCAACAUGUCAUCCACAAAAAGUAAAAGAAUAAUAAAAUCAUUAUCACUAAACUUUUUCACAAACAUACAAUGAUCACACAUUGUCUUGCAAAAGCCAUGAUUCUCCAUAAAAGAAUCAAACUUCUUAUACCACUGUCUUGGUGCAUGUUUCAGCCCAUAUAAAGUUUUUUUCAAUUUGUACACAAGUUCUUCUUUACCUUUGACACUGAACUCUUCAGGUUGUUAUAUGUAUAUUUCCUCCUUUAAGUCAUCGUGUAAGAAAGCAGUCUUUACAUUGAAUUGUUCAAUUUCCAAAUCCAAGCUAGCUACUAAUCCCAGAGGUGCUUGCUCAAUUGGUUCUGCUGGACCAUUAUUAUUAUCCUCUCCAGCUCCCCUAUGAUCAUCAUGAACAACAUGUGGAGAAACCGAAGUUGGAAUAAUAAGAAUCUCUGGAGAUGGCUGAGACUUAUCAUUUUUUUUUCAUCACCAACUAUCUAAUUUUUAAGAAACACAACAUCUCUAAUUCUGAUUACUUUUCUUGUCACUGGAUCCCAUAAUCUGUACCCAAAUUCUUCAUGUCCAUAGCUUAAGAAAAUACAUUUCUUGGCUUUAUCAUCAAGUUUUGAUCUCUCAUCUUUAGGGAUAUGAACAUACACUCUGCACUUAAACACCCUCAAGUGUUUAUAAGAAACAUCUUUCCCAAUCCAAACUCUUUUAGGUACAUCGUCAUCUAAUGGAGCUUAAGGAGAAAGAUUAAUCAAAUCAACUACAGUACGCAUAGCCUCCGCUCAGAAGGAUUUAUAAAGCUUGGCAUCAGAAAACAUACAUCUGACUAUCUUUUCAAUUGUUCUGUUCAUUAUUUCUGCAACACCACUCUGCUGAGGGGAUUUUGGUACAGUUUUCUUAAGUUUGAUUCCAUGAGAUCUGCAAUACUGCUCAAAUGGUCCUCUGUACCCACCAUCAUUUUCUGCCCUGACACAUUUCAAUUUUUUUCUUGUCCCUCUCUCAACAUAAGCACGAAAGAAUUUAAACAUAGUAAGCACGAAAGAAUUUAAACAUAUCAAGCACUUAAUCUUUAGAUUUUAAAGCAAAAGUCCAUACUUUUCUAGAACAAUCAUUAAUAAAAGUCAUAAAAUAAAGUGCACCUCCUAUUGAUCUAUUUUGCAUCAUGCAAAUAUCAAUGUGAAUCAAAUCAAGGAUUUGUGACUUUCUAGAUGGAGAAAAGCUUUUAAAAGUUACUUUAUGUGCCUUUCCAGCUAAACACUAAACACAAGUCUUGAGGGACGUACCUACAAAGCUUGGUAGAAAUCCUUUUUUGGCAAGAGUUCCUAACCCUUUCUCACCAAUGUGACCAAGCCUUUUAUGCCAUGUCUCAAUGUCAGAAUUGUUUACAGCCAUAUUCAUAUAUUCUUUCUUGAUUUUGGCUUCUAUUACGUAGAGGGUGUUCAUUUUCUUUCCUUUAGCCAACACUAGAGAGCCUUUGGUGAGCUUUCAUUUUCCUUCACCAAAUUAGUUAGUAUAACUAUCAUCAUCAAUUUUUCUUGUGGAGAUCAAAUUAAGACGAAUAUCUAGUACAUGCAAGCUUUUUUGUGGAGAUCAAAUUAAGGCGAAUAUCUAGUACAUGUCUGACAUCUUUAAGGAGUAGCUUAUAGCCAACACUGGUUUGAAGCAAAUAUCUCCUAUGCCCACAAUCUUGGAUGCCCCCUCAUUUCCCAUCCGAACAUGGUCAUAAUUACCAUUAACAUAGGAUGUGAAGUAAUCAUGAUGUGCAGUUGUUGUGCAAAUUUUAAUGUACUCGCAAGCGCACGAAUCUAUUGUAGUAUAGAUCAAUGGUGACGAGUGUCGAUCCCACGAGGAGGUGGAUUUUAAUUGUGUAUAGAAUUAAUUUUGCAAAUGGUUGAUUGGAUUUGUGGUGGAAAUGAUUUGGAAUAUGCUAAAACUUAAAUUAAAAUGGCGAGAAUAAAUUCUAAAAUUGGAAUUGAAAUUGCGAGAAUAAAGUUGAAGAGAAUUCUAUUGAAAUGACGUACUUGGGUAUCUGGAUCCGUAUCAACAUGCAUCAUGGGCUAAAUAAUGCGUAUUAAUGCCAAUUAAAUCAUGAGGGGGGAAUCCACACCUCAUGAACCACGCUCUAAUCAAUAUGGUGCUAAGGGCUUAUCGUGCCAAAUAAUAAUAACCUUGUACUAGAGAGCCGGUGUAACCAAGGCGGUACUAGACAAGAUUAGUAUUAUUUGUCGACGAGAAGUCAAAACAUCCACAAAAACUAGAGGGGAAGAGAAAAUAAAUUUACCAAAUAAAGCCCAUGACACAUGUUGAGACUUCACCUUCAACCCAAGCUUAAAAGAAAAUUAGCUACUCAUAAUUGAACUAAGGGCAAAAUGGGAAUUUAUUAAAAUACGAAGAAAAUACAAGAUAGAGAGGGAAUUACAGAAAAUGGAUCCCAAAAAUGGAUUCAGAGAUAUCAAAUUAGGGGGGGAGGCCCCCUUUUUAUAGAUACAUGGAGUAAAUCAUGGCAAUCGGAUUAAAAACAGUUUGGACGCUCAGGAUUGCGCCACGUCAUCAGUCAACAGUCCACGGUUUGACCACGCGGAUGAACAGUAAUACGGUUUGACCCAUAUGAACAGUACGCGGUUUGACCCGGAUGAACAGUAACGCGGUUUGGUUGAAAAUAAUCCUGUGUGAUGCAUGCACCGUACGCGAGAUUUUUUGUCCACUGAUAUGCUGCCACGUCACCAUCAACAGUACAUAAGAAUUUUAGUCCAACAGGAUCGUGACACCUCAUCAGUCAAUGCCACAUCAUCGAUCCGUCUAUGUGAGCAGUGCCGUGAACAGUAACAUAUACAGUACCGUAUACGUGAAUAGUACCGUACAUGUGAAUAGUGCUAUUUUUCCUUUUAUGCUCCUCCUAAGGUUUUCGACCGUCCUGAGUUCAAAAGUGAUGUCCGUUUUACCGUCUGAUCUCUCCUUUAUUGUGAAAUCACUAUAAUACCACUAAAAUACAUAAAAUACUUAAUUAAAAUAAAACACAUGUAAUUAAAUCACAAGAAGGUUAAAUACAUAAAAGUAAGGGUUGUUAGUAAGACUUGAAAUGUAAAAUGAUGGUUUUCUCCUUUAUAAAUAUGCAUUUUCUAACACUCAACAGCAGUAACCACGAUGUGCAGUAACAUCAAACGAAGCACCCGAAUCAAUCACCCAAUUACUGGUAUGGCAAGUAAGAUUUAUAGAGCUAUCAUUAUAAGCAAUGCCCAUAUCACCAUUAAUUACGGCUGUAACAUUCUCUUUGUCAUUUUUCUGACCAUCGCCUUUUUCUUUCGCAUGUUCUCUUUUCCACAAUUUACACUACCUUUUUACAUGGCCCAUUUUCUGACAAUGAAAGCACUUAGCUUCUCCUAUGGGACUUAGAUCUUCCUCCAGGGUUAUCAUUAUUCUGAUGACGGAAAUUUCUGCUUCGACUUCUCCCCCGUCUUUUUUGGUUUUCUGAAACAAGUGUAGCUGACUCAGAGGGAACUACUUCAGCAUUCUUUCUUCGAGAUUCUUCAUUCCGCAGUCUAUCUGUAACCAUAUCCAAGUUUAAUUUACCAUUCGGUGCCGAAUUAUUCACUGACACCACUAAUGUCUCCCAACUAUCAGGUAAAGAACUAAGCAACAACAAUGCUUGUAACUCGUCAUCUAGAAUAAUCUUCAUAGUAGUCAACUGAUCAACCAAACCCUGAAACUCACUAGUGUGUUCAGUAAUACUGUGGCCUUUUUUAUAUUUCAAGUUAACAAGCCUUUUCAUUAGAUUGACUUUAUUUUGUGCUGUUGGCUGCUCAUAAAUUAUUUCUAAUUUUCUCCAAAGAACAUCAGCCUUGGAUUCCUUCGCGACAUGAUGGUACACACUCUGAUCAAUCCAUGACCUAAUAGUGCCCACGGCUUUCUGGUUCAAUUGAGCCCAUUUCUUAUCAUCUAUAUCAACAAGUUUAACUUCAUCACCUUCAAUAGGUUCAUGUAAGUCUUUCAUGUAGAGCAAAUCUUUCAUUCUAGACUUCCAAAUAUCAUAAUUCCACGACUCAAUUUAAUCAUGAACGCCAAAGACUCCUCUAUUUCAACCACAUAAGUAAUAAAAACACACAACCUGGCUCUGAUACCACUCUAUUGGGAAAACGACUACCACAAACAGCUACAAAUUAAGCGAAAAUAAAAUUCUUUUCCUCUUUGUGUGAUUAAAAUAGGAUGUGCACCAUAAACAAAUAAGCAGAAAAAUUAAUCAAUAAAUUCAAAGCAAAAAUCAACCACAAGAGACACCGAUUUUAACGUGGAAAAUUCAAAUCGGGAAAAACCAUGGGACAAUAGUCCGAUAUAAAUUUCCACUAUAUUAAUGGGAUUACAGUACAAAUUCUUCUCCAGAUAACACUAGAGGUUAACAACAUCAAGAUUUUCAACAAUCUUGGCUUACAAUAAUAGAUCUAAAAUCUAUUUCUUCAAUAAGUGAGUAUCUCCAAUAACAGCUAAUGAGAGAAUAAAAUAUAGAUCAACACGAGUAGAAAUGUAAAGGGCGAUGUCAGGAACUUAUCCUCCAAAUUUGGGAGAAAUCAAAGCUAAAAUUAUUUUUCGAUCGUUGAAUCAAAGAUUGAAAACCCAAAGAAAAAAAAUAUCUUUUUCUCUCGCAACGUCUUCUCACUUGCGCGAAAUGGCUACAUCUCUCGCGAUUAUUCACUUAUUUCCUUUAUAUUUUUUUUGGUUAAUUUCAUCCAAGUCUAAAAUUUUACAAUAAUUACACAUCAAGCAAAUUAUUUUGGACUUUGGGCUUUUGGUCCACUGAAGUGAGAUGGACCCUACAGAAGCAAUAAUCAGUGCAAGAAAAUUAAGUGAAGUUCCAGAGAUGAUGGCAGAUCUAAACCCUUUUGUAAAACUCCAAUAUCUUGGCCUCCGAAUUCUACCAAAAUUAAAAAAGCGUCUAUUGGAAUGUGUUGCCCUCUCCACAUGUCAGGGAAAUUUUUGUAUCUGAAUGCCCAAUUCUCAUUAGAGGAGAGGAACACUGGUGGAAUAAGUUGCAAUGGGAGGAUGAAGCAACCUAUAAUGCUUUUCUUCCUUGUUUUGGAUCCAUUUGAUGGGCAUCAACAUGGAUUAAUAUUUUGCAGCGAACCAAUUUGAAUAAAACUUACGGUAAGUGCUUUUCCAUUUAUUGCAUAUUUAUAUCUAAUUUUUGUUUUCCUUUAUGGUUAAAUUUUGCCCUGUAUAUGUUGUUGUACGGUGACAUUCUUGAAUCAAUUAUUAAUUUUUUUAAUUCUCGUCUCACAACCACCCUUUUGAUCAUGAGGAUAUGCCGAUAUCAAAGAGUCAUAAUUUGGGAUACAAAUGUAAGAAUUAGGCAGAUGACAUGUUGUUUCAAAGCUUUCGAAGAAGGACUAAAUAUGUCAUUGAAAGCCUCCAAUUUUGCGACUGAUUUUUUUUUAAUUUGUUAUUUUUAUAGGUGGCAAAAAUACCCGUCUGAUUUGGACUCGGCUGAUUUGGGCCGGGUACGGAGUAUGAAGCCGGGUUGGUCCUGGGCAUCACUUGAAACUCGGAACCUGGAUUUUAUUAAAAAAUAUUAUAAAUAUAUAUUAUUUUAAAUAUCUAUAUUUAUUAGACUCAUCUAUUACAUAUAUCUAAUUUCAUUGAAAUAAAUUUAAAAAUUAUAAAAUUACCAAUAUAUAUAUAUAUAUAUAAUAUUAAAAAAGUAUAAAAUCUGAGUCCUCAGAUUAAAACCCAGUUCAAGUGUCUAAAAAAUACAUGUGGACCGAGUUUGAACAUUGCGAUACCCAGACCCAAACUUGGGUUUUGCCAACCCUAGUCUUUUAAAUUGCUUGAUUGUAAUGUUUUAGUAUAGAAAAAUGAUAGCCAAGACAACAAUAAGAGGGCACAUUGUGCAUGCACAAUAGUGGAUAAUUUCGGCAUUCCAAAUCCAAUUAGGGUGGAUAACCUUUUAUUAGUAUUAACCUUCUCUCGUAUUCAAGUAAUGUAAAAUAUGCUUAGAAGCUGUGGAUCCCCCUUUAUAAGUGUUGGGCUUAUGCCAAACUCGAUUGAUGUGGGAUGCCUUUAUAGGCAUCAAGUUUUCUCCCAUACACUUUAUGUUAAAAAUAAUAAUGAUAAAAUAAAUCCAUUUUAAAAUAGACUUCUUUUUCUUUUCUAUAUAAACAAACUCAUUCUUCAAAUCAGUUGUGGGUGGAAGGAGUGAGUAGAGAAGAACUGGGCCCCUUUCGUUCCUCUAAAAACCUCACCAAACCUCUCUUGUAAGCUUCUCAGUGUCCCUCUCAAUAUUUCUUAUGAUCUCGUUUUUUAUUGAAUCACUUCUUUUGUGUGCUGCAUUUUUGUGUGUCGUAUUUGGGUUUAUCUUAUCUGGAAUCCUGUUAUGAUUGAUGGAACAAGUAAUCGAUUUUUGGUUUAUUUGGAAUGGAAUUAUGGUUUAUUUGGAAUGGAAUUAUCUGGGUGUAACGGAUUAAAUUAUGACAUUGGGGAGAAGGCACUAAGGGGUUUGCUUGACACAUUUGGUUCUGUGUUUACUCUGAAAGAAAUAGCUUUUGCUUAUCGUAAUGCAAGGCGAAAUCCCGAUUUGGGUGGUGAAUUUCUCUAUCCCAAUUGGGCUGGUGAAUUUCUCUGUGACAAAUAGGCAAACAGCUCAACCUCUUUUAUCUAUCUUCUACUAGUGAGGCAAGGGAUAAAAAGUCUUCAAAAUCAUCAAAUAGUAACAUCUUCGAGAAUUCAUUUUAUGCAAAUGGAAAAUCUAGACCUUCUAAGACAAAAUGGCGUCCAGUAUCAAGAGGUACCGUUUCAAGUUUUCUUGGUAAAAAUUAUGUAAACUUGCACAGCCAGCUAAUGGCACUUUUCUAGUUUUCUGGCAUCAAAGCCAUUGAAGUCGUAUCCAAAGGAGUUUCCCAUGUCUGCACUUUGUGGAGAAGGAACUAAACAAAAACAAUCAAAGGAUGACCAUUUGCAGAAGGAUGUGGAAGAUUUUCUGUUUAAAUUGCUAGGAGAAGUGUUCCAGCUGAAUAGGGAUGUGAUUCGGGAAGUUCCAGUAAUGUCUUAAAUAUGUUGAUGCCAAUUUAAUAUAUAUUGUCAUUUUCAAUGUUCUUUCUUUCUUUCUUUAUCUUCUUUUCUUCUACUUCUUCUUCUUUUUCUUUUCGUGUGCAUGUGAUCACUAAUUUGUUAUUAUACUUAACUUGCAGGUAGUUGUGGAUAUGAUAUGCAAAAGGUAAGGACUAUAUCUUCCUGAUAGAGGCCUCUGCUUUUUCCCUUUUAUGUAAUUUAGUAAAUCUCAUCUCCCUUUGUGAUUGUUAUAUCAUAUCAAAGUCAAGUCUUAAAUACUGCUGUCAUAUGUUAAGGUUCAACUUGCAUUUUGACUAACAUCCAUUUGUUGUCGCUUCCAAAAGUGAGAAUGAGAUACUUCGGUUAAUUUCAGUAGUUGAACCCAAUCGAGUACUUUAUCUAGAUCUUCAUGGUUCAAAGGCCUGAAACUUGCCCGUGAUUGUAAAAUGAUAUUAUGUGCUUUUAAUGCAAUAGGGGGAACAAGGUGUCAAAGGAAUUAGCAGAUUCUAUGGCAGAUUCUAUGCCUGUACAACUGUAACAAUUAUCCUUAUGAUUGUAAAUCUUAUAUGUUUUCCUUAUUUAGGAUAUACUAGCUGUAGGCUAUUUUAGAUAGUUAUGUAUAUGAUAGUUUAGCUAUGUUUAGGGCUAAACAUAAGCUUGUAUUCAUAGUAUAUAAAGGGAAUUCUCUUCUAAGAGAAAGCAUAACUUUUGCUCAAAAUUCUCUGAGUUUAUCAUGGUAUCAGAGCCUCAGUUCUGAAUUCUCUUCUUCCUAGUUCAUUCCCUUGUUCUUAGUUAUUCUUUUUUUUAUCAAGUUAUCUCAGCCUCAUGUCUUCAGACAAGUAUGAUGCUUUUUUGAUCCGUUUUAAUGGCACAAACUACUCAGCCUGGGCAUUUCAUUUCGAGAUAUUUGUCAAAGGCAAAGAUCUAUGGGGACAAGUUGAUGGCAGGAAACCUGCCCCUGAUAAAGAGAUAGACCAGGAUGGGUACGCCAAGUGGGAAGUCAAGGAUGCUCAAAUCAUGGCAUGGAUUCUAGGAUCUGUGGAAUCCAACUUCAUCUUGAAUCUUCGACCCUUCAAGACUGCAGCAGGAAUGUGGAAUCAUCUAAAGAAACUCUACAGUCACACCAACACUGCUCGUUGAUUUCAGCUUGAACAUGAGCUAGCCAAUCUCCAACAAGGCAGUCUCUCUAUUUCUGAUUUUUAUUCUAUCUUUAUGAUUAUUUGGGCUGAAUAUACUGAUAUAAUCUAUGCUACCUUACCUCCGAAGGUCUUAGUUUUGUUCAAUCUGUACAUGAAACUACUAAGAGAGAUCAAUUUAUGAUAAAACUGAUAUAUGAAUUUGAAAGCACUAGGUCCAAUCUUAUGAAUUGAGAAUCUGUCCCUUCCUUGGAUACAUGCCUCAAUGACUUAUUUCAUGAGGAGCAACGACUUCUUACUCAAAAUACCAUGAAACAAAAAAAAUCUACUUCUGUUCCUAUGGCUUAUGCAGCUCAAGGCAAGCCAAAAGGUAAGGACAUCAGUAUAGUUCAAUGUUUUUGUUGCAAAGGAUUUGGACAUUACGCUUCAAAUUGUUCAAAAAAAUUAUGCAACUAUUGCAAAAAAGAUGGACAUAUCAUUAAGGAAUGCCUUACUCGACCCCCCAAGAAAUCUGAAACAACAUAUGCUACCUCAGUUGGUUCUUCUAGUGAUGGUAGUUCUGUGGAUACAGCACAUUUGACCCAAAGUGCUCCUGUUCCUGUUCAAUCUGUGACCCCAUAAAUGAUUCAACAAAUGAUCAUUAUUGUAUUCUCCUCAUUAGGACUCUCAGGUAAAUCACCCACUAGAUCUCCUUGGUACUUUGAUUCUGGGGCUUCCCAUCACAUGACAAACAAUGCUAAAUUCUUCACCAAUGUAAGUAAAUACCUUAGAAAUCUAAAAAUUCAUACAGCUGAUGGCAACUCUUUACCUAUCACAGCCACUAGUGAUGUUUCUUUUUCUAUAACCAAUGUCUUUGUCUCUCCUGGUCUUCCUACUAAUCUUGUUUCAAUCGGUCAGUUAGUUGACAAUAAUUGUAAAGUAGAAUUCUCUAAAUCUAGUUGUGUUGUGCAGGAUCAGCAGUCAGGGAAGAUGAUUGCCAGGGGGCCUAAAAUAUGACGUCUUUUCCCUCUCCAAUUUGCUAAGUCUCCAUGUUUCUCUUUGCCUAUCAUCACUUGCAAUUUUACUAAGGUUAAUUAUCGAGCAUGGCAUAAACGUCUAGGACACCUAAACUCUAAUGUAUUUUAUGCUUUGCUAAAUUCUGGUUUACUUGGGAAUAAAAGAUCACCAUCCCUUAGUGUUGUUCAAUUUGAUUGCAAUUCUUGCAAGCUUGGAAAAAGUAAAAUUCUGCCAUUUCCCACUCACACACCGAAUGUUGUCCAGCCUUUUGAUUUGAUACAUAGUGAUGUGUGGGGUAUGGCGCCUGUUACAUCUCAUGCUAAUUACAAGUACUUUGUCACUUUUAUUGAUGACUAUAGUCGCUUCACAUGGAUUUAUUUUCUACAUUCUAAAGAUGAAGUGUUCUCUGUUUUCAAGCUUUUUCAUGCAUAUAUUCAGACCCAAUUUUCUACUAAUAUCAAAAUUCUUUGCUUUGAUAAUGGGGGUGAGUAUAUGUCUCAUUUAUUUUAAGAAUUUUUGCACACCAAUGGUAUAAUUUCUCAAAGAUCUUGUCCUUCAACCCCUCAACAAAAUGGGGUGGCUGAAAGAAAGAACUAUCACCUUCUCGAUGUUGUCUUCAUUUGUACCCUCUCGUUUUUGGUGUGAAGCUUUCUCCACUGUUGUCUAUCUCAUCAACAGAUUGUCCUCUCAUUCCUUGAACCAUGUCUCCCAUUUCUUUCAGUUAUUUGGCCAUACACUAAGUUACUCUCAUCUCCAUACCUUCAGUUGUGUGUGCUAUGUUCAUCUUCCUCCAUAUGAGCGUACAAAACUCACAGCCCAAGCUGUGAAAUGUGCUUUUCUAGGAUAUUUUAUGCACUAAAAAUGUUUUCUUUGUUAUGAUCCAAAUUUGCAUCAUAUAAGGGUUUCUCGAAAUGUGAUUUUCUUUGAAAAUCAGUAUUUCUUUUCCGCAUACCACGACGAUUCUUCGCCUUCAUUUUCUGUUUUGCCAAAGUUUACUAACCCUUCUGCAGAUUCUGCACCUUCUAAACCUAUCAUAGUCUAUCAGCGACGCAAGAAUUUAGUACCUCUCGGGCCCCCUCCAGCAACUUCCCUGAAUGUUGAUCCAGUUCCAGCAACUGCACCUGAACCUUUCAGACAUAGUACUCGGGUUCGUAGACCACCAGAUAGGUAUGGUUUCACCUCUCCAUUAUUUUUGACAGCCACUUUGUCUUCUAUUCUUAUUCCUUCAUCAUAUAAACAGGCAAUAGAGCAUGAAUUUUGGUGAAAAUCUAUUGAAUCAGAACUUCUUGCACUUGAAGAAAACCAAACUUGGGAUAUUGUUUCAUGUCCUCCAUCCGUGAAACCCCUUAGUAGUAAGCUAGUGUUUUCUAUCAAGCUGCGUUUUAAUGAAUCCAUAGAUCGUUACAAGGCUCGGUUGGUGGUUCUUGGCAACAAGCAAGAAUAUGGCCUAGACUACGAUGAGACCUUCGCGCCGGUAGCCAAAAUGACCACUGUUCGAACAAUAUUAGCCCUUGCUGCAUCACAAUCAUGUUCUUUACAUUAAAUGGAUGUAAAGAACGCUUUCCUACAUAGUGAUCUCAAGGAGGAAAUUUACAUGAAACUUCCCCACGGUAUGACUACUUCCUCUCCUAAUGAUGUUUGCAAACUAAAAUGUUCGUUGUAUGGGUUGAAGCAAGCACCGCGAGUAUGGUUUGAGAAGUUUCGAUCAACUCUUUUCAGUUUUUCAUUCACUCAAAGUCAGUAUGACUCCUCCUUUUUUUUUUCCAACAGACAUCUAAGGGCAUCAUUGUUCUCCUUAUUUAUGUGGAUGACAUCGUUAUCACUGGUUCUGAUAUGGAGGCAAUUUCUAAACUUCAGAAUUUGUUGCACUCUAUUUUUCACAUGAAAGACCUCGGUCAACUCACCUAUUUUUUGGGGUUAGAGGUGCAUUAUCUGCCUCAAGGUAUCUUCUUGAAUCAACACAAGUAUAUUCAGGAUUUAAUUUAAUUAGCUGGACUUAUGGACAAAAAUUCUGUUGACACCCCAGUGGAACUUAAUGUGAAAUAUCGACAAGACGAAAGGGAACUACUUCAAGAUCCUACUUAUCUAUCUAACUAUCACCCGCCCAGACAUCUCUUAUGCUGUCCACACCGUUAGCAAGUUCAUGCAAGCCCUUCGACAUCUCCACGUAUCCACAGUCCGCCGCAUCAUUAGAUAUAUUCUUGGCACUCUUAACUGCAGUUUAUUCUUCCCUACUGGUUCUUCACUCCAACUACAAGCCUACAAUGACGCAGAUUGGGCUAGCUGCCCGGACACGAGAAAAUCUACUUUGGGAUGGUGCAUGUUUCUUGGUGAUGCCCUUAGCUCUUGGAAAUGCAAAAAGCAAGACUCAGUCUCCAAAUAAUCCACUGAGGCAGAAUACCGCGCCAUGUCUGUAGCCUGCUCCAAGAUCAUUUGGUCGCGUGGUCUCUUAACAGAGCUUGGUUUCUCACAACAUCAACCUACUCCCCUACAUGCUGACAACACAAGUGCCAUCCAAAUUGUAGCCAACCCUGUCUACCAUGAGCGCAUGAAACACAUAGAGGUUGACUGCCACUCUAUUCGAGAGGCCUAUGACCACCAAGUUAUCACCCUCCUGCAUAUCUCCACUACUCUACUGAUUACGAAUAUCUUCACCAAAUCCAUGACAUGUCAGCGACAUAACGUUCUUGUUAGCAAAUUGAUGCUUGUAGAUUUACCAGCAUCAAUUUGAGGGGGGAUGUCAAAGGAAUUAGUAGAUCUUAUGGCAAAUUCUAUGCCUGUACAGCUGUAACAAUUAUCUUUAUGGUUGUAAAUCUUAUAUUUUUUCCUUAUUUAAGAUAUACUAGCUGUAGGCUAUUUUAGAUAGUUAUGUAUAUGGUAGUUUAGCCAUGUUUAUGGCUAAACAUAAGCUCGUAUUCAUAGUAUAUAAAGGGAAUUCUCCUCCAAGAGAAAGCAUAUGAAAGAAACUUAGUUCUAUAUUGUUUGGUAGGCUAGAAAAUGAAAGAAAAUAAAAGAAAAGCUUUGCAAAGAAAACUGUUAGAUCCUUUUAUUAUACCAAACUUACAGUUUAAUGACUAAAAAUUGAUAUUUAUAUUGAGCUACAAACUCUUCACACACACACACGAGAUUGUUGCAACACAUAACCAAUUGCUGUAUAACUAACUUGACACAUCAGCUCAACCAGCUAACUAACUUUGACAGGUCAGCUUAAUGAUUUGAUCUGAUACAACCAGCUACACAGCAACAUCAUGCUCUGCUCCAGCUUCAUCUAAUUCACUAACAACUUUUGCUCAAAAUUCUCUUAGUUUAUCACAGGGAAGUAUAGCUUUGGAAAAGGCCGGAUCAAUAACUAUGGAGAGAUUUAUAAGUGAUAAAAAUUCCCGUAACCCGCUGUCAAGAAAAUUUCACAUAGUUAAAGACGCCAUUUUGUUUCAGCCAAAAAUGUUUGUUUAAUCUGCCAAAAAUGUUUGUUUCGAUUAAAGACUUGAACCGUUUUCAUUUAACCUGAUUGUGAUGCUUUAUGUUAUGUAUGUUCCUCUCAAUCAAGAAAAGUUGAGGUUCAUGAUUUUAUAUUUCUAUCUUGUAACUUGCAAUAAUAACUGGUCUUCUUGUUUUUGUAGCUUGAUAACAUGAAUUUUCCUUCUCAAGUUAAUUUGAUCAAUAAAGUAAUUCUUCAAAGAAAAUAUGCCCAUUCUAUAAUCAUUUUCUUAGCUAAUAUGUUUUUUUUUUGUUUACUCUUCAGAGUGUGUCGAAACUAAUUGAUUGCUCGGCAGAGACUUUGGGUGACAAGUCAAAAUUUCAUGGUAAAUCCUCUGAAAAGGUAUGCAUAAUUCCUGAAUAUUAAAUAACCAAUGGUCAUAGUUUUUGUACACGACUCUUUUUGUGGAGAUCGUUAAAAGUGGUUGAUGAUCCAUUUGUAAUUUCAUAGAGGGAUCAUCAAUUCCUUUUCUUUUCUGUGGCUAGGCAUCACUUUCGUGCCAAAGUAAGGAAAUCUAUUUUAGGUAAUGUAAAAAACAAUGGUAGGAUGUAAUAGCUUAUUAUGCACUGACAAUAACUUUUUGUAUAAUUGUCAGUUUAAGGAAUACAAGAGGAACUCUGUUGACAAAUUCAUCCAAGAUAGAUGCUAAAAUUAUUUAUGCAUGCCAGUUGCCUUAACUAAUUUUUCUUAACACUUGUAUUGAACAGGAAAUGAGUAUGCAAUUUGUGUACGUGCCAUUGUGGAGAAUUUGGAUAUUCUUAUUUAAGUAAGAAGAAGAGUAUUUGCCUCAUCUUUAAACAAUGAAUCUUUGAGAAAUGAGGAGUGGGUGAUUGGAAGUGUCUUCAUGUAAAUGUUCAUUUACUUGUAUUUUGAACUAUUAUGAGAAUCUUUUAUAUGCCAAAUUAGUAAUACAAAUGUUCAGAUGAUUUUUCCUGUUGAUCACGCGUUUGUGUCUGCAGACAACCAUUGUAUAUCACUUUAUUCUGAUGUGCAAUUAUGUAUAGAUUAGAAGAAAAGAAAUAAUAGUCUUAUAUUAUUGUUUGGUUCAUGAUUAUUAAACGAUUAUGGCUUCAAAAAAUCUACAAAUUCCUUCUGUUCAUAUAUGAAUGUGCCAAGUUUGCUAUAUCUUAGAUUGCCUUCUUCCAAGAUAACAAGUUCAUAUGUUUUUUAAUCCUCUUCAAUCACAGUUGAAUUUUAAGUGUUAAGAUUUGUUAUUAAUACCUGGUUCCCUGUUAUUAUGAUUUUUAUUAUGAUUUCAUAAACAGUGUACGGACAUGUGCUCUACUUUUAAAGGGCCUCCACGUGAAAGAAAAUUGCAACAAUUGAAUUCUUCCGGAGGGUAUGGCAUUUAAUUUAUUUUCUCAACUUCUUGUAAGACUAAUAUAUUUCCUUCAGUAGGCAGGGCAUGUUGGGAAGGGCUUUUAUUGAAAGAAUUCUGAUAUUUCUUAGACUUUGUUUUGGAAGGGAGGUGGAGGGAUUUCUCAUCCAUAUAUGGUUACUUGAUUAGCUUUUGACUGUAUUGCCUCAGUCGUGCAAAGGAAGAUCCAAAUACUAAUGAAUGAGAAUUGGUUAGAGACCCAAAAGACAGAAAUGAACUACAGAAGGAAGUUUUUGCUGCUUUAUUUAGUGUUCCUGAGAACUCUGAUGAAGAUGGAGUGGAGGUCCAAAGCAUUAAGAAAGGUGGUGAGUGAACCGCCAGAGGAAUUGGUACCAGAAUACAAAGCUAAUGUGGUGCAUUUGCAGCAAGAUAACCAGACUAGUAUGUGCUCUUGUAUUAACUAUAUUGACUGGAUUUGUGAGCAUGUUCAUUUUUGUGUGUAUAAUCACUUUUGUAUUUAUGCAUAUUAAUGUUAGUAGGAUUCUUGAUUUCCUCCACUUACUGGAGAACUAGUGGAAAGCUUUAUAGUGAAAUAUCUGCAAUAACUAAUGGAAACCAUGAUUUGAAUAUUUUCUCUCACCUGGAGAGCUUUGUAACAGAUGUACUUUGUGGCUAUGGAAUACUAGAGAUUCUGCAAUAACUAAUGGAAACUCUGAUAUGAAUAUUUUCUCUCACCUGCAGAACUUUGUAACAGAUACACUUUGUGGCUCUGGAAUGUCUAAAGAUUUUGUCUGCUUCAGUUAGAUCAAAUAUCUUUUAGUUACCUACAUUAUGGAAAAGAUAGAGUUCUCUGAAUCUGAAAGACUGAAACAUUUUGCAUAUUUCGUGAAAGGAAAAUAUCUGUAGAUACUAGUUCAUGCAUUGAGGUAACAUCAAUGUUAAAGAAAAACAGCAAUAACUUAUUAUAUAGAAUUAGGUUCACUUGCUUUAAAUGCUGGUCUGGUCAACCAUAUGAACCUGUAAGUGUAUCUGCAGAAAUAUAUAUGGGGGGACAAACUAGCUAAAUUUUCCUCUCAUUUCUGGCUUUGGUCAUUUUUUCCCCUUAUUUUUCAGCUUUCCUUCUCCUGAAGUAUGUUAACAAUUGCAGAUAAUGACGAAGAGGACAGCUUGCAGGCUCUUCGUGGAGCUGUGAUGGAAUAUAGGGGCACAAUGAAAGAACAUUUUAAAGCUGUAGGUUCUUUUUCUCCUGUCAUUUAUAUUUGCUCACACAUUUUUCAUAUGCUCCAAGCAUGCAAGUUUGUAUGUGUCUUUGCCUUUUAAGUUUUAAAAACCAUAAGGUAAGAAUACAGUUCCUCGUCAGGUUAUUGAUGCAUUCACUCCGGAGGAUCAUGUUCGAGCAGGAAAACUUCUAGAACAGGCAAGGUUUUCCAUCUACAGCCAUCUAUUGACAACAGAUACAUUUUCAUUCAGCAGACACUGUUAGCAUUCAAGAUGCUGGCAGAUUCACUUGAUUCUUAUUAGUUUGUUUAGUGGUAAAGCAUAUAACCUGUUUUUCAAAGCCAAGUUGUGCUAUUGAUUAUGUUAACUUUAUUGUUCACAUAAAGUGAUAUGGAGGAAAUAAUCAUUGUAGGAAAAUUAGGUGAAGAGGUGAUGUCAAAUCUUGAACCUGUUACAAAACUCCAAGUUCUUUACUUGAAGAAGCUACCAAAUUUGAACAGGGUCCACUGGAAGGCCUUGCCAUUCCCUGAUGCCUGCAGAAUUUUUGUAUUUAAAUGCCCAGAGCUUAAGAAGCUGCCACCGGAUCUUGAAAGGGCAGGCCAAGGUAAAAUUCUUAUCAAGGGAAAGGAAGAUUGGUGGAAACAACUUCAAUCGGAGGAUCAAGUAACUCAGAAUGCAUUGCUUCUAUUUUUAAAAUCAACUGACAAGUGAUUGAAGGGGGCAUCAUCAACAUCAUCAACAUGGAUGGAGAGAUUCAGGAGCAGAUCCGCAGGGUUUAUUACGACCUGUGGUGGUUGCUUUUUUGUGACUUGUUCCCUUUCAUUUUUUCACUUCCUGUCAUAUUAUCAUUUCUUUGUCUCUGUUUCUAUUGCUGAUGUUGCUGCAUGCUUGCAGCCCUUGACAAAGUUAGCAAUGCAAUAUAGAUUUUGAAAUUAAAUUUUGUAUGUUCGGGACAGUCACAAAGUACUACUUGUUCUAUAUGGGGGUGAUGUGAAUCAACUUUUCAAUUAUAUAUUCUGUGGUAAUUGUGAAUUCAAUUUCAUUUGUCUCCUGCAAAUUAUGAAGAAAGUGCAGAGUUAGAAUAUCGAAAAGUUCACUGGCAAAUACUUUGUAAAAGCUUCGGAGUGAAACAGGGAAUGCACUUGCAACUAAGGACAAAUUGGUGGCCAGCUAAUGCAUUCAUUUUAUGUACAUUCAUCUUUUUAAUUAUUGAAGAUAAGUGGUUCGUUGCUUUUGUUGUAGAAAAAAUUCAGACGACCUCAAUUGUGAGAUGAAAAUAUUUAAAAUAUCUCUUAAAUUAUUAUAAACUUUAAUUUAUCUUAAUUUUAUUUAAAAGAUAAAAGAAAAAUGUGGUAUAUGGGUAAAAAUUUUUUUAUCUUGUUAAUAAAAUGAAAUAAAUUAAAAUUUACAAUAAUUUAAAGUAUUUUAAAAUUAUUAUUUCAUAAGAGAUUAAUAUGAAAUUAAUCCUUUUUACUUUUUGAAUGUGAAAGGACAAGAAAAGAGAAAGCUAGUGUCACUGCUUUUUAUUUUAUUUGAAAUCGGAGUUAUCCCAUAUACUUUACUACUUUAGCUCUAACAUUACAAUGUUUUUAGGCUACACUUUUAUUUUUCUUUUUCCCCCUUUUUUUAUACAUGCAUGUGGAUUACUUUUCUCUAAGCUCCUUAAUAUUUAAGACAAAUCAUAAAAGCAAUUGAAGCAUAACAAGAUGAUCAAAACAUUUAACCGAAAAAAAAAGAAAUAAAACAUUGAAAAUGGAGAUGUUGAUUAAUUUAGAAGAGAUGCAAGCAAAAAAUAUUCCCAAAAAAAAAAAAAAAAAAAGCAACGUUAGUUCAUCCAUGUCUGUCAAUGCGUUUUUUAUGGUUUUUUUUUUCCAGUUGUUUGUUGUAAUAGAUUAAUUGUAAAUUGAUAUAAACUUGAUGUUGUAAUAUGUUCGCUUUUGUGGAAAUAAAUUUCAAUAUUCAAGAUUAUUCAAGUCUUAUCUAGUAUGUGUUCGGUUGUGUUGUCGAUAAUUUUACAUUCUAAUAAGUUUUCACCUAAAAUAUUAGCAUGAGUAGUAGUCCUUAAACCUUUGGUCAAAAUUAUUGUUAUUGUUUCUUUUAGAGGAAAUUUUUUUAUUAAAGCCUCGUUAACACUAUUCCUUAUUAAGAUUAUAAGUUAGUGUCGGUGCAGGAUUUGCAGCGACAAAUCUUGUCUAGCCACGUGUCAAAAUACAAAUAAAUCAAGGGAAAGCACAUGACAUGGAUUAGGAUCCAAUAAAAUUUAAAUCCCAAGGAAAAGGACAACUGUAUCCUAAAGUUUCAAUAAGAGAUACUGGGAUAUCUUUUGACUAAUGUUAUUUUUUGGCUUUAUUAAUAAAAAGAUCCAAUAGUUUAUAACAAAUAAAAAUAUAGUAUUAAGCUAAAUGUGAUAAUUUACACAUUUUACAUAAUUUCAAUAAAAAUUUUUUUAAUGUUUUACAAUCUAUCAGACAUAUUUUAUUAAAUUAAUAAGAAUUUUCUUAUAAAUAGCAACAUAAUAUUAAAAUAAAUUUAUAAAAAUUUAAAUGUAAAAUAAUUUUAGUAUAAUUAAUACGCGGGAUAUAUUUUGUAAAUUAUAAAAUUACUUAACCCAAUGAUUUUUAAAAAUCUUUAAAAUAAAUAAAAAUAAAUUAUUCACAUUUUGAUGUAAAUAUUUAAAACAUUUUUAUACAUUAGUCCACAAUUAUUUAUGUUAUAUUUGUAUUUAUUAGAAAUUUUGAAAGUCAAAUGUUUUUUACCUCUAUGUUAUUAGAAUUAUUGCACACAGAGAAAGAGCCAUAUAUGCUUUAUAACUUUAAAAUCGAUUUGUUUUAUAGCUGGGAAUAGAGAUGAUCAUUAUUAUAAGGAUUUUUUAAAAAAAGAUAAAGAAUAUUAAUGAUUAGCGAAAUCUCUAUGGAAAUUGAAUUUAGUAAGAAAAAAUUGAGCUGAUUUUAGUGGUAUAGUAAUAUUUUAUAUAGAGAAAAGUAAAAGCUGCACCCAAGGUUAAGGGAAAUGGUCAAAAUUCUUUUUUAAUCAUAAUACCCUUUUUCCUAGAUAAUUUAAAAAUUUUACUCUAAUAGUUUAUAAUAAAUAAAAACAUAUAAUCCUAAAAUAAAUAAAAUGAUAUAUAUUUUAAAAUAAUCUCAAUAUUUAAAAUAUAUUUUAACAUUUUAUAAUCUAUUAGAUAUAUUUUAUUAUAUUAAAGUAAAUUUUAUAAUAAAUACAAAACAUACUAUUAAAAUAGAUAUAAAAAUUUUAAAGUAUUUUGAAUAUUAUAUAAAAUAACUUUAAUAUUGUUAAUGCAUGAGAUGCAUUUUAUUAAUUAAAAAUUCUAUGUAACCCAAAGAUUUAUUUAUAAUAAAUUAAUAAUCAUAUUUUUGAAAUUAUUUUAAAUAUUAAAAAAUAUUUUAAUAUUACUAACUAUUAGAUAGACUAAACUAUUUAUUUUAUUUUCUAUUUAUUAUAAAAUUUCAAAGUUAAUCUUUUUAACUACUAUUCAAAAGAUGUUAUGAUAAAAACAGAAUUUUUGUGUUUUUAUUGAAAAUUUGGAGUUUACAUCUAUUUUUUCAAAUAUUCAGGGUGUAACUGUUUUUUCCCUUUUAUAUAUACGAACGGUGGUGAGAAAGUUUGAUUUAACGUUAUUUAUUUAAAUAAAAUCUCAGUUAAAAAUGUACAGAGAAGAAAUUUCGGUUGGUAUUUUAGUCUUGGUAAUCUCUAUAUUAUAUGCAUAUAAGAUACAUCAUUCUCACAUGAAUAGUAUAUGUGUGAGAUCCAUAUAUUAUUCAUGUGAGGGAGAUGUAUCUUAAUAAGAUAGAGGGAUCCGUUAGUCUUUUACCAAUCAUCACGAUUAGGCCUUGGCCUUGAAACAUUAAUUGUUUCACUUUUAGCGCUAGUGGCGUUGAAAGUUGUCAAGAAAAAGCAAGACCAUAUUCCACAAAAGCAAAAGUAACGUAGGCUCUUUUAUUAAAGGCAAAGUAUAAAGUAGUCAAGAAUCGAAUAUCCUGUCGUCUACUCUUUUUUAAAUUCUUCUUUUAUUAUCGUUUAGAAUAGUUUUUGGUAAUUACAAUCAUUAUUCAGAGUUAUUGUUAUCUUCCGGGGCAGUCUCUGUUCAUCGAAGUCGUUACCUUUUUUUUAAUGGAUCAGUUCCAGUGGUAAGCAGUAAUUUUCUUAGAACUCGGAUCUUUAAUUCGAGUUUCUGUGUGAAUUAAUAAUAAAAAAUUUUCAUUACACGCAAUUUAAGCUACGAAUUACUUUUUGCAAAGUUGAAUAUGGAAUUGGAGAAAUUAAGUAAUUUAGAAUGUUGGUAAAAAUUGACGAACAUAUCUCCAAUUACAGUAAAACCUCUCUACAGUCAUAACAUUAUAACAAAAUUAAUUUUAUUACUAUGUUGAGGUAAUAUAGGUUUAGUUACAAAAUUAUUGUUUUAAUAUGGUUAGUGUCAAGUGAUAUAAAGGUUAAGUAUGCAGUACAUUAAUAAUUAAAUAAUGAAGUGUCAAAUCUAAUGUAUAUAUAUUAAUGAUAUAGAUAGACAUAGUUUUAAAAAACUAAUUAAUGUAUAUUUAUGUAGUGUUAUGAAUAUGGAAAGUCAAGCCUACACUUUACAUUAUCCUUAAUUUUUUCUCUCAGUUAAAUUCUACAAAUAUUGUACAAUGGUUGGGCAAGAACUCUAAAUUAAGAAUAAAUUAUUGUCACAAAUAAUUUUAGAAAAUAUUUUAUUUCGUCUUAAACCUUUAAUAUAAAUAAACAUAUAUAUAUAUAUAUAUAUAUAUAUAUAUAUAUAUAUGUGUGUGUGUGUGUGUGUGUGUGUGUGUGUGUGUGUGUGUGUGUGUGUGUGUGUGCAUAUUUUGCAACGUAUAGAUAAUUGUUAGUAUAUGGAGACAAGUCUUUUAAGGUAGGACCUAGGAAAAUUUAUAACUUACUACACUGUGGAGUUUUUAUUCCUUUUUAUAAUUGGCUCAUAUUGAUACAUUCUUACACAAAAUAUUACCAUUGACAUAUUUUACUACAAUUAGUUUAGAACAUUUGUUAGGAAAAAAAAGAAAAGAAAAGAAAACAUCCCUUGGAUGUAGCUCUCCUGACUAUUUAAAUCUUUUAAGGAAAAAAAGAAAAAAGAAAAACUGGCACAUUCAAAUCUUGAAGCAAUUACAUUAAAAUCUCUCCAUAAUGAUAGGAAUAAUCUCCAUUUAGUAAUAAAAAAUUUUGUUCGCAAUUUAGGCAGAGUUAUAAAUAAGAAUAAAAUCCUCAUUGUAAUAAGUUAUAUUUAUUAUGGAUCCCAUCCUAAGGAAUUCGUCUCUAUAUAGUAAUAAUUAUUUGCAUAUUAUAAAUAUAUAUGUUGCAUUAGAUUAAAUGAACUUGUCUCCACAUACUACUUAGACAACGAGAGAAAAUUAUUAAAGAGAACACAAAUAUUUAGAUAUUUUUAAGAUUACUUUGCAUAUUUAUAACAAUAAUACAUUGAUAUAUGUAUUAGUUUUUUGAUAUAUUAGAUUUAACAUGCUCUAUUAAUAAAUUAUUAAUACGAUGCAUAUUCAUCUCUAUAUCCUUGCAAUAAAAGUAACUAAGUUAUAACAAUAAUUAUUAAUAAAUUAUUAAUACGUUGCGUACUUCAUCUCUAUAUCCUUACAAUAAAAAUAACUAAGUUAUAAUGAUAAUUUUUGUAACUACAUACUUAUUAGGUUUUAACUACUUCAUAAUAAUAAAUUAGUUUCGUCCUAAUAUUAUAAUUAUGUAGAGUUGUAGUGUAUAGACACACCCAAUUUAAAUAGUAUAUCAAAUAAAAUUGUCCCCACGAAAAAGAAAAAAGGGGUAAAGGAUUCUCAUUUCUUCAAACAUUAGGAUCACGUUUGUACAAGUGCGAUGCCUUUCUUUUGAAGGCAACGUCAGUGGGUACCCAAUAGGACGUGUGUAAAUCUUUCCAAAAUUUCUCUGGUAUAACGGACAGAGAUCAUUACUUUUCUCUUCCAUAUACCACAGCAGCUUCAGUUAAUCAGACUCAAUCAAUUUUCUUGGUUUCUUCGCUUAUCAAAAUUCCAAAAUAUGGGUAGCAUAUUUCAAAUCACAUGCGAUGGUGCUUUUUUCAAUCGUUGCUUGGAUUGCUUUCUUGGAAAAGUAGCAAACACAAGUAAGCUCCAAGAUAACCUUGUUGCCUUGGAGACUGAAUUGGGAAAACUAAUCGCAGCAAAGAACGAUGUGAUGAUGAGGGUUGUCAAUGCUGAACGGCAACACCUGAGAACGCUGGACCAAGUGCAAGUGUGGCUUUCGAGGGUGGAAGCUGUUGAAACUGAAGCUGAUGAAUUGAAAAGACACGGCUCUCAAGAAAUUGACAAAUUAUGUGUUGGAGGCUACUGUUCCAAGAACUGCGCGUCAAGCUACAAGUUCGGGAAACAAGUGGCUAAAAAGCUACGGGAUGUGCAGACUUUAAUCGACGAAGGAGUUUUUGCGGCGGUGGCUACCGAGGUGGUGCCUGAGAGAGCUCCAGAACCUGUAGCAGAUGAAAGACCCACUGAGCCAACAAUAGUAGGCUUGCAAUCACAACUUGAACAAGUUUGGAGAUGUCUUGUAGAAGAAUCAGUGGGAAUCAUUGGCCUAUAUGGUAUGGGCGGUGUUGGUAAAACUACACUAUUGACCCAUAUCAACAAUAAAUUUCUUGAGAGUCCAACCAGUUUUGAUUGUGUGAUUUGGGCCGUAGUUUCAAAGGACUUGCGACUCGAAAAAAUUCAAGAAGAUAUUGGGAAAAAGAUCGGUUUGGUUGAUGAUUCAUGGAAGAGUAAAAGUGUAGAGGAGAAAGCUCUCGACAUCUUCCGGAGUUUAAGAGAGAAGAGAAUUGUAUUGCUGUUAGAUGAUAUAUGGGAGCGGGUUGAUUUAACAAAAGUGGGCAUUCCACUUUCCGGACCAAAAAAUACUACAUCAAAAGUCGUAUUCACAACCCGUUUCGUCGAUGUUUGUGGUAGCAUGGAAGCUGACAAGAAGUUCCAGGUGGCAUGCUUAUCAGAAGAGCAUGCUUGGGAACUGUUUCGAAAAAAAGUUGGGGAAGAAACUCUUGAGAGUGAUCAUGAUAUCGUUGAGCUAGCCCAAACUGUGGCCAAAGAGUGUGGUGGUUUGCCACUCGCACUUAUUACUAUUGGUCGAGCUAUGGCCUUCAAAAAGACAGCCGAGGAGUGGAGUCAUGCAAUUGAUGUGCUAAGAACAUCAGCUUCUGAGUUUGCAGGUUUGGGAGAAAAGGUUUAUCGUCUUUUAAAGUUUAGCUAUGAUAGUUUGCAGAAUGAGACGAUUAGAUCUUGUUUCUUAUAUUGUUGUUUAUAUCCCGAGGAUUAUAGCAUUCUUAAAUGGGACUUGAUUGAUUGUUGGAUUGGUGAGGGAUUCUUAGAGGAAUCUGACAGGUUCAGUGCAGAAAACCAAGGAUACUACAUUGUGGGCACUCUUGUUCAUGCAUGUUUAUUGGAAGAGUUAGAAGAUGAUAAAGUAAAAAUGCAUGACGUUGUUCGUGAUAUGGCUCGAUGGAUAGCUUGUGAAAUUGAGAAGGAGAAGAGAAAAUUUUUGGUUUGUGCAGGUGCUGGAGUAGGAGCGGUGUCAGAUGUUGAAGGAUGGGAAAAUGUGGGAAGAUUGUCAUUGAUGCAAAACCAAAUUGAAAUUCUGUCAGAGGUUCCCACAUGCCCUCAUCUCCUCACUUUAUUUCUUGACUUUAAUUAUAAAUUGGAGAUGAUCACCGAUGGCUUCUUCCAAUGUAUGCCUUCUCUCAAAGUUUUGAAGAUGUCAAACUGUGGGCAUGUCAAAGUUUUGAAAUUACCUUUUGGGAUGUCAAAGCUGGGUUCACUACAACUUCUUGAUAUUUCACAUACCGGCAUAAGAGAGUUACCAGAAGAGUUAAAGUUGUUGGUAAAUCUGAAAUGUUUGAAUUUGAGGUGGACACAUAUGUUAAAUAAAAUUCCACGGCAGCUAAUAUCAAAUUCUUCAUGGUUACGUGUGUUGAGAAUGUUCGCUAUUGGCUUUGAAAAUUCUAAAGAACCAUCAGAAGACAGCGUUUUAAUUGGUGGGGGUGAAGUUUUAGUACAUGAAUUGCUCGGUUUGAAAUAUUUAGAGGUAUUGGAGUUGACCUUGCGAAGUUAUGAUGCUCUCCAAUUUUUUUUGAGCUCAAAUAAGUUAAAAAGUUGUAUUCGAUCUCUUUUCCUCAAUAAGCUGGGAGAUACAAAGUCGAUUCAUGCUACGGCUUUCGCAGAUCUAAAGCAUCUCAAUGAACUAUGCAUUCGUUCGGCAGUGGAGUUGGAAGAAUUGAAGGUUGAUUAUACAGAGAUUGCGCCAAAAAGGUCGGAACCUUUUGUUUUCCGCAGCCUUCACCGUGUUACUAUGGAGCGGUGCCAUAAAUUGAAAGAUUUGACAUUCCUCGUUUUUGCUCCAAGCCUCAAGUCUCUUUCGCUAUACGGUUGCAAUGCUAUAGAAGAAAUAAUCAGCGUUGGAAAAUUUGCUGAGACUCCUGAGGUGAUGGGACAUAUAAGCCCUUUUGGAAAUCUCCAAACGCUUUAUUUAACUGAUUUGCCAGAGUUGAAAAGCAUCUACUGGAAGCCAUUGCCUUUCACUCAUCUCAAAGAAAUGACGGUACAUGGGUGUAAUCAGCUUAAAAAGCUUCCAUUCGAUUCCAACAGUGCAACAGAGCGUAAAUUUGUUAUUCGUGGAUACACACUCUGGUGGAACCGUCUUCAAUGGGAGGAUGAAGCCACUCAAAUUGCUUUUCGUUCCUGUUUCCAAUCUCAUGAAAUAUAAAUUCCUGAGCGGUGGUUGCAAAAUUUGAUUUCUAGUGAGUGCUUUUUUCUUAAACUCUUACAUAUAUUCUCGUCGUUUGCUUCGUGCAACGGACUAGGUUUUUAUUUCAGAUUCGUUUUUUGUCUCCUGCAAAUCACAAUUAAAUGUUGAAUUAUAUGGAGUCAAUGCUUUAUAAAAUUUUCAAGGCACUGCCAUUUCCUUUUUCUUUUUCUUUUUUUUUUUGGGUCGAAUUGAUGCUCUGGCUUUUUACUUUUUGUUGUCACAUUUUGCUCUGUUUUUUCAAGUUGAUGCUUGAAUAGUUGAAUUCAAUUGAUGCUCACAUAAAUUUGUUUAGUUGCCGCAAAAGGAUAUAAUUAGACUGAAGUACACACUUCUAGAAUGAAUACAAAAUGUUAAGUAUACUAGCCCUCUUUACAGAAAAUCAAAUGAAAAUCAAUUUUUUGGGGCUUUGAUUUUCUAUGGUCUAUUAUAUACUCUUUUUAAUAUCUUCUGUUCUAACUAUAACCAAAUCCUUUGUUCAAGGAUUUUUAUUUGGGGUAUUGAUAACUGUCCACCAAAAGAGUGAACACUUGGAUGCUGCUCAAGGAUCUCUAAUCAAUAGCUGGAAGCAACUGAGAAGGCGGUCGCUACUGUUUACAAAGCGAUGCAGUAUUUGCCAUUCAUCUUAAUAAUUAUGAAGCUUUGGUAAAAUUUUCAAACAAAGUUGAACACAUGUUGUUUUGAGAUUUGGUUCAUGAUUUUGGAUGAAUAUCGUUGUUCCGUUUGAGUUGGAUGUGAAUUCAAAAUCUAUAUAUUCUUUGGUUUUCAAUUCUGAACUCAAUUUCUUUUUCUCAAGCAUGUUAUGCAGAAAUGAUUUUUUACUAAAUCAUUUUUGAUGAAUUGUUUAAAUUAAACAAUUGGAAUAAGAAUUGAAAAGGUUUAUCAUAAGCAUGCUAAUAUGAUAAGUUGUUUUAUGAACGAUUAAUUAAUUAAUCAAUUAAUAUUAAAUUAUCUAUUAGUCAAUUAGAUAUGCGUUACAUGUCAUGUUUAAAAAUUAUUUAUUUAUAUUUCAAACAAAUUUGACUGGAUGUUGUGUAGGUAAUACUACAUAAUUUCAAAACAAAAAAAGUAAUAAAAACACGUUAAAUUUUGUUUUUAUGAAGAAAAAUUUAAAAUUUUAUUAAAUAGGUGAAAAUAAUAAAUGGAUUCGUGUAUGGUUUGAGAUUCUUGACAUAAUUAUGAAAUAAGCCGGAUUCGACUUAGUUCAAUUUUGACGCGAUAAGAAGACGACACCACACAAACACACGAUAAGAACCGUUACCUGAGAAGAUUGCCAUCAGGAAUUUUGAAAUUGAUUUCACUACAAUACCUUAAUCUUUCAGAUACUACCAUCACUGAGCUGCCAGAAGAGCUAAAAGCCUUGGUAAAUCUUAAGUGUUUGAACUGUACACAAAUUAUCUCUCUACAAUUCAAAAACAACUAAUUUGUUACUUUUUCAAUGCUACAUGUUCUGCGAAUAUUGAGUUGUGGUUAUCUUGUUGAAAUAUCAGACAAUAGAGUUCUAUUUGGUGGUAGUGAAUUGUUGGUUGGGGAGUUGCCUAGUUUAAAACGUUUAAAUGUAUUAAGCAUCACCUUACAAGGUUUUUCUGCUGUCCAAAAACUUAUGAGCUCUCAAAAGUUUCAAAGCUGUACAAAAUGUUUGGAGCUUAUAGACUGUGAUGAUUCAAAGUCUUUUGCCUUGGCAGAGUUGAAGCAUCUCGAAAAACUAGUUUUUUGAAUUGUGGAAGAGUUUAAGUUCUGCUUUGUUGAAGUUGGAAAAGCUCAAGAAUGUUUUCGUUUGAACAGUUUUCACCGAGUUAAUAUAAAGGCUUGUCAUAAAUUGAGGGACGUGACAUGGCUUGUAUUUGCUCCAAAUCUUACAGUUAUUCAAAUAGAAAAAUGUAUGCAGAUGGAAGUAAUAGUCAGUGCAAGGAAAUUGGGUGAAGUUCCAGAGAUGAUGGCAGAUCUAAACCCUUUUGCAAAUAUCUUUGCCAGCGAGUUCUACCAAAAUUAAAAAGCGUCUAUUGGAAUGAGUCACCCUUUCCACAUGUCAGGGAAAUUAUUGUAUCUGAAUGCCCAAUUCUCAAGAAGCUUUCACUCGGUUUUAACAAUGCAAAGGAAUCUAAAAUUGUCAUUAGGGGAGAGGAACACUGGUGGAGUGAGCUGCAAAGGGAGGAUGAAGCGACCGUUAAUGCUUUUCUUCCUUGUUUCGGUUCCAUUUGAUAGGCAUCAACAUGGAUUUAUAUUUUGCGGUGGACAACUUGUGGUAAGUGCUUUUCCAUUUAUUACAUGUUUAUAUCUAACUUUUGUUUUCCUUUAUGGUUAAAUUUUACUGUAUAUAUGUUGUUAUACGGUGACAUUCUCGCAUCAAUUAUUAGCUUUUUAAUUCUCUUCUGGCAUUAAUUGCCCUUCUGAUCAUGUAGGAUAUGCCGAUGUCAAAGAGUAGUAAAUUGGGAUACAAAUGUAAGAAUUAGCCAGAUGACAUGUUGUUUUGAAGCUCUCUCGAAGGACUAGUUAUGUCAUUCAAAGCAUCCAAUUUCGCUACUUUUUUUUUCAUUUGUUGCUUUUUAUAUUUCUAGAUAGCUUGAUAUUCGGCCAAGACAUCGAUAGGAGGGCACAUUGUGCAUGCACACUAGUGGAUGAUUUGGGCAUGCCGAAUCCAAUUAGCGUGGAUGACCCUUUAUAAGCAUCAGGCUUCUCUCAUACCAGAGCAAUGUAGAAUAUGUUUAUAAACUGUGGAUUACCCUUUAUAAGUUUAGACUUCUUCUAUACUCGAGCGAUGUGGAAUACCUGUAUAAGCAUUAAGCUUCUCUCAUACACUUUAUGUUAAAAAUAAUAAUAAUAAUAAUAAAAUAAAUCCAUUUUAAAAUAGGCUCUUUUUUUCUUUUUUUAUAUAAACAAAAUGCAUUCUUCAAAUCAAUAGUGGGUGGAAGAAGUGAGUAGAGAAGGACUAGGCCCCUUCAUUCCGCCUAAAACCUCACCGAAACCUCUCUUGUGAACUUCUCAGAUUCUCUCUCAAUAUUUCUUAUGAUCUCGUUUUUGAUAGAAUCACUUCUAUUGCAUGCUGCAUUUUGUGCGUCGUUUUUGGGUAAUAUCUUAUCUGGAAUGCUGUUAUGAUCAAUAGAACAAGUAAUCAAUUUUUGGUUUGACGGAAGUCGAUUUAUUUAUUUACUAUUGUUUUUUAUUUGAAAUUUUGACAGUUGUGUUUCAUUCAUUUCUUUCCUUCUUUUUUUAUUUUAUAUUUAUUAUGUAUAAUUGUGUUUCAUUUGAUAUUGAUCAUACUGUAGAUAACUAUGUGAUUGUAGCUGGGGAUUUUAAGUUUUGUGAAUUCAAGAAACUGUCAAAAUGCUAGUGAAAUUGGGACCUUUAUUCAUAAGCUUGUGGUUUUCAAAAGUAGCCGGGUUCAACUGAUGAAGUUCCUUUUUGGGAUUCUUUUUUUUCUAGGCUGCAAUUCGGAUAUGUACCUGAUAGACAAUCUUUUGUGAGUUUAGCAUAUCUUCUCCGAUUUUGUCUUUUAUUCCCCAACUUUACAGCUACACACCAUGAAUGCUGGGUGAUUGUACAGAAAAUUUGUGUUAGAACAAAAGCAUUGUGAAGGAGUUUCUGUGCUAUAAGUUAUUGGCUUCAGCUUUAUUGGCAUUAAUUGGGUAGAUUAUGUGUUACAGUGAUUCAAUUUGUGAUCCACACUUUAAUUUUCUCUUUUCCCCAAUUAUUUAUGUCAAAUUCAAAUCCAGAAGCAUGCGCUGAUUUUUUUUUUUUUUUGUGAUAAUCUGUGAAGUUUAUUUGGAAAGGACGUAUCUGGGUUUAAUGGAUUAAAUUAUGACAUUGAGGGAAAGGCACUAAAGGUUUUGCUUGACACAUUUGGUCUGUGUUUACUCUGCAAUAAAUAGCUUCGCUUAUCAGAAAUCCCUAUUUGGCUGGUGAAUUUCUCUGUGACAGACAGGCAAACACCUAAACCGCUUCUAUCCAUUUUUCUGCUGGUGAGGUAAGGGGUAAAAAGUCUUCAAAAUCAUCAAAUAGUAACAUCUCUGAGAAUUGGUUUUAGAAAAAUGGAAAAUCUAGACCUACUAGGACAAAAUGGCGUCCGGUAUCAGGAGGUACCGUUUCAAGUUUUCUUGGUAAAGAAUAUAUUAAACCUGCGCAACCAGCUAAUGGCACUUUUCUGGCAUCAAAGCCAUUGAAGUUGGAUCUAAAGGAGUUUUCCCAUGCCUGCAUUGUGCAGAGAAGAAACUAAACAAAAACAAUCAAAGAAUGACCAUUUGCAGAAGGAUACGGAAGAUUUUCUAUUUAAAUUGUUAGGAGAAGGGUCCCAGCUGAACAGGGAUGUGAUUCAGGAGGUUCUCGGUAAUGUCUUAAAUAUACUGAUGCCAAUUUAAUACAUAUUGUCCUUUUCAAUGUUCUUUCUUUCUUUCUUUUUUUUUUCCUUCUUCUUCUUUUUCUUUUCGUGUGCAUGUGAUCACUGAUUUGGUAUUAUGCUUAAGUUGCAGAUAGCUGUGGAUUUGAUAUGCAAAAGGUAAGGACUAUAUCUUCCUGAUGUAGGCCUCUGCUUUUUCCCCUUCUAUGUAAUUUAGUAAUUCACAUCUUCCUUUGUGAUUGUUAUAUCAUAUCGAAGUCAAGUCUUAAAUACUGCUGUCAUAUGUGAAGGUUCAACUUGCAUUUUGAUUAAGAUCCAUUUGCUGCUGCUUCCAAAAGUGAGAAUGAGAUACUUUGGUUAAUUUCAGUGGUUGAACCCAAUAGAGAACUUUAUUUAGAUCUUCAUGGUUCAAAGGCCUGAAAAAACUUGCCCGUAAUUGUAAAAUGACAUUCUGUGCUUUUUAUGCAAUAGGGAACAGGGAAGUAGAGCUUUGGAAAAGCCUGGAUUGAUAACUAUGGAGAGACUUAUUAUUUAAGUGAUGAAAAAUUCCCAUCGCCCGCAGUCAAGAAAAUUUCAGAUAGUUAAAGACUCCAUUUUGCUUCAGCCAAAAAUGUUUGUUUCAAUUAAAGACUUGAACCAUUUUCAUUGAACCUGAUUGUGAUCCUUUACGUUAUGCAUGUUCCUCUCAAUCAAGAAAAGUUGAGGUCAUGAUUCUAUAUUUCUAUAUUGUAACUUGAAAUAAUAAUUGGUCUACUUGUUUCUGUAUCUUGAUAAUAUGAAUUUUCCUUCUCAAGUUAAUUUGUUCAAUAAAGUAAUUCUUCAAAGAAAAUAUGCCCAUUCUAUAAUCAUUUUCUUAGCUCAGAUGUUUUUUCUUCACUCUUCAGAGCAUGUCAAAACUAAUUGAUCGCUUGGCAGAUACUUUGGGUAAGAAGACAAAAUUUCUUGGUAAAUCCUCGGAAAAGGUAUGCAUAAUUCCCGAGUAUUAAAUAACCAAUAGUCAUAAUUUUUGUACAUGACUCUUUUUUCUCUUUUUUGUGGAGAUCAUUAAAAUUGGUUGAUGAUCCAUUUUGUAACAUCAUAGAGGGAUCAUCAAUUCCUUCUCUUUUCUGUGGCUAGGCAACACUUUCAGGCCAAAGUAAGAAAAUCUAUUUUAGGUAAUGUGAAAACCAACGGUAGGAUGUAAUAGUUUAUUAUGCACUGACAAUAACUUUUUGUAUGGUUGGCAGUUUAAUGAAUACAAGAGGAACUUUGUUGACAAAUUCAUCCAAGAUAGAUGCUAAAAUUAUUUAUGCAUGCCAGUUGCCUUAACUAAUUUUUCUUAACACUUGUAUUGAACAGGAAAAUGAAUAAGCAAUCUGUAUAUUGUGCCAUUGUGGAGUAUUUGGAUAUUCUGAUUUAAAUAACAAGGAGAAUACUUGCCUCAUCUUUAAAUGAGGAGUGGGGGAUUGGAAGUGUCUUCAUGUAAAUGUUCAUUUAUUUGUAUUUUGAACUAUUAUGAGAAUCUUAUAUGCCAAAUCAGUAAUACAAAUCUUCAGAUGAUUUUUGCUGUUGAUCAUGGGUUUGUGUCUGCACACAACCAUUGUAUAUCACUUUAUUCUGAUGUGCAGGUAUGUGUAGCUUAGAAGAAAUGGAAUAAUAAUCAUCUAUUAUUGCUUGGUUCAUGAUUAUUAAACGAUUAUGGCUUUAAAAAGUCUACAAAUUCCUUCUGUUCAUAUAUGAAUGUGCCAAGUUUGCUAUAUCUUAGAUUAUCUUCUUCCAAGAUAACAAGUUCAUAUUCUUUUUAAUCUUUUUCCCUCACAGUUGACUUUUAGGUGUUAAGAUUUGUUAUUAGUCCCCUGUUAUUAUGAUUUCAUAAACAGUGUACGGAUAUGUGCUCUAACUUUGGAGGACCUCCACAUGAAAGAAAAUUGCAACAAUUGAAUUCUUCCGGAGGGUAUGGUCUUUAAUUUAUUUUCUCAACUUCUCGUAAGAUUAAUAUAUUUCAUUCAGUAGGCACAGCAUGGGGGGAAGGGUUUUUAUUGAAAGAAUUCUGAUAUUUCUUAGACUUUGUUUUGGAAGGGGGGUGGAGGGAUUUCUCAUCCAUGUAUGGUUACUUGAUUAGCUUUUGACUGUAUUUCCUCAGUCAUGUAAAGGAAGAUCCAAAUACCAACGAAGGAAUAUUGCCUAGACACCCGAAAGACAGAAAUGAGCUACAGAAGCAAGUUUUACUACUUUAUUUAGUGCUCCUGAGAAAUCUGAUGGAGACCGAAUGGAGGUCCAAAGCAUUGGAAAAGGUAGUGAGUGAACCGCCGGAGGAGUUGGCACCAGAAUGCAAGGCUAAUGUGGUGCACUUGCAGCAAGAUAACCAAACCGGUAUGUGCUCUUAUAUUAACUAGACUGACUGGAUUUGUGAGUGUGUGCAUUUUUUUGUGUAUACUCUUGUAUUUAUGCAUAUUAAUGUGUGUAGGAAUUUCUGCCACUUACUGGAGAACUAGUGGAAAGCUUUAUAUCGAUAUAUCUGCAAUAACUAAUUGGAAACUAUGAUAUUAAUAUUUUCUCUCACCUGAGGAACUGUGUAACAGAUAUACUUUGUGGCUCUGGAGUACUAGAAAUUCUGCAAUAACUAAUGGAAACUAUGAUAUGAAUAUUUUAUCUCAACUGGAGAACUUUGUAACUUGUAGCUCUGGAAUGUCUAAGGAAUUUUGUCUGCUUCAGUUAGAUCAAAUAUCUUUUAGUUGCAUACAUUAUAGAAAAAGAUAAAGUUCUCUGAAUCUGAAAGACUGAAACAUUUUGUAUAUUUUGUGAAAGGGAAAUAUCUGUAGAUACUAGUUCAUGCAUUGAGGUAACAUCAAUGUUAAAGAAAAACAGCAAUAAGUUAUUAUGUGGAACUAGGUUCACUUGCUUUAAAUGCUGGUCUGGUCAACCAUAUGAACCUGUAAGUUCUGCAGAAAUAUAUAUACGGGGAGAAACUAGCUAAAUUUUCCGUUCAUUGAUGGCUUUGGUCAUUUUUUUCCCCUUAUUUUUCAGCUGUCCUUCUCCUGAAGUAUGUUAACAACUGCAGAUAAUGAUGAAGAGGACAGCUUGCAGGCUCUUCUUAGAGCCAUGAUGGAAUAUAGGGGCACAAUGAAGGAACAUUGCAAAGCUGUAGGUUCUUUUUCUCCUGUCAUUUAUGUUUUCUCACACAUUUUUUAUAUGCUCCAAGCAUGCAAUUUUGUAUGUGUCAACUGCUUUCUAAGUUUUAAAAACCAUAAUGUAAGAAUACAGUUUCUUGUCAGGCUAUUGAUGCAUUUGCUCAGGGGGAUCAUGUUCGAGCAGGAAAACUUCUAGAACAGACAAGGUUUUCCAUCUACAGCCAUCUAUUGACAACAGAUAUAUUUUCAUUCAGCAAACACUGUUAGCAUUCAAGAUACUGGCAGAUUCACUUGAUUCUUAUUAGUAAUGUUUAGUAGCAAAGGAUAUAACCUGUAUUUCAAAGCCAAGUUGUGCUAUUGAUUAUGUUAGCUUUAUUGUUCACAUAAAGUGAUAUGGAGGAAAUAAUGUGAAGUGAUAUGGAGGAAAUAAUCAAUGUAGGAAAAUUAGGUGAAGAAAUGAUGUCAAAUCUUGAACCUCUUACAAAACUCCAAGCUCUUUACUUGAAUAAGCUACUAAAUUUGAACAGGGUCCACUGGAAGGCCUUGCCAUUCUCUGAUGCAUGCAGAAUUUUUGCAUUUAAAUGCCCAGAGCUUAAGAAGCUGCCACUGGAUCUUGAAAGGGCAGGCCAAGGUAAAAUUCUUAUCAAGGGAAAGGAAGAUUGGUGGAAACAACUUCAAUGGGAGGAUCAAGUAACUCAGAAUGCAUUGCUUCCAUUUUUAAAACAACCAGCAAGUGAUUGAAGGGGGCAUCAUCAACGUCAUCAACAUGGAUGGAGAGAUUCAGGAGCAGAUCAGCAGGAUUUAGUACGACCUGUGGUGGUUUCUUUUUUGUGACUUUUUUCCCUUUCAUUUUUUCACUUCCUGUCAUAUUAUCAUUUCUUUGUCUCUGUUUCUAUUGCUGGUGUUGCUGCAUGCUUGCUGUCCUUGACAAAGUUAGCUAGUUUUUUUUUUUUUAAUUAAAUUUUGUAUGUUCGGUCGGGACAGUCACAAAGUACUACUUGUUCUAUAUGGGGGUGAUGUGAAUCAACUUUUCAAUUAUAUAUUCUGUGGUAAUUGCGAAUUCAAUUUCAUUUGUCUCCAGCAAAUUAUGAAGAAAGUGCAGAGUUACAAUAUGGAGAAGUUCACUGGCAAAUACUUUGUAAAAGCUUCGGAGUGAAACAGGAAAUGCACUUGCAGCUAAGGACAAAUUGGUGGCCAGCUAAUGCCUUCAUUUUAUGUACAUUCAUCUUUUUAAUUAUUGAAGAUAAGUGGUUCGUUGCUUUUGUUAAGAUUAUAAGUUAGCGUCGGUGCAGGAUUUGCAGCAACAAAUCUUGACUAGCCACGUGUCAAAAGCACAAAUAAAUCAAGGGAAAGCACAUGACAUGGAUUAGGAUCUAAUAAAAUUUAAAUCCCAAGGAAAAUGACAACUGCAUUAUGAAGUUUCAAUAAGGGAUACUGACUAAUGAUAUUUUUUGGCUUUAUUAAUAAAAAAAGAAUAUUUUAUAACAAAUUAAAACAUAAUAUUAAGCUAAAUGUGAUAAUUAUAUACAUUUUAAAUAAUUUCAAUAAAAAAACAUUUUAAUGUUUUACGAUCUAUCAUACAUAUUUUAUUAAAUUAAUAUGAAUUUUUUUUUAUAAAUAGCAACAUAAUAUUACAACAAAUUUAUAAGGAUUUAAAUGUAAAAUAAUUUUAGUAUAAAUAAUACGUGGGAUAUAUUUUGUAAAUUAUAAAAUUAUUUAACACAAAGUUUUUUAAAAAAUAUUUAAAAUAAAUAAAAAUAAAUUAUUCACAUCUUGAUUUAAAUAUUUAAAAUAUUUUUAUAUAUUAGUCUACAAUUAUUUAUGUUAUAUUUUUAUUUAUUAGAAAUUUUGAAAGUCAAAUGUUUUCACCUCUAAGAGAAAGACACAUAUGCUUUAUAGCUUUAAAAUCGGUCUGUUUUAUAUCUGGAAACAAAUAUAUCAUUAUUGGUAAGGAUUAAAAAAAGGGAUAAAGAAUAUUAAUGAUUAAUGAAAUCUCUAUGGAAAUUGAAUUUAGUAGGAAAAAAUUGAGCUAAAUGAUUUAGACAUUUAGUGGUAUAGUAAUAUUUUAUAUAUAGAAAUGUAAAAGCUGCACCCGAGGUUAAGGGAAAUGUUCAAAACUCUUUUUUACUCAUAAUACCCUUUGUCCUAACUAACUUACAAAUUCGACUCUAAUAUUUUAUAAUAAAUAAAAAUGUAAUCCUAAAAUAAAUAAAAUAAGAUAUAUUUUAAAAUAAUCUCAAUAUUUAAAAUAUACUUUAAUAUUUUAUAGUCUAUCAGACAUAUUUAAUUAUAUUAAAGUAAAUUUUGUAAUAAAUACAAACAUACUAUUAAAAUAGAUAUAUAAAAAAUUUAAAGUAUUUUGGAUAUUAUAUAAAAGAACUUUAAUAUUGUUAAUACGUGAGAUAUAUUUUAUUAAUUAAAAAUUCUAUUUAACCCAAAGAUUUAUUUAAGAUAAAUUAACAAUCAUAUUUGUGAAAUUAUUUCAAAUAUUAAAAAAUAUUUUAAUAUUACUAACUAUUAGAUAGACUAAACUAUUUAUAUUAUUUUCUAUUUAUUAUAAAAUUUCAAAAUUAAUCUUUUUAACUACUAUUCAAAAGAUAUUAUGAUAAAAAUAAUUUUUUUGUGUUUUUAUUAAAAAUUUGGAAUUUGCAUAACUCUUUUUUUAAAUAUUGGGGUAUAGCUGUCUUUUCCCUUUUAUAUAUACAAACCACAGUGGUGAAAAAGCUUGAUUUAAUGUUAUUUAUUUAAACAACACCGAUAUUCACACCACAUUGAGCACCAUAGUUUUUUUUUUUUUUUUGAAAAGAAAGUACACCUUUCAUUGAAUUAAGAGAAAAGAAACAAAACAUCCUCUGGAAAUUCAUCCAGCCAAAUACAAGGGUCUGACUUUUUGAAAGCCAACUUUGCCAAAUCAUGCGCUAAAAAGUUACACAUCCUAAGGACGUGCUGAGCUUUAAAAUUCUGAAAGAUUUUCUUAGCUUCUAUAAUAUCAAAAAUCACCCAAAAGGUGUCUGUCAAAGUGCUUCUCUUGUUAUUGAUUAGCUCUAUCACCCCUUUAGAAUCAGACUCUAAGAUAACUGAAGUUGCCCCUGCCUUGGCAGCUGCCUGCAUUCCCCACAAAACAGCUUUUGCCUCACUCAACUCCACAUCUCCUGAGCUCUUAAAAGUGCUAACAGCUGCAGCAACUGUUUCUCCCUUAUGGUUUUUAACUACUGCUCCCAGCCCAGCAAGAUAAUUCACCCUAUCCAUAGCAUCAUCAACAUUUACCUUAAGCCAUCCUUCUUCGGGUGGACUCCAUUGGCUUUGCUGAACAUUGUUUUGUUCUGCUAAGAAAUCCUCUUCUGACAUUGAGCACCAUAGUUAAGUACAAAACGGUGCGUUUUGUUCACGCAUGUUAGUAAACACCCACGCAACUUACACACAUACGCGCGGCUCACAACACGCGCUCUCCUCGCCCUAAAUCUCACCUGAUUGAAGCCACAAAUUUGGCCACGUUCUCCCACAGCUCUCUCCGUUCUGACCGUUUACUCUUCCUCUAGCCCCAUCGAUUACAUCUCUCAUAGCACCUCAUUCAACCGACGUAAUUGCCAGAAAACAACCUACCUGGUAAUAAAAGUCGAUUCUCUUACAAUUUUGGCCCAAAAAAAAAAAUUGCACAACUGAAAAAUCAAAAUGCCACUCUUUAAAACCAAAAAUCAAUUUUGGGCCCCCUUCAUCACCGCCUUCACUCUAGAUUUUUUCAAUCCACUUUGUCGUCAAAACCGUGGUGUUCUUAAACCAUUAUUAUAUUCACCAUCCCCUUAAUCACAUCCAACCAUCCCCAUUAUUCGUUUGUCAAACACGCUGUUCUCUUCCCAAAUUAAUUAAUUAAUUAAUGACAGACAGGAACAAAAGUACUUUAAAUCUCUGCCAAAUCGUAUUGUUAUUACUUCUUCCGAGUCGAGGCCACGUCGUUCUCGAUGGAAACCAUUGCUUUUUAUUACCACUCUUGAGGAGUUCGAAGCAUUCUCGACGGAGACCCGCGCAAGCUGUGGAAAGAGAGAGAGUCAACGGUGAAAAGAGAGCAUGGUGAGAUGUGUGAGCGACGGGGGGAGAGAGAGAGAGAAAGAAAGCCGACGGAGAGAGCACAUAGAGCUGAGAUGCGUGAGUUGGGUGAAGAUUUGGUGAGCGUUGUGUCAGUUGCCCGUGUGUUGUGUGAGCUCUGUGCCAUGUGAUAUGCGUGCUACUUUGAGAAUUUAUAGAUAGCACAAAACUCAAUCUAUAUCCAAUUCAUACCUAGAUAGAUGCGGAUUUGACUCAAUUUAUAUCCAAUUCGUCAUUUGCGAACUAAAAAUUUUUAAUUCUCUCAAAUUCACAAACUAACUAAAUAAAUAAAAAUUUAAUAUAAAAAUAACUGUACUACCGAUCAAAUUUAAAAUUAAAUAAUAUUUAAAUAAAUUAAUUGUUUAAAUAAAGUUAGAAAAUACAUUCAAAAUUUUAAAAUAUAACACAGUAAAAAGAAAAAAUCUCAUUUGUUUAGACCUAUGUAUGAAAAUUAAUUGUUUAGGAAUCUAUAUUUAUUUAUUUUUAUAUUAUUAUCGGAUAAGAUAUAAUAUGGUGUUAAUGUAACUAUAUUUUAACUUAUUUAUUUAUAAGACCAAUGCUAUAUGUACAAGUUUAAUUUUUUAAUUAAAUAAAUAUUUUUUUUUGCGGAAUUGUGGAUUUUUGCGGAUUUACAAAAGUAAAUCUAUAUCCAAUCCACCGACUAUGGAUUUUCAAAUUUUCAAAAUUUCAAAUUUUCAAAUUUUCAAAAUUUCAAAUUUUCAAAUUUUCAAUCCAAUCCAAUCCACCAAUUCACAAAUUCGGAUUUUUACGGAUUAGAUUUCUACAGAUUAAACGAAUUGAGCAGACCAUAUUUGAUUUUGAACAUUGCUAAUUUGUAUGUUAAGUAUAACAUAAUCAAUUAUUUGGAUAAUCCCUUGUGUUUUAUCUCUAAUUAGAGCAUCAAUCUUCACAAUAUCUACAAAGCUACAAUGGCUACAAAACAAACCUGCUUGCAAAUUGUCAAGGAUACUUAUCCUUUCUCUUGACAAGUCAUUUGGAAAAAUACUGUCCCUUGGCGGCUCCAUGACUUCUCUGCUCCUCCUUUUGGUCUUAAUGUACGGUUGCAUAAUGAUAGUUUAGGCCCUUUAGGGACUACUUUCCCUGGGGUUGUUAAGUCUUAGCUUGUGCUAGGCUCGUUUUUCUUACCAAAAAAAAAGGGAAUACUUCUCCUAUAAGAAAUAAUCUCUAUAUAUAGGGUGGUUGGAUUCACUUGUUUACAUAACAGAUCAAUUAGUUCUCUGUAAAUAGAGAGUUUCUAGUAUAAGAGAAACGGUAGAUCUAUUGAGAGAUUAUGUGUUAUUAAAAUUUUAGUUGCGAAGAAAAGUACUAGAGUGAUUGUAUUAAUUUUUUACAUAGUAGAUUUUUCUAUCGUCAUCUUUAUGGCUGUGAUUUUUCUUCCAUAUAGAAGUUUCUCACGUAAAUUUUUAUGUUGUGUGAUUAGUUUUAUUCUCUAUCUAUUUUUUGUUUAAUAUUUUAUUUGUAAGAUGCUGGAUGGGAUUAAAAUUUCUUAACAAAUAACGGAUUAAAAAUCAUGAAGAAAAAGCUCAAGAGAUCUUCAAGAUUUGAAGUGUGCAAAAGUUCAUAUUACUGCUAGAUGAUAUAUGGGAGCGGGUUGAUUUAGUAAAAAUGGGUGUCCCUCUUCCUAGAUCAGAAAACAGCACAUCCAAAGUGAUAUUUACAAACCCGUUCUGAGGAAGUUUGCGGCUUAAUGGAAGUUCGUAGGAGUUUUAAAGUGGCGUGCUUAUCAAAUAAAAAUGCUUGGGAAUUGUUUCUAUACAAAGUUGGGGAAGUGAAAGAAAACAGAGAUGUACUGUUUGGUUGAAUAGAAAAUUACAGAGAAAAUUCUCAAUACUUGUAUUUGAUAAGAUUCAAUUCUUAAGAGCUUUUACAAAUCAGUACAAGUAUUUAUAUUAUUCCUUACACGUGAGAAUUGCUAGUAACUCACUAACUAACUAACUUUCUUUGAGCUGGAUCACUAACACUUGACUAAUCACACUGAGCUGUUAUUCUUCACUAACAACCUUCUGCUGACGUGGCUUCACCAAGCUACUUGAAUAAUGAGCAGCCUUGACAGCCCCCCUCAAACUCAAGGGACAAGACAUGACGUUGAGUUUGGCCCUAAGAUAGUUAAAAUGGAUGAAUGAGAGUGGCUUGGUCAUGAUGUCAGCUACCUGCUCCUCACUUGGUAUAUAUUGAAUGUUUAGUUCUCCAGCAAGAACUUUGUUUCUAACAUAAUGAAUAUCAAUCUCAAUAUGCUUUGUUCUUGAGUGGAAAACUGGAUUGUGAGCUAACUCUGUUGCACUGAGAUUGUCACACCAAAUAACAGGUUUCUCUAUGCAUUGUAAUUUCAACUCAGAAAACAGUGAUUGCAGCCAGCUUAUCUCGGCACUUGCUGAGGCUAGGGACCUAUACUCACUCUCUGCACUGGACCUAGCAAUAACAGGCUGCUUCUUAGACGACCAAGAUAUCAGAUUAUGACCAAGAUAGAUGCAAUAGGCUCCAAUCGAUUUUCUGUCAUCCAGAUCCCCUGCCCAGUCUGCAUCUGUGAAUCCUGUUAGUUUCAGAUCACCAUCCUUAAUAAUUUUGAGUCCAUAGUUCUGUGUAGCCUUUAGAUAUCUGAGCACUCUUUUGCAAGCCAUAAGGUGCUGCAGUGUUGGUGCAGAAACGUAUUGACUCAGCUUGUGAACACUAAAGGCAAUUUCUGGUCUUGUUAAUACCAAAUAUUGCAUCCCACCAACAAUGCUUCUGUAAUGUGUUACAUCUUCAACAUAACAACCAAGAUUACCUUGAGCUUCCUUCUGUAGCUUCAUUCCUGUACUCAUAGGAGUAUCAAUAUCUUUGCAAUUUAUCAUCUCAACUCUUGACAGCAGAUCCCUUAUGUAUUUCCUUUGAGAUAAGAAAAUACAAUCUUUAUCAUACAGUACUUCAAUGCCUAAGAAAUAAGAGAGAACUCCAAGAUCCUUCAAAGCAAACUUUGUACUGAAUUCUGUAAUGAAUUUUUCCAGCUCAAAGCUAUUUGGUCCUGUUAUUAAAAUGUCAUCAACAUAUAUAAGAACUAGAAUCAUAGAUGACUUAUUUAUUUUCAAGAAUAAGGAGGUAUCUGAGCUGGAAUUUGUGAAUCCCCACUGCAACAAACAGCCUUUCAACUUAUCAUACCAAGCUCUUGGAGCUUGUUUAAGUCCAUAAAGAGACUUGUGAAGCUUGCAUACAAAGUCUGGUUUCUCAAAGCUGAUAAAUCCCUCUGGUUGAUCCAUGAACACUUCCUCUGUUAAGUCUCCAUUAAGAAAGGCAUUAUUCACAUCAACUUGCCUUAUCUUCCACUGAUUCAUCACAGCUAAACUCAAGACUACUCUUACAGUUGCUGGUUUUAUGACAGGACUGAAAGUUUCAAAAUAAUUCACUCCUAUAAUUUGUUGAAAUCCCUUUGCAACUAACCUAGCUUUGUAUUUAGCUACACUUCCAUCAGUGUUGUAUUUAACCCUAUACACUCAUUUGUUUCCAACAACUCUUUGAUCAUUUGUUUUUGGCACUAAGGACCAUGUACCACUCUGCAUCAAAGCUGCAUAUUCUUCUUUCAUGGCUGUAAACCAUUUUGGGUUUUGCAUAGCCUCAUAUACAGAAUCAGGUUAUUUGUGAACAAGGGUUGCUGUAUAAAGCUUUGGUUUGAAGAUACCAGUUUUGCUUCUGGUAGUCAUUGGAUGUGUAUUAGGUUGGACUGGAAAAGAUAUAUCAGGUGUAGGUUGAGCUAAUAAGGAUAUGUCAGGUGCAGGUUGUGGUGAAUUUUGAGGCUCUGUAGAUGGUUCAAUAAAUGUGGUAUGUGUUUGUGAAUAGGAAUGUUGAUUGUCAGUAUGAAAUGGAUUAUCUGAAUGUUGUGAACUGCUGCUGGUAGAAAUUGCAGAUAGAGGAUUGCAUGAGCUAUUUCCAUCUGAUACUGGUGUUGUAGAUAAUAUGGUCAGAUGAAACACUGGUUGGGGUGUAAGGGAUUGACUCGAAUAAGAUGAUGAUUCAUUAGAAUGAAAAACUGAGUCUGUAGAAUAAGGAAAUGUUGACUCAUAAAAAACAACAUGUCUGGCUAUGUACAUCUUGCCUGAUGAAUGCAAGCAUUUGUAACCUUUGUGAACUGGACUGUAGCCAAGGAAAAUGCAUUUGCUUGAGUGAUAAUCAAAUUUGUGUUUGUUGUAAUCCCUUAGAUAAGGAUAACAUGUGCAACCGAAACACUUGAGCAUGCUGUAAUCAGGUUUAAGUUUAAAAAUUGUCUCAUAUGGGGUAAGAAGUUUCAGAGCUGUUGAGGGUAAUCUGUUUAUAUGGUAAACAGCUGUAAGAAAAGCAUCCCACCAAAAUUUAAAUGGUAGCUUAGCUUGUGCUAAUAGGGUUAGUCCUAGCUCAACAAUGUGUCUAUGUUUUCUUUCUACCACCCCAUUUUGGUGAUGUGUAUAAGGACAAGAAUGUCUGAAAAUGAUUCCACAUUGGUUUAAGAAUUGAGUAAAUGAUCUGUAUUCUCCCCCCCAAUCAGAUUGCAGGUUUUUAAUGGGGCUGUCAAAUUGGUUUUCAACCUGCAAUUUGAAUAGUUUGAAUACAUCUAAUGCCUCAGAUUUCAACUUAAGAGGAUAAAUCCAAGUGUAUCGGCUAAAAUCAUCAACAAAACUUAUGUAAUAGACAUAGCUAUCUCUAGAAGGUGUAGGUGAGGGUCCCCAUAGGUCUGUAUGUAUAAGCUCAAGGGGUUUUGUUGUUUUGGUUUCUGUGCUGGGAAAAUGCAGCCUAUGGGAUUUGCCCAUUUGACAUGCUUCACAGAUAUGCUCAAGUGUUUGUUUUAUGUUAUUUCUUGAGAGAUUAACUGAAGUAAUUCCUUUUAGCAAAUGCAUUAGAAUUUGAGAAUUAGGAUGGCCAAAACGUUUGUGAAGAAGAAGAAUUUUAUUAUUCAAUGCAUCACAAGAUGAAAUGUAGCUGGAAAAUUUAUUUAUUGAUGCAUUACAAACUGUGACACAACUGGAAUCAUUAUUCUGAGUGUUUUUAAGAACACUUGAAUCAAAAGAACAUGCAGAUAACAUUGACAAAGGUUGAGUGGAUGAAGGUUGACCCAUGUAAGAACAAGGAAGAGACUCAGAUGGUCUUAGAAGUAGCUUAUACAAUCCUUUCUCAGCAAUUCCUGUCAGAAGCACUUGCCUCUUCAGAGAAUCCUUCACAUAGCAAACAUUAUCAACAAAUUCAAUAGAGAUAUUGUUAUCAGCAGUUAAUUUUGAUAUGCUGAGCAGGUUCUUUGUGAUAUCAGGUACUAAUAACAUGUCAUUCAGUAAGAUAUGUGUUGGUUUAUAUGCAGCAUUUGAUCCUUUAUAAGUAAAACAUGGAUUACCAACAUGAGUUAUAGGCAAACCUUGGCCAUUGCCGAUGACAAGUUGAUUAGAUCCUCUGAAUUCCUCUCUGACAUUCAUGUUGGCCAUACUGUUAGUCAAGUGAUGUGUGGCACCAUUGUCAAGGUGCCAUCCUUCAUCAGCAGGCCCUUCAUAGUUGGUAAGAUAGGCUUCAGGAAUUACUGUGUCUGUUGAUGGAUAAGAGGAGAAGGAUAAAGGAUUGUAGCUUGAGUAGGGUGCAGCAUACUGUUCUUCAGUUGAAGGAGCAGCAUAGGUUAGAGAUGGAUCAAAGUUAGCUGUGUAUGCAGCCUUAGAUUCAAAAGAUCUGCCCCUUCCAAAAUGCCUAGGUAAUGGUUGAGGAUUGUCAUCAUAUCUAUGCCAGCAUUCAUCUGCUGCAUGUCCUGUUUUGUGGCAUAUCUGACAUAUGGUUGGUAAUUCAUCAGCAUGCAUGUUAGCUGAAGGAUGAAAGUUUGGCUUCAUAGGUGGCCUAAAAGGUUGCAUCAUCUGGCCCCUGCCAUAACCCCCAACAUUACCAACACCAGGUGAAAAACCUCUGGGAUGUGGAUUGUGAAACAUGCCUCUUCCAACAUUAAAUCCUCUAGUCAUAGGUCGACCAUAAUUUCCAUUUCCAACAACACCUCUUCUAAAAUUUCCUCUCAUAUAAGGAUGAUUCACAUUCAUUGUGCUAUAGUUUGCAUUAAACACAGUUUUGGCACUUUGAUUUUGUUCAAGUCUAGCUUCAUGAGUCAGUAAUAAUGCAUAAGCAUCAUCAUAGCUCAUCUUAUUAGCUGUGAUUAUGGAAGCUAGAUCUAGAUAACCUGAACCUAAGCCAUUCAAAACUCUCAUUAACAGAUCCUUUUCAGUGAUUACAUCACCAGCACAAGCAAGUUUGUUGGCGAGUAAUUUCAUUUUAGCACAAUAUUCCUCAACAUUCAUUGAAUCUUUUCUUAAGAUAUUCAUUUCAUAUCUGAGUUGCAUAAUCUUAGCCUCAGAUUGAACUCCAAACUGUUUUUCAAUAGAUCUCCACACAUCAAAUGAAGUGUCAUAGCUAAGAACAGAACUAAGAAUACCUUCACUUAUAGUUGAGAGCAGCCAGCCAAGGAGUAUUUGAUCUUGUGCUCUCCAGUUGCUGUAGGCUGGAUUUUCAAUGCUCUCACCAGAUCCUUCGAUCAUUGAAUCAACUAGAUACUGUUCUGGAAUAAUUUGCGGCUCUAGAAUGAAUCUUUCAAGGCGAUUUCCUCUGAUUGAAGUUACCACUUGUUUGCGCCAAAGCAAGAAAUUUGAUCGAUCAAGUUUCACAGUUGCAGCAAAAGUAAAUGAUGUUUGUGUAUGUUGAUUUGAGUUUAUGAUUGUUUGAUUUGAGAUUGUAUUGCUUGAGCUGGCCAUUUGUGGCUCUGAUACCAUGAAAGAAAACAGAGAUGUACUAUUUGGUUGAAUAGAAAAUUACAGAGAAAAUUCUCAAUACUUGUAUUUGAUAAGAUUCAAUUCUUAAGAGCUUUUACAAAUCAGUACAAGUAUUUAUAUUAUUCCUUACACGUGAGAAUUACUAGUAACUCACUAACUAACUAACUAACUUUCUUUGAGCUGGAUCACUAACACUUGACUAAUCACGCUGAGCUGUUAUUCUUCACUAACAACCUUCUGCUGACGUGGCUUCACCAAACUGCUUGAAUAAUGAGCAGCCUUGACAGGAAGAAACUUUGAACAAUCAUCCUGAUAUCCUUCAGAAAGCACAAUAGUUGUUAAGGAGUGUGGUGGUUUGCCACUUGCACAUUUUACCAUCGGUCGAUUUAUGGCAUGCAAGAAGACACAGCCGAAGAAUGGAGAUAUGCUAUUCAAGUGUUCAAUUCGUCCGCUUCCCGUUUCCAGGUCUGGAAGAAUGGAUAUAUACUCUUGUAAAAUUCAGUUAUGAUAGUUUACCCAAUGACACAAUUACACCUUGUCUGUUAUAUUGUAGUUUAUAUCCAGAAGAUUGUUGCAUUUCUAAAGAGAAUUUGGUAGAUUGUUAGAUCAGUGAAGGAUUUUUUAAUGAGAGUGAUUGGUUUGGAGAAAAAAUCAAGGAUACUUCAUUUUGGGCAUUCUUCUUCACGUUUUUUUUUGGAAAAGGGAGGAGAUUGUGAAAUGAAAAAUGCAUGCAUGACGUUAUUCGUGAUAUGGCUUUGUGGAUCGCAUGCGACUAUGAGAAGGAGAAGGAGAACUUUUUGGUUUACGCUGGUGUUGGUUUAACUAAGGUACCGGAUAUUAGAGAUUGGGAAAAGGUAAGGAGAUUGUCAUUGAUGAAAAAUAAAAUUGAGAAUCUAUCCGAGGCUCAUACAUGCCCUCAUCUCCUCACUUUCUUUCUUGACGAUAAUGAGUUUCGGAAGAUCCCCGGUGAUUUCUUCCAGUUUAUGCCUUCUCUCACUGUUUUAAACUUGUCAUGUAUUAAACUAAAGUCAGUUCCUUUAGGGACUUCAAGGUUGGUUCCACUACAACAACUCGAUCAUUCAUAUUCAAGCAUAAAAGAGUUGCAAGAAGAGUUAAAUGCCCUGAUUAAAGUUAAAUGCUUGAAUAUAGAUCAUGUAGAGGAGCUAAUUACAGUUCCACAACAACGGAUAUUUAAUUUUUAAGGUUAUAUGUGUUGAGAAUGUUCGAUACUAUUAGUUUAAAUUUUCAAGAAGCAUUAAAUAAAGACAGCAUUUUAUUUGGUGGGGAGGAAGUUUAAGCAGAGGAGUUGCUCGGUUUGGAAUAUUUGGAGGUAUUGAGCUUCACUUGAGAGGUGUUCGUGCUCUCCAAUUUAUUUUGAGCUCACAUAAGCUACGAAGUUGUACUCAAGCGCUGUUCCUCCAAUCCUUCAAUAAUUCGAUAUGGCUUGAUAUUUCACUUUUGGCAGAGUUAAAAGCACCACUGCAGAUUUAAGUAUUUUUGGCUGUAGAAAAUUGGAGGACUUGAAGAUGGAAUAUACAGGGGGAGCGAAAAACAAGCGGCAACCUUGUGUUUUCUAAGGCCUACAUACAGUUCACAUAGAGGUUUGUUCUAAAUUGAAGGACUUAACAUUCCUUGUUUCUGCUCCAAAUCUCAAGAACUUGGAAAUACAAAAUUGCCCUGCUGUGGAAGCAAUCAUCAGUGUGGGAGAAUUUGCGGAAGCUCUAGAGGUGGUGGAAAAUCUAAACCCAUUUGCAAAACUCCAGUAUCUUGGACUAGAAAAUCUGCCAAAUGUGGAGAGCAUCUAUUGCAAGCCUCUGCCCUUUCCAUGUUUGAAAAGAAAUGACUGUGGAUAGUUGCGGUUGUCUUAAAAAGCUUCCACUCUACUCCAACAGUGUAAAAGAGUGUACAAUUGUUAUUUCAUCAUUCGGAGAGUUAAUGGUGCAAUGAGAUUUGGCAGUUAACUCUCGUGGGAAGAGCUUGAAUGGGAAGACGAAGCCACUCGAAUUGCUUUUCAUUCAUGUUUCAAAUCUCUGAUUGGAUUGGAGAUUGCAUUUCGCCUCAGGUUCGUACUUUUCUUGAAUUUUUCUUGUUAACUUCAUUUGUUCAUUUAUCCAUUUUUUUUUAAAGGAAUCAGAAGGGUUAAUAAUUUUGGUUGUGUUAGGUCGACUUCUAAUCACGAGGCAGAAGGAGUUGAGAUGAAGUUUAAUUUUGGUGGAGAAAUUGUUUGAUUUAAAAAAUUUAAAUGAGUUGACCAUCAUUCUUUAGCAUAUUUGUAUGAACAGGAGUGUGUAAAUAUGCAAACUGUCCAGCUGUAUGUGUAUAGCGUAAUAAUUUUGAGGAGUUAAAACAUUGAAGAAUAUUGAUGUUUCCAUUGUCAAACCAAAUAUACUUAAUUACUUGAGGAUAAUGAUUACUGCUAAUACAUUUGCUAAUACAUUUGCAAAGAAAAAAACAUGCCUAUUGAAAAACUCAUCUUAUUAGCAACAGCAUUAUAAGUAGUAUCCAAUCAUAGUUUCAUGCAAGAUUUUGAGAUUUUUCAAAUGCUGAUUCCGGGAAUGGAGAUUAAUAGAUAAUGGAGACAGGUUGACUGCAAUGGCUAAUUGCAAGAGGGAAUUUUAGUCGUAAAAACAGACCAACUAGCAAAGCAAAUUCCAAAUCUUGGAAUGAAGUGGCAAAAAAACGAAACAAACAAAUGGCAAGAGGAAGUGACUAUACAAUAAUAACAUCGACUUGCAAUUCAACAUUUAUACAGUUUUACUCACCAAGAAAAGAGAAAAUUACAAUAGCAAUUUGGCUACUAGAAGAUGUUCAUUCAUGCUUAUGCCUGUCAUAUGGAUUUGAAACAAGGAGUAAAAGCAUUUAGAGUGGCUUCAUCCUUCCACUGCAGCUCAUUCCACCAGUGUUGCUCUCCCCUAAUAACAAGUUUGCGUUCCUUGGCGCUGUUGUAAUCGAGUGGAAGCUUCUUGAGGUUCGGGCAUCCAGAUACAAACAAUUCUAAGAGAUUUGGAAAGUGCACUUAAAUUCUUAUGAAUUGCUUAAGUAUGCAAGCAGCAGAGCAGAAAACAAACAACCUUUUCAUAUAUUAUAAUAACAUGAAUAAUCAGAUAUACACAUCCUUCACAUAUUUAUACUAAACGUGAAAAAUGGUAGCUUGCUCAAAGGGAAAACAGAAAUGAAUAAAACAAAAGAUUACAGCUGCACUAGCCAAUCAUUGGAAACAUUCUAGAAACUCCAGCUUGCAGUAUUCACGUGUAAAUAUUCUCCUGCAUAACAGUUUUGCCAGCUCAUUGAAUACACCUCAACUUCUUCAUCAGCUGGUUGCUGGAUAUGGCUGCUCAGGUGGCAUGCCAGCAUGGCCUUUGGGUCAAUUGUUGACUCAUCUUCAUAAUCUGAAUUCUCAACACCCUCUCUCAAACUUAAGGUCUUGUCGAAGACAUUAAGUUUGCUUCUAAAUUGACUGAACUUGUAAUAAGGCAAUGGCUUGGUUAAUAUGUCUGCAACUUGAUCUCUGCUGGCUACAAAACUGAUUUCCAGCUCUCCUUGAGUGACUUUGUCUCUAAUGAAAUGAAGGUCUAUCUCAAAAUGCUUUGUCUUUGAGUGAUACACUGGAUUUGUGGCUAUUGCUGCUGCACUUGUGCUAUCACUUAAGAUCAUUGGAACUCUUUGCAUCUUGAUUUCCAAUUCACCAAACAGAGAAUUUAUCCAAGUGAUUUCAGUAGUACACAAAGCUAUGGCCCUGUACUCGGACUCAGCUGUCGAUCUUGCUACCAUGCCUUGCUUUAUUGAGCUCCAAGCUACUAAAUUGUCUCCCAAAAACACACAAUAUCCACUUACUGAUCUUCUGUCAUCUGGAUCACUAGCCCAGUCAGCAUCAAUAUAGGCUAUCAAAUCUAGAUGUUCUGACUUCUGGAACUUUAAGCACAUGUUUGCAGUGCUCUUUAGGUACCUCAACACUCGUUUGCAAGCUGUCCAGUGAGAUUGUCUUGGGUCAGACAGGUAUUGGCUAAGCUUGUUCACAGAAUAUGCAAGCUCUGGUCUUGUUAGAACAGCAUAAUGUAGACUUCCUACAACACUCCUAUAAAAUGAAGGAUUGUCAAGUUUGGUGCCUUCACCCUUCUUUAGUUUCUCUGCUGUGCUGAAAGGUGACUCUAUUCCCUUGCAAUUCUCCAUCUCUGUUUUAGCUAAUAGGUCUUGAACAUAUUUAGCUUGAGAGAGCAAAAUGGAGUUCUGAUUUCUUAUAACAUGUAUCCCAAGGAAGUAGCUUAAAUUUCCAAGAUCUUUCCACUUAACUUUCCUAUCACUUCCUCAAUACCCUUGCUGUUAUUUCCAGUCACAAUUAUGUCAUCUACAUACACAAGCACAAUGAUUAUUUCAGCACUGCUUCUUUUGAAGAAUAGAGAAAUAUCACACUUGGAGUUGUUGAAUCCCCAAGAGCACAGAGCAUUCUUUAAUUUGUCAAACCAUGCUCUGGGUGCUUGUCUCAGUCCAUAAAGAGCUUUCUUGAGCUUGCAUAUGUGGUUUGGUCUUCUCCUAUCCUCAAAUCCCUCAGGUUGUGGCAUGUACACUGUCUCUGUCAAAUCUCCAUUCAGAAAUGCAUUAUUUAUGUCAACCUGCCUCAACAGCCAAUCAUUACUUACAGCCAAAGUUAAAAUGAUUCUGAUUGUUGCAGCUUUGACCACAGGGCUGAAAGUCUCAUUAAAGUCAAGUCCUGGUGUCUGCAGAAACCCCUUCAAGACAAGUCUAGCUUUGUAUCUAUUUAUGGUGCCAUCUGGAUUUUCCUUUACUUUGUACACCCAUUUGUUGCCAAUGAGUUUGUAGUUCUGGUCAUGUGGAAUUAAGGUCCAGGUUUGGUUUUUGACAAGAGCAUUAUAUUCAUCCUCCAUUGCUCUUCUCCAUUUAGGAUCUUUCAGUGCCACAGUGGAGUCAGGGGGUAAGGAAGUUUGAGAUUGAGUGGAUAUUUGAUAAACCUUUGGCUUGCAAAUCCCUGCUUUUGACCUUGUGAUCAUGGGAUGUAAGGAGGCUUGAGUGUUUGGUUAUGUUAUGAGAGGCAAGGUGCAAUUUUCUACUGAGGUGUUUGGUGAGAGUUCAACAGGUGAGUGGUUGUCUGAUAUAGAGUUGAAGCUCAAAUUCUAACAAGCUCCAUCUUAACUAAAACUUGGGAGCUGUUCUGAGUUUCCAGCAGUGGCCUGAGAUUAACUAUGAGCUGCAUUUUGCUGUGUUGACUCAGGGGGAACAGUAGUGGAGAAAGAUACAACUUGAAAUUUUUCUAGAACUGUGGGGGAAUCAUUUUGGUCAGUGAGCCUUUGCUUGCAGAAAUUUGAGUCAUUUUGAAAAGGGAAUGAAUGAUCAUUAAAUUGACACUGGCUGAAAUGUAGAUCCUCCCAGAAUGAUGCAUGCAAAUGUAACCUUUGUGACUGAUGCUAAUGCCUAGUAGUGUGCACUUGAAAGUGUGAAAAUCAAACUUAUGCUUGUUGUAGGGUCUUAAGUAUGGAUAGCAUUCACAACCGAAAACUUUAAUUUGGGAAUAAUCUGGUUUGGUGAGAUAUAACAGCUCAAAUGGAGUUUUAUUUUCAAGAAUAGGUGAGGUUAAUCUGUUUAUGAUGUAGGUGGCAUAGCUGAAAGCUUCUUGCCAAUAUCUCAAAGGCAUUUUUGCUUGGGCUAGUAAUGUUAGGCCAGUUUCCACAAUGUGUCUGUGCUUUCUCUCCACCUUUCCAUUUUGUUCAUGUAAAUAAGGGCAUGAGUGUCUUAAGGCUAUUCCUUCUUUCUUGAGAAAGGGUUCGAAAGUUUUAAACUCCCCACCCAUGUCUGUUUGUAAAGCCUUGAUUCUUAAAUUUAGCUGAUUUUCUACUUGGUUUUUAAACACAAUGAAUGUGUCAAGGGCCUGUGAUUUUGUUGUUAAGGGAAACAACCAUGUGUAUCUUGUCUUGUCAUCCACAAAUGAUAUGUAAUAUCUGUGUCCAUGGGUAGAUGGAAUAGGUGCUGGUCCCCAGAGAUCACUAUGUAUUUGUUCUAAGGCUGUGCUGGUCUUGGUUUCAAUGCUUUUAAAGUUUAGUUUUGAUUGCUUUCCAUACUGACAAGCAUUACAGAAUGAGGGAAAUAUAUUUUUAUUUAAGUUGAGCUGAUUACAAGAUAAUAGAGUAUUUUUCAGAACUGACUCAUUUGGAUGCCUCAGCCUAUGGUGCCAGAGAUCUAUUUCAUUUGUUCUAAGAUCCCUACUGCUUGUAUCAGCUCUACUGGACUCGACAACACUGGCACCAACACUGGCACCUAAAGACUCAUUACUACUGAAAUUGAAACAUGCCAUUGACAUUGGAUUGCUAAUGCAACUUAUUGACUUGGGUAUUGGAAAUGAAGAUAACUCAGCAGCAUAAGUAACCUUGUUGCCACUCAAAUGAGUUGGCAUGCAUAGCAGCUCAUAUAGUCCAUCUCUAGCCACUCCUUUCACCAGAAUUCUCCCUUGGCUCUUGUCCUUGAUGAAGCAAACAGAUUUUUGAAACUCAACAUCAAUAUCAUUAUCAUGAAGCAAUUUGGAAACACUAAUGAGAUUUUUGGUAAUAUCAGGUACAAACAAAAUAUGAUUUAAUUUGAUGUGUUUGUGUGGACUGUAAGUGGGCAAUAUAGAAUAACCAAUGUGAGAGAUAUGAAGUUUGUUACCAUUACCAACAGUGAGCUUGUCAUUACCUUGGUACUCUGAGUUCAGGUUCAUGUUUCCAAUAGCAUUGGUCACAUGAUUUGUGGCACCACUGUCAAGGUACCAGGCAUUGCUGUUUUGUCCUUCUGUUGUGGCCAUGUAGGCUCCUCUCCUCCUAUUUAGCUGUGGCACAUAAUUUUUCUUAAACCUAUGCCAGCAUUCAACAGCUGUGUGCCCCAUUUUGAAGCAGAUUUGGCAUGGACCCUUUGAUUCAGAACCUUCACCUUCUGCAGCAGCUUUGCCUUUGCCUUUGUCUUGAAUAUUUUGAUUUCCCUGACCAUGACCACCAUUGCCACCAUUUCCAGUGCCACCACCAGGAUUUCUGAAGACUAUCCCAGGUUGUUGCUGACUGCCAAAUCUUUCACCAUUGCCCCAGUUCCUCCUGCCAUUUCUCAUCUGUGUGAAGUUAGCCUCAAGAAUCCCUGGGCUGAGAUUUUGCUCAGUCCUGGUUUCUUGGCUGAGGAGCAUGCUGUAGACCUCUGACAAUGAAGGAGUUUCUGGCAUAGAGUUAAUGUUAGUGACAACAGAGUCAUAUUCAGAUCAUACUCCAGCUAAGACACACAUAAUAAAGUCCUCAUCACUCAUGUUAUUUCCAGCUGCUCUGAGUGUAUUUAGGAUAGUUUUCAUCAUGGAGUAAUAAUCAUGGAUUGUAAGAGAGCCCUUUUUAGUGGUUUGAAUCUGUGUCCUCAAAUAUAGGAUUCUAGCUCUUGUUCUUGCACCAUACUGAUUGGUAAGAGUUGUCCAAACUUCAUGUGAAGUAGAACAAUCCACCACAGUGCCGAGGACACCCUCACUGAGAGAUGAGAGCAACCAGCUCAAAAGAAUGUGGUCCUGUUUCUUCCAGAUUUGAUAUUCUGGAUUUUGGUGGGUAACGGUAGCUUGGUUAGGUCCAGGACUGGUGAAAUAUCUGGGGGGACAGGUAUAGCUUCCAUUUAUGAAGCCUUCAAGCUCAUUUGCUCGUAUGCUGGAGACCACUUGUGAUCUCCAGAGCAUGAAAUUGUUCUGUGUUAACUUGAUGGGAGUGGUGAACACAUAUGUGUUGCUGGUGAUAUGUUGGGUAGGAGAUGGGUUCAUUAUGGUCACAUUUCUUGUGUUAUUAUCUGGAUUCUGAUUGUCGAUAUUUUCAGGUUGGUUUUGAUUCAAAUCAUUUGGUUGAUCAUCUGGAUUUUCCAGAGUUUGAUUCAUGUUUGUUUGUGAAUUUCUGCUGCUUUCCAUAGCUCAAAAGUUGCUCUGAUACCAACUUAAAUUCUUAUGAAUUGCUUAAGUAUGCAAGCAGAAGAGCAGAAAAAAAAUAACCUUUUCAUAUAUUAUAAUAACAUGAAUAAUCAGAUAUACACAUCCUUCACAUAUUUAUACUAAACGUGAAAAAUGGUAGCUUGCUCAAAGGGAAAACAGAAAUGAAUAAAACAAAAGAUUACAGCUGCACUAGCCAAUCAUUGGAAACAUUCUAGAAACUCCAGCUUGCAGUAUUCACGUGUAAAUAUUCUCCUGCAUAACAGUUUUGCCAGCUCAUUGAAUACACCUCAACUUCUUCAUCAGCUGGCUGCUGGAUAUGGCUGCUCAGGUGGCAUGCCAACAUGGCCUUGGGGUCAAUUGUUGACUCAUCUUCAUAAUCUGAAUUCUCAACAAUGCAUUCAAACAGAUCUUCUUCAAAUUUCUUAGAACUUGCAACCGAAGAUAUUGGAGUUUCGCAAAAGGUUUUAGCCCUGUAACUUCUUCCACUUUCCAAACACUGAUUAUUUCUUCCAUCUCAUAACAACGUUCUACAUGGACCAUCUUCAGAUUUGGGGCAAAAACAAGCCAUGUCAUCUCCCUCAAUUUACUGCAAUAGUCUAUGGUAACACUUUGAAGGCUGUUGAAACCAUAAGUUCUCUUGUUGUUUGAACUUCUGCAUAGUCAACCUUUAGCUCUUCCAAACUUGUACAAUACACAAAAUCUAGUUUGUCAAGAUACUUGAGAUCUGCUAUGGACAAAAUAUUCCAUGACCUUGAAUCCUCACAGCGUCGAAGCUCUAAAGCAUAUUUACAACUCUUGUACUGUUGGCAGCUCAAAAGUCUUCGUAGAGCAUAAAAACUUCUUAACGUGACGCUUAAUACAUUUAAAUGUUCCAAAGUAAUCAACUCCUCUACCAAAAUUUCACUACCACCAAAUAGAACGCUAUCUUCUGGUACUGUAUUAGCAGAGCCACAAUCUAGCAUCCUCAACACCUUUAACCCAGAAAAAUUACAAAGCAGUUGCCGUGGAAUCGUAUGGAGAUAACGCAUGUACUCCAAGUUCAAACACUUUAGAUUUUUCAAGGCUUUUAAUUCAUGUGGUAACUCUUUGAUGAAAGUUUCUGAAAGAUUAAGAUAUUGUAGUGAAACCAAUUUUGAAAUUCCUGAAGGCAAUUGACUCAAGGAGCGAUUCUUUGAUAGGUUUAAAACUUUAAGAGAAGGCAUAAAAUCGAAGAAAUCACUAGGGAUAGUAUCUAACAUAUUAAUGCCGAGGAACAAAGUUAUAAGAUGAGGGCAUAUUGGAGUUAUUGGUAAAAUCACAAUUUUAUUUCUCAUCAACGAUAUCCUUCUCUUAUCUUCCCAUUGUUUAACCUCGGGUGGUUCAGUUAAUUCAAUACCGGCAGAAACCAAAAAGUUUUCAUUCUCCACUUCACAGGCUAUCCACAAGGUCAUAUCACGAAUCACAUCAUGCAAUUUUACAUAAUCUGAUCCUGCUUCUUCCAAUAGGCAUGCAUGAACAAGAACACCAAUAAUGUAGUAUCCUUGGUUAUGUACUCCAUUAAUUCCUUCAUAUUCCUUCAGAAAACCCUCACCAAUCCAACACCCUAUCAAUUCAAUUUUGCUAAUUUGAUAAUCCUCAGGAAAUAAACUACAGUAUAACAGACAAGAUCUAAGGACGUCACUAGACAAACUAUCAUAACUGAAUUUUAAAAGACGAAACACCUCUUUCUCCAUACCUGGAAAUUCAUAAGCUGAUCUCCUUAACAUCUGAAUUGCAUAGCUCCAUUCUUCGGGUGUCUUCUUGCUGCUCAUGGCACGACCGGUGGUAAUAAGUGCAAGUGGCAAACCACUACACUCCUUUGCCACAGUUUUGGCUAACUCCGGAAUAUCGGGAUGACUUUCAAGAGUCUCUUCUCCGACCUUCUUUAGGAACAAUUCCCAAGCAUCUUGAUCUGCCAAACACUCCACCUUGAACUUUUUUUGAGCUUCCAUGAGGCCACAGACGUCCACAAGACGAGUCGUAAAUGUUGAAAGUCAUGGCUGGCGCCGGCCAUCUAGAUGGCCGGUGCCAACCAUUCAACAUUCAACACGGCCCGCCAUUAUUGGUGGUGCCGUGUUGAAUGACUCCAUAAAAAAAAAAAAAAAAAAAAAGAGCCAAAAUUUUGGCUAUAUAAAGAGGGCUUCCCACCCUCAUUUAUAAUCCAAUCUUGAGAGAGCAAUUUAGGGAGUUGAGAGAGAGUUUAAGAGCUUGCAUUUAUAAGCUCUUAUUUUAGUGAUUUGAGAGUUUGGGUGUAUUGGGGUUUUGGGUAGUGAGCUAAAAUACUACAAUACUUGUAACUCCUUUUCACUAGUAAAAUAUUUCCUUCUGUCUUUGCCCAUGGACGUAGGCUAAAAGCCGAACCACGUAAUUUCUGGUGUCCUCUAUUGUGCUUGUUCUUUAUUUUAUUUCCAAUUUCAUUUUAGCUGCGGUCCUGCUUCACCCACCAAUUUCCUAACAGUGGUAUCAGAGCUAUUGGUUGUAUUUUUGGAGUCGGGAACUGUUCACGUAAGGGGUACUAUUCACGUAUACGACACUAUUCACGUAUACUGUACUGUUCACGUAUACGGGUUUGUUCACAUAUACGGUACUGUUCACGUAUACGAUACUAUUCACGUAUACGGUACUAUUCACGUGAAACGGGGAAGCGAUCCAAGAAUUUUCCGGUGCAAAGCAGGGAAUAGUAGUGUGAGAAAAGCAACUGUGGUUUUGUACAUGUCUAGGAAAGUUCUGUCACAAAGGCGAUAAGAGCUUAAGGAGUCUGGGUUUUAAGUGGGACCAUUGUGACCCCUCCAGUCUUUCCUGGGAACUUUCCUGGUGUGCAUUCUCACACAUACUCACAACUAUUCAAGGUGGUAUACUAGCUUGUGUGCAGUAUUUAUCAACAAAAUGGCGGCAAAGUAUGAAAUUGAGAAGUUGAACGGAAAUAAUUUUUCGUUGUGGAAAAUGAAGAUGAAAGCUGUAUUGAGGAAAAAUAAUUGUUUGGCAGCAAUUGGAGAAAGGCCCAUGGAGAUAACUGAUGACAAGUGGAACGAGGUAGACGGUAACGCCAUUUCUGAUCUACACUUGGCACUUGCGGAUGGUGUAUUAUCUAGUGUGGCAGAGAAAAAUACGGCGAAGGAAAUAUGGGAUACUCUCACAAAAUUGUACGAGGCCAAGUCACUACACAACAAAAUCUUCUUGAAGAGAAAACUAUAUACUCUUCGAAUGGCGGAAUCUACAAUGGUGACCGACCACAUCAACACUUUGAAGACUCUAUUUUCACAACUCACAACGUUGGGUCAUAAUAUAGAGGAGAAUGAACGUGCAGAGCUUCUACUUCAAAGUCUACCAGAUUCGUAUGAUCAACUCAUCAUCAACCUGAUGAACAACAAUCCAGUGGAAAGUCUAGUUUUCGACAAUGUUGCAGCCUCCGUAUUAAAUGAGGAGAGCAGACGGAAAAAUAAGGAAAACAGACAAGCAAGUUCGCAGCAAGCAGAGGCGCUAUCGGUGACGAGAGGGAGAUCAACGGAACGUGGCCCCAGUGGGAGUCAAAGUUAUGGUAGAUCAAAAUCCAGAAGUAAGAAAAAUGUUAAAUGCUACAACUGUGGCAAGAAAGGGCACGUCAAGAAAGAGUGUUGGAGUAACCAGAAGAGAAGAGAGGGUAAAGAACCUGAGUCAUCAAAUGCUCAGGGGUGUGUAGCAAGUACCUCGGAUGAUGGCGAAAUUCUCUACAGUGAGGCAACAACUGUUUCAGAAGGCAGAAAACGACUUUCUGAUGUCUGGCUUAUAGACUCAGGAGCUACCUGGCACAUGACCUCUAGGAGAGAAUGGUUCUACACAUAUGAACCUAUCUCAGGAGGAUCUGUAUAUAUGGGUAACGAUCAUGCCUUGGAGAUCGCUGGUAUUGGUACUAUCAAAAUAAAAAUGUUUGAUGGUACAAUUCGCACAAUUGGGGAGGUACGACAUGUCAACGGCCUAAAGAAAAAUCUAUUGUCUUUAGGACAAAUGGAUAGUCAUGGGUACAAAACUCAUGUGGAGAAUGGAAUUAUGAAGAUCGUUAAAGGCGCGCUUGUAUUAAUGAAGGCAGAAAAGAUCAGUGCUAAUCUAUUCAUGCUUAAAGGAGAAACACUACAGGAGGCUGAUGCGUGUGUCGCGUCAAAUGGAGAAGAAUCAACGAUGAUGUGGCAUCUCAAACUCGGCCACAUGUCAGAACAAGGCUUGAAGAUUCUCUCUGAGCGAAAAUUGCUUCCGGGGCUCAAAUCAGUAAGUUUACCAUUUUGCGAGCAUUGUGUUAUAAGUAAGCAGUAUAGAUUAAAAUUCAGUAGAUCUAUUGCUAGAAGUAAAUGCAUUCUAGACUUGAUUCAUUCUGAUGUUUGGGAAUCACCGGAUAUAUCCAUGGGAGGUGCAAAGUACAUGGUGACUUUCAUUGAUGAUUAUUCCAGAAGAUGUUGGGUGUAUCCAAUUAAGAAAAAGUCAGAUGUAUUUCCUGUGUUUAAAGAAUACAAAGCGCGGGUGGAACUUGAAUCUGGUAAAAAGAUCAAGUGCUUAAGGACAGAUAAUGGUGGAGAAUAUACAUACGACGAGUUUCUUGCUUUCUGUAAGCAAGAAGGUAUUCAGAGGCAAUUCACGGUGGCAUACACUCCUCAACAAAACGGAGUAGCAGAGCGGAUGAACAGAACUCUUACAGAAAGAAUAAGAGCUAUGUUGAGGACUGCUGGUUUACCCAAUUCAUUCUGGGCAGAAGCAGCCAAAACCGCCUGUUAUAUAGUAAAUCGGUCGCCAUCUACAGCUAUUGGGUUGAAGACAGCGAUGGAGAUGUGGACUGGAAAGCCAGCUGAUUAUUCCUACCUACAUGCAUUUGGAUGUCCUGUGUACGUGAUGUACAAUGCCCAAGAAAGAACAAAGCUGGAUGCAAAAUCUAGAAGAUGUAUCUUCUUGGGGUAUGCUGAUGGAGUAAAGGGGUAUCGUCUGUGGGACCCCACUGCCCAUAAGAUCGUCAUCAGCAGAGAUGUUAUCUUUGUAGAAGAUCAACUACAAAGAAAAGAUGGAGAUGAUGGCACUGUAAAAGAAAAGUCAGAGACUGUACCAGUAUAUGUCGAAAAUAAUCUAGAAGAUUCAGAUUCUUCUGAAGCAGCACCAGAGCACGAGGAACAAGAACCAGUCGAGUCUGAGGCUCCAGAAGUUCGUCGGUCAACUCGUGAGAGACGACCACCGGCGUGGCACUCGGAGUAUGUCACAGAGAUCAACGUUGCAUACUGUCUUCUAACAGAGGAUGGAGAGCCUUCAACUUUCCAUGAAGCUUUAAACAACUUAGAUGUUGCUUUGUGGAUGACAGCAAUGCAGGAAGAAAUUGAAGCUCUACACAAGAACAAGACAUGGGAACUUGUACCACUACCACACGGAAGAAAAGCCAUUGGAAACAAAUGGGUCUACAAGAUCAAACGUGAUGGCAAUGACCAAGUGGACCGGUAUCGUGCAAGAUUGGUGGUGAAAGGAUAUGCUCAGAAAGAAGGUAUUGACUUCAACGAGAUAUUUUCUCCGGUGGUUCGACUCACAACAGUCAGAAUAGUCUUGGAGAUGUGUGCUACAUUUGAUCUACAUCUUGAGCAGUUAGAUGUUAAAACUGCAUUUCUUCAUGGAGAACUUGAAGAAGAAAUAUAUAUGCUCCAACCAGAAGGUUUUGCAGAAACAGGAAAGGAGAACUUGGUUUGCAGGUUGAACAAAUCUCUAUACGGUCUCAAACAGGCGCCGAGGUGUUGGUAUAAGAGAUUUGAUUCCUUCAUCAUGAGCCUUGGAUACAACAGACUCAGUUCAGACCAUUGUGCAUAUUACAAGAGGUUUGAAGAUAAUGAUUUCAUCAUUUUACUGUUGUACGUGGAUGACAUGUUGGUAGCAGGCCCCAACAAAGAUCAAGUCCAAGAAUUGAAGGCACAAUUGGCUAAGGAGUUUGAAAUGAAGGACUUGGGACCAGCAAACAAGAUUCUAGGGAUGCAAAUUCACCGAGACAAAAAUAACAGGAAGAUUUGGCUUUCACAGAAGAAUUACUUGAAGAAAAUCUUGCGGCGCUUCAACAUGUAAGAUUGUAAGUCAAUUUCUACCCCACUUCCUGUUAAUUUCAAAUUAUCCUCAAGUAUGUGUCCUAGCAAUGAAGUGGAGAGGAAGGAGAUGUCUCGAGUACCGUAUGCAUCAGCAGUGGGAAGUUUAAUGUUCGCUAUGAUAUGUACUAGACCAGACAUUGCACAAGCAGUGGGAGCAGUCAGUCGAUACAUGGCGAAUCCUGGUGGAGAGCAUUGGAUAGCUGUAAAGAGGAUUCUGAGAUACAUCAGAGGAACCUCAGAUGUUGCAUUAUGUUACGGAGGAUCAGAGUUUACUAUCAGGGGCUAUGUGGAUUCAGAUUUUGCAGGAGAUCUUGAUAAAAGAAAAUCCACUACUGGUUAUGUGUUUACACUUGCAGGAGCAGCUGUAAGCUGGGUUUCGAAACUGCAGAUCGUUGUGGCUUUANNNNNNNNNNNNNNNNNNNNNNNNNNNNNNNNNNNNNNNNNNNNNNNNNNNNNNNNNNNNNNNNNNNNNNNNNNNNNNNNNNNNNNNNNNNNNNNNNNNNAUAUUCUUGAUUAAUCCAUUUUCUGAAAUUUUUUAUUUUGUAUGGUCAAUUAUACCUUCAUACUAAAAAUUUCUGAUGUUAUGGGGUUGUUGGAUGUGUUUUGGAUAUUUGCAGCUAAGUUUGAGUUUAUAUCUCAACUUAAAAUUUGUAGUUUUCACUUGAAAAAAUUCAGUUAAAAAUUGAUUGGUAGAAUUGUGAAGAAGUUUAAAUUUUUAGUUCAACCCGAUUGCAUAUUUAAGAACAUCUCAAAUGAAUUGCUUACUGCUAUCAUCAUCAUAAUUGUCAGAGAUGGUUAAUUGAUAGACUAUGUGCCUGGGUCGAGCACUGGAAGCCUGCAAUGCAGACUGAUUGAUUUAUCAGUUUAACGUGUGCCAGGAAUGAAGAACUGGAAUAUCACCGUCAAGCAAGCACCCUGUGGAGCAAUACCAAAGAAUGCACAAUCCGGCUUUGCAAGGUGACACUGGAGGCUUUUUGAAAAGUGCUUCACGCUCACUUGCACAGAUUGAGCAUCCCCUCUGGAUAUUGCCCUCUCUGAUCGAGUCUGAGCACUCAAAUUUUGGUCCUCAGAGGGAGCUACAGUUUUCUCUCCAAUAACCAACAAUUUUCUAAACUCAGCACCUAGUGUGAUCAGAGUUGUUGAUAUUUAUAAAUGGAGAUCCCCAUAUUUGCAAGUGGAGACAUUUAACAAUUCACCAACAUGCUUCAUCCGGUGUACAAAAUUCUGCAGCUGAUUCAAAUCCGGAACCUGAACCAGAGUCGGAGGUAUAUCUUGAGCCAUAUCUAAAGUAGUUUGAAGUUCAAGACCUUGAGCCCUUGACAAUGGUUUUGAAAUUGGAACAUCUUGGAUUACUGCAGACUUGUACCCCUUGGUUUCAAAGGUAAGGAAAGGCAUUGCUUGAGUACAAUUUGGAGGCAGCUUCUUCACCAAUUUUAUUUGGAGGCGAUUGGCAGCGGAUCCAGCAGCACCAAUUUCAGAGCAAAUACUGACACUACUUCGAACAGCACACUGAAGAAGUGAUAUGUCUACGGCAAAGGCAAUGCAGUCCUCAUUUUGGCUUGAGAUGCAGUAAUCAUCGAAGAGAGUUUCCUUGUGAAACUGGGCAACACAUUGAAUCCCUUCGCCACUGAGAAGGUUGUGGAGGAAGUAAGCUUUCUCUCUAGUGAGGCAGAGGUGGCAUACCUUCCCCAUUUUGUCGAGGGCAGGUAGGAAUCUUUUUUCUAAGAGAUUUACUUCAUUCUCUGUGAGAAAUGCUUUGAACUUCAUCCCUCUGUCUCUAUCCUCACUUAUCAGGAAAUAAGUUGAAAGCACUACGAAGAGAGAGAGAGAGAGAGAGAGAGAAUUAAGAUAUAUAGACAAGAAAAAUAUUAGACGUUGAUCUUACAAACUAAUACUUCAAGCAGUAUCCUGGAAAGCUAAAAACUGCAAGAUGGCUUGAAAUUUGAAAAGAGCACGUGCUUUUCCUCCUUAACUUGAGAAAAUGUUUAAUAUAGUGCACCUUAUGGAAGCAUUUAAGCAAUUAGAACUUUGCACAAAAACAUCAAGAAGACUAAACAAGUCAGAUGCAGUGUAUUUGUCCAAGCACAAAUUGCAUUUUGUCCUCAACUUUAAUAUUUAUUGAUGAGAAUCAAUACAGGUCCCUCAUUUGUUAUAGAAAGCUUUCUUUCUUGUAGUCUCACCAGUUAAUUCACAGGUCUAUAAUCAUCUUGCAAAGUUAAGGGCAUUUCUUUUGAUCUAAAGUCUUUGCAUCACCACCUCAUCACACGCCAAGCCAAUAUUCCAUUUACCUCUACAACAAAAAGUUUUAAUUAAACAAUCCUAAUGCACGCAGCCAAAUAAAAUGCAGUAAGAAUAUUCAACUUAAAAAUCUGAAAGCCAACUUGGUGAAUUGCCUCCUUAGGUGAAGUUCCAUGCUUUACUAUAGUUGACAGAACUCAGCAAAAGCUUCCAUACAACAGAUUUUGAAAAUGAUGAUGCCAACAGAUACUCAUUCAAUCCAUUGAAACUCCAAAGGUUCAUUGUUCAUAGAAGUUUACAAAGUUUUGGUCAUCAAAUAGCUCAGACCUAAUCCCAAACAAAAAAAGAGUGAAAAUUAGAUCACGAGCAGCUAAUUGUAAAUUCUAACUUAACUCUUCAUCUCCUUUGUAAACAAGAAACAAAAUGGAGACACGCAAAAUGAAUAUGGAGAAAAUUUGAACUCAAAUGAAAUGAGGGCACGAAAGCAAACAAAUGGCAUGCACAAAAAAACCAAGCCUCAAUCAAAAACUAAUUAACCAUUAAGAAAAAAAUUGGUCAGACAAUGAACUCCAAAUUCAGGAGUCAAGCAAGAAGCUUUCAUUAUUUCAGAAGCUCCUGUACAAAUUAAUAAGUUAUGCUCUUUGGAAGCAAAACCAAAUUCCAAGAGAAACAGAACCCAAAAAAUUUGCAAUUAUUCGCAAAGGAAGUGAAGCACAGGAUUCUAUCACACAUAGGAAUUUUAUAACAAGAGAUCGAUAUAUCGAAUUAGAAAACUCAAUUCGAAUUUGUGUGAAAAAUCAAAAUUAGAAGAUUUCACAUUUCGAGAGGAACAAGCAACAGAUGAGUUUAAUUUCAGCCAUAACAUGCUAAAAAUGCUACACUUAACGGUUCCUUGUCAGCUAUUGAUGCGUUCGCUCANNNNNNNNNNNNNNNNNNNNNNNNNNNNNNNNNNNNNNNNNNNNNNNNNNNNNNNNNNNNNNNNNNNNNNNNNNNNNNNNNNNNNNNNNNNNNNNNNNNNAAGGGUCAUGUUCAAGCAGGAAAACUUCUAGAACAGGUAAGGAUUCCAUCUACAGACAUCCAUUGACAGCAGAUAUAUUUCAUUAAGCAGACACUGUUAGCAUUCAAGAUGCUGGCAGAUUCACUUGAUUCUUAUUAGUUUGUUUAGUGGCAAGGCAUAUAACCUGUAUUUCAAAGCCAAGUUGUGCUAUUGAUUAUGUUAACUUUAUUGUUAACAUUAAGUGAUUUGGAGGACAUAAUCAAUGUAGGAAAAUUAGGUGAAGAGAUGAUGUCAAAUCUUGAACCUCUUACAAAGCUCCAAGUUCUUUACUUGAAGAAGCUGCCAAAUUUGAAGAGCGUCUACUGGAAGGCAUUUCCAUUCCCAGAUGUAUGCAGAAUUUUUGUAUUAAUGCCCAGUUCUUAAGAAGCUGCCACUGGAUUUUCAUGGGGCGGGCCAAGGUAAAAUUCUUAUCAAGGGAAAGGAAGAUUGGUGGAAAGAACUUCAAUGGGAGGAUCAAGCAACUCAGAAUGCAUUGCUUCCAUUUUUCAAAUCAACUGACAAGUGAUUGAAGGGGGCAUCAUCAACAGAGAUGGAGAGAUUCUGGAGCAGAUCAGCAGGGUUUGUAUAUGAUCUUUGGUGGUUGCUUUCUUUUGUGAUUUUUUUUUUCUCAUUUUUUUACCUUCCUGUCAUUUUAUCAUUUCUUUGUCUCUUUUUCUAUUGCUGAUGUUAGUGUAUGCUUACUGUUGCUUGACAAAGUUUGCUUGCUUCUUGUUUAUUAAAUUUUUUAUGGUCACAAAAUAUUACUUGUUCUAUUUGAGAGUGAUGUGAAUCAAUUUUCAAUUAUAUAUUUUUUGGUCAAUGUGAAUUCAAUUUCAUUUGUCUCCUGCAAUUAUUAAAAAAAUGCAGUCUCAUAAUAUGGAAAAGUCGACCGGCAAAAAUUUUGUGAAAGCUUCGGAGUGAAACAGGGAAUUCACUUACUACUAAGGACAAUUGGUGGCGAGCUAUUCCAUUCAUUUUAUGUCCCUACAUCUAUUUAAUUAUUAAAGAUAAGUGGUCCAUUUGUAAAUUUCAGAUUGUGUCUCUCUGAAAAUAACAAUAUUUAAAAUGUCUCUUAAAUUAUUAUAAAUUUUAAUUCACUCUCGAUUUAAAAUGGAACAUGCUGAUGAAAAUUUUUUUCUUCUCAAUAUUCAAUAAAAUUGAAAUAAAUUGUGUUUGCAGUAUUUUGAAAUAUUUUAAAGAUUAUUAUUUUAUAAGAGAGUAAUAUGAAAUGAAAUUUACUCUUCAUGCGUGAAAUGUUGAAAAGGACAAAGGAAAGUGUCACUGCUUUUAUUUUAUUUCAAAGUGGAGUCAUCUCACAUACUUUACCUCUAUCAUUACAAUUUUUCACGUUACAUUUUGAUUUAUUUAUUUCUUUUAACACAUGCAUGUGGGUUACUUUUCCGUAAGCUCCUUAAUAUAUGUUUAACACAAAUCAUGGAAGAGAUGGGAGUAUAUCAAGAUGAUCAAAGCAUGAGACAAAAAUAUUUAAGAAGUAAAACACUGAAAAUAGAGGAGAGAUGCAAGCAAAAGAUAUUCCAAAGAAAAGCAAUCUAUCCCCUUUCGAGGGCAAACUUAAUCAGGUUUAAGAAAAGUACAUGUUUUGGAUUGGUAGUUGCAGCCUUGCAGGAUAAUUGUUUUUGCCAUUAUAUUAGUUGGAGGAGUUGAACCCAGCGAAGAAUGUUAUGGAAGAGCAAAUUAAUGAUAUUUCUGAUAGAGUCUAUUUGAUUAUGUAGCCUGAAUGGAUGUCUUGUUGAAAGAUAUCUCAGUGCAUUAGUUCAUCCUUGUCUGUCAAUGUGUUUUUAAUGGUUUUUCCAAUUGUUUAUUAUUAUAGAUUGAUUGUAAAUUUAUAUGAAAAUUUGAUAUGAAUUUAAUGUUGAAAUGUUUUCUCUUUAGUGGAAUGAAUUUAAAUUGAUUGAUUGUAAAUUGAUAUGAAUUUAAUGUUGCAAUGUUUUCUCUUUAGUGAAAUGAACUUAAAAGUGUAAAAGAUUAUUGCACACAUAGAAAUAAACAUAUAUGCUUUAUAGUAUAACUUUAGCAAUCGAUUCUUUUACGGCUGGAAACAGAGAUGAUGAUUAUCAUAGGGGUGAAGAAAAGGACAAAAAAUAUUAAUAAAUGAUCUUAAUGUUCCACAAAAGCAAAUCGUAAUAUUCCACAAGAAAAAGCAAGAUCUUAAUGUUCCACAAAAGCGUUAUUUAUUUUUUUUGGUGAGCCACGUGGAGCUCAAUUAUCAUUGUCUUUACUUUAAAAACGUUAUUUUAUUUUAUUUUCUUACAAAUUAAUGCUAACAAGAAAAAGCAAGAUAUAAUAUUCCACAAAAGCAAAUCGUAAUAUUCCACAGAGGAAUAAGAUCCACAAAAGCAAACAACUAGCUGGAUUCUUUUAUUAAACUACAAAUUAAAGUGGAAUCGUUUACUAAACAACAAAUUAAAGUUCAAAUAUUUAAAUAGUAGUGCGUUAGACGAUUAGGCUCUUUUAUUAAAGUCAAGUAUAAAGUAGUCCAGAAUCGAACAUCUCUAUUGUCUAGUCUUUUUUUUUUUUAAUUCUUCUUUUAUUAUUUUUCAGAAUAUGUUUUGGUGAUUACUAUUGGGUUAUUAUUCAGAGUUAUUGUUAUCUUCCGGGGCAGUUUCUGUUCAUCGAAAUCGUUAAUUAAAAUUUUAAAACUCUUAUCGGAAGAAUGUUUUUCCGUUAUUUUUUUAUAUUCUAAUUUCAAUUGUAAGAAGUAGUCAUUUUAGAAUUUGGGUCUUGAAUCGAAUUUCAAUGCAUGAAUUAAUAUUUUAAAAAAAUUUACUACAUGCAGUUUAGGUUACAAACUAUUUUUUGCAAAGUUGACUAUGAAAUUGGAGAAAUUAAGUAAUUUAUAAUGUUUGCAAAGAAAGAGACCAACAUACUUCCAAUUACACUAUAUCUCAAUUAUCAUAAUGUUAAGAUUAAACUAACUUAAAAUAAAAUUUAUUUAAAAAGUUUAUCAAACGCAGUCUAAUUUUAUUAACUUGAAGAGAUAAUAGUUAUAGAAAUUAUUAUUCUAACUUAAUUAGUAAAAGUGGUAUAAAGGUUAAGUGUGCACUAAAUCUAUUUAAAUUUUUUUCCAGUAUAACUAACAGAGGUCAUUACUAGAAUUAUAUUACUAGUCUAUUAGAUAGAAAAAAUUAUUUAUAUUGUUUUAUAUUUAUUAAAAAAAUUUAAAGUCAAUCUUUUUAAUUACUAUUUAAAGGAUAUUAUAAUUAAAAAAAUUUUAAUGUCUUCAUUAAAAAUUUAAAAUUUUAUAUGACCGUUAUCUAAAUAUUUAAAGUGUAACUGUCAUUUUCUCAUAUAUAUAUAUAAUUUCAUCAACCCCUUAUACUUUAUGUUAUUUAUAUUUUAUUCAUGAAUAUUAUAAAUUUUUUGAAAUAUAAAAUUUCGUUUAACCCUUUAUACUCAAUUUUAUUUUAUUAAAACCCUAGAGUAUGAAUUCGUCCCUAUAAUAUUAAAUUCUCAAAAUAACUUCCAUUUAAUUAAAAAAUAUAAUUAUUAUUAAAUGAAUUAUAAUUAUUAUUAUUAUGUUAUUAUAAUCAUAAAAAGCGAGAUCAUAUUCCACAAAAGCAUAAGUGACAAAACAACCAACUGGAUUCUUUUAUUAAUCAACAAAUUGUAUAGUCUUUUUCAAAUUGUUAUAAAUUGGUGGCCCCUACAAUCCUCAAUAAUUGUACCGAAAUUCACAAGUUGGUGGGCCCUACAAUUCUGUUCCGAUAAUUUAACUGUGCAAGUGCUCAUUCACAAUCUUCCAGGUCAUGCUCUUAACAAUUGUUUUUUCUUUUCUGCACGCCCUUUCAUGCUCUUAAUAAUUGAAGAGCAUACUUUUCAAAUGUGAAGCCGCAUCUAAUGUCGCUAAUUUAAUUUGGGAUUAAAUUACGGGACUAUUAUAUUGCAGUGUGCACUAAUUUUUAUGUUUAUCUAAACUCUUCAAAUUUAAAACAUAUUAUGGCAUAAAUAAGAAUGUAACAAUAACAAAAGAGUAAGAAAGUGUAGAGAAAAUCUUGCAGAAAUAUAAAUAAUAUUUAUUUUUAAAAUAAUAUUAAUAUUUAAAAUAAUUUUUAAUAUUUUAUGGUCCAUUAGAUAUAUUUUAUUAUAUUAAAAUAAAUUUUAUAAUAAAUAAAAACAUACUAUUAAAAUGAAUAUAUAUAGAAAAUUUAGAGUAUUUUAAGUAUUAUAUAAAAUAAUUUUAAUAAAAUAUGUGAGAUAUUCAUAUUUUAUUAAUUUAAGAUACCAUUUAACCUAAAGAUUUAUUUAUGAUAAAUUAAUAAUUAUAUUUUUGAAAUUACUUCAAAUAUUAAAAAAAUUAAUAUUACUAAUAUAUUAGAUAGAUUAAAUUAUAUAUAUUAUUUUUACUUAUUAAAAAAAUUUUAAAAUUAUUUUUAAUUACUAUUCAAAAAACGUAUUCAAAAAACAUAAUGAUAAAAAAAUCUUAACAUCUUUAUUAAAAAAUUAAAAACUUAUAUGAUAAAUUCUCUAAAUAUUUACGGUAUAUGUGAACCACGGUGGAUAAGCUUUAUUUAAUAUUAUUGAUUUAAAUAAUAUGUCAAUUAAAAAUGUACAGAGAAGAAAUUUCGGUGGGUAUUUUAGUCUUUUAAGCAAUUAUCAUGAUCAGAUCAGCCUUUAGCCUUCAAACGUCGGUCAGAAAAGUUUUAAAAUUAAUGCUAAAUUGUUUUUCACUUUUAACGUUGGUGGCCUUGAAAUUGCUUGUAUUUUAUUAAAAAUUAAUGCUAACAAGAAAAAGCUAGGUCAUAUUCCACAAAAUCAAAAGUGACAAAACAACCAGCUGGUUUCUUUUACUAAACUACAAAUUAAAAUAAAUUUUUUCGAUAAAUUACAAAUUAAAGUGGAUUCUUUUGAAUACAAAUGGGACAGACGAUUAGGCUCUUUUUAUUAGAGGCAAGUAAAAACUAGUCAAGAAUCGAACAGUCUUUUUCCAAUUCUUGUUUUAUUAUUUUUCAAAACUAGUUUUUGGUAAUUACAACCGGGUCAUUAAUCAUUAUUCAGAGUUACUGUUAUCUUCGGGGGCAGUGGGUAAAAGAUAAUUACUAACUGUUUUUCCUUCAAAAGUUAGCGGCUCAUGUUUGCAAGUGUGAAUGUGCGAUGCUCUUUUCUUAAAGGCCAUUACAGUGGGGCCCGAAUCAGACGUGCCUAAAUCUUUUUAAAAUUUUUGCCGUAUAACGAACAGAGGUCAUUACUAAAAUUUCUCUUCCACAGCCUACAGCAGCUUCAGUUUAUCAAACUCCAUCAAUUUUCUUUCUUAACAAAAUUCCAAAGAUGUGUAGCAUUUUUCAGAUCACAUGCGAUGGUGCUCUUUUCAAUCGUUGCUUGGAUUGCUUUCUUGGAAAAGCAGCAUACAUACGUAACCUCCAAGAUAAUCUUGAUGCCUUGGACACUGAACUGGGAAGACUAAUCGCUAAAAAGAACGAUGUGAUGAGGAGGGUUGUCGACGCUGAACGACAACAAAUGAGAAGGCUGGACGGAGUGCAAGUGUGGGUUUCGAGGGUGGAUGCUGUUAAAACUGGAGCCGAUGAACUUAUCACAGACGGCUCUGAAGAAAUUGGCAAAUUAUGUGUUGGAGGCUACUGUUCCAAGAACUGCAGGUCAAGCUACAAGUUCGGAAAACAAGUGGCUAAAAAGCUACAAGAUGUGAAGACUUUAAUCGCCGAGGGAGUUUUUGAGGCGGUGGCUACUGAGGUGGUGCCCGAGAGAGCUCCGGAACCUGUAGCAGAUAAAAGACCCAUUGAGCCAACAAUAGUAGGCUUGCAAUCACAGCUUGAACAAGUUUGGAGAUGUCUUGUAGAAGAAUCAGUGGGAAUCAUUGGCCUAUAUGGUAUGGGCGGUGUUGGUAAAACCACACUAUUGACCCGUAUCAACAAUAAAUUUCUUGAGAGUCAAAACAACUUUGAUUGUGUGAUUUGGGUCGUAGUUUCAAAAGACCUGCGGCUUGAAAAAAUUCAAGACGAUAUUGGGAAGAAGAUAGGUCUGUCUGAUGAUUCAUGGAAGAAUAAAAGUUUUGAAGAGAAAGCUGUGGACAUCCUGCGGAGAUUAGGAGAGAAGAGAUUUGUAUUGUUGUUAGAUGAUUUAUGGGAGCGGGUUGAUUUAACAAAAGUGGGCGUUCCACUUCCCAGCGCACAAAAUACUACCUCAAAAGUCGUAUUCACAACCCGUUCCAUUGGUGUUUGUGGCAGCAUGAGAGCUAGGCCGGUUAAAGUGGCAUGCCUAUCAGAAAAGCAAGCUUGGGAACUGUUCCGCGAAAAUGUUGGGGAAGAAACUCUUGAGAGUGAUCAUGAGAUCGUUGAGCUAGCCCAAACUGUGGCCAAAGAGUGUGGUGGUUUGCCACUCGCACUUAUUACUAUUGGUCGAGCUAUGGCCUUCAAAAAGACAGCCGAGGAGUGGAGUCAUGCAAUUGAUGUGCUAAGAACAUCAGCUUCUGAGUUUGCAGGUUUGGGAGAGAAGGUGUAUCGUCUUUUAAAGUUUAGCUAUGAUAGUUUGCAGAAUGAGACCAUUAGAUCUUGUUUCUUAUAUUGUUGUUUAUAUCCCGAGGAUUAUGGCAUUCUUAAAUGGGACUUGAUUGAUUGUUGGAUUGGUGAGGGAUUCUUGGAGGAAUCUGACAGGUUUAGUGCAGAAAACCAAGGAUACUACAUUGUGGGCACUCUUGUUCAUGCGUGUUUGCUAGAAGAGAUGGAAGAUGAUAAAGUAAAAAUGCAUGACGUUGUUCGUGAUAUGGCUCUAUGGAUAGCUUGUGAAAUUGAGAAGGAGAAGAGAAACUUUUUGGUUUGUGCAGGUGCUGGAUUAAAAGAGGCACCGGAUGUUAAAGGAUGGGAAAAUGUGAGAAGAUUGUCAUUGAUGCAAAACCAAAUUAAAACUCUGUCAGAGGUUCCCACAUGCCCUCAUCUCCAUACUUUAUUUCUUGCCUCUAAUAUGGAGUUGGAGAUGAUCGCGGAUGGCUUCUUCCAAUUUAUGCCUUCUCUCAAAGUUUUGAAGAUGUCACGCUGCUGGAAUUUUCAAUUACCUGUUGGGAUGUCAGAUUUGGGUUCAUCACUAGAACUUCUUGAUAUUUCACAUACCACCAUAAGAGAGUUACCCGAAGAGUUAAAGUUGCUGGUAAAUCUGAAAUGUUUGAAUUUGAGGUGGACAGGUGCGUUAAUUAGAAUUCCACGGGGACUAAUAUCAAAAUUUUCAAGGUUACGUGUGUUGAGAAUGUUGGGUACUGGCGGGUUCAUUUUUUAUGAAGCACCAGAAGACAGCGUUUUAUUUGGUGGGGGUGAAGUUUUGAUACAGGAAUUGCUCGGUUUGAAAUAUUUAGAGGUAUUGGAGUUGACCUUGGGAAGUUAUCAUGCUCUCCAAAUUCUUUUGAGCUCAAAUAAGUUAAAAAGUUGUAUUCGAUCUCUUUACCUCUAUUUGACCGGAGAUAAAAAGUCGAUUAUUGAUGCUACGGCUUUCACAGACCUAAACCACCUCAAUGAAUUAUGGAUUGAUAAUGGAAUUGAGUUGGAAGAAUUGAAGAUUGAUUAUACGGAGAUAGUACGAAAAAGGCGGGAACCUUUUGUUUUCCACAGCCUUCACCUUGUUACGAUAUAUAGUUGCCAUAAAUUGAAAGAUUCGACAUUCCUCGCUUUUGCUCCAAACCUCAAGUCUCUUUCGCUAUUCAAAUGCCGUGCUAUGGAAGAAAUAAUCAGCGUCGGAAAAAUUGCUGAGAAUCCUGAGAUGAUGGGACAUANNNNNNNNNNNNNNNNNNNNNNNNNNNNNNNNNNNNNNNNNNNNNNNNNNNNNNNNNNNNNNNNNNNNNNNNNNNNNNNNNNNNNNNNNNNNNNNNNNNNNNNNNNNNNNNNNNNNNNNNNNNNNNNNNNNNNNNNNNNNNNNNNNNNNNNNNNNNNNNNNNNNNNNNNNNNNNNNNNNNNNNNNNNNNNNNNNNNNNNNNNNNNNNNNNNNNNNNNNNNNNNNNNNNNNNNNNNNNNNNNNNNNNNNNNNNNNNNNNNNNNNNNNNNNNNNNNNNNNNNNNNNNNNNNNNNNNNNNNNNNNNNNNNNNNNNNNNNNNNNNNNNNNNNNNNNNNNNNNNNNNNNNNNNNNNNCACUGUUUUUAUUUCAGUCUCUCUCUCUCUCUUUGUCUCUGCUAAUCACAAUUAAAUGUGAAUUAAUGGAAUUAAUGCUUCAUAAAUUUGCCGGCACUGCCAUUACUUUUUUUUUUUUAAUACAAAUUGAUACUUUAUUUAUAUCUUCUUAGCGAUUUAAUUUCCUGUCAAUUGACGAACGAGAAGAACAUAUGACUUGAACCAAUGCUCGCAUAAACUUGCUGUAAAAAGAUAUAAUCUCACUGAAAUGCACACGCCUAGAAUGAAUAGAAUUAAAACAGGGAAAAUAUUAAGUAUAUUAGCCCUCUUUACCGAAAAUCAAAUGACAAUAAAUUUUUUGAAGUUUUGAUUUUCUAUGGUCAAUUCCACCUUUUGCAAUUUCUUCUGUUCUAACAAAAACCAAUUUCUUUGUUCAAGUAUUUUCGUUUGGGUAUUAAUAAUUCUCCACCGAAAGAGUGAACUCUUGCUCAAGGGAUCUCUAAUCAAUAGCCGGAAGGGCGCCGAGACCUGAUCGGACCUAGGCCCAAGUUUGGUCUUAAAGCCUGGGCUUGAGCCUGGCAAUUAAAUUAAAACAGUAAUUGAUUUCUUGAAUGAAUUGUCGUGUAAUUGAUUUAUGGGGGAUGACACAUCAACAUACUUGAAAAUACACUAAUCUCAGCAUCAUCCGUUAAUAACUUUUAGAUUUAUGGGCAAUCAAUAGUUAAAUUAGUUGUCAUUAAUACUAAAUAAUUUUUACUUUUUUUGUCUCUUCUAGAGGAUCUUCUAGAAAAAUGCAUCCACAAUUAAAUUUAAUACUUUACAUAAUAAAGAAAGCAUAAAUGUUAAAUUUAAGAAACUGCAUUGUAUUUCAGCUGAAGUUGACUUUAAUAUUUAGGGUAGAAAAAAAUUAAAUCCUUAAUGUGUUUAAUUUAUAUCACUUGUGUCAUUAAAAUUUUCUAGUCACCCUAACCAAUUACAUCUCAACCCACUUUUUUUUGGAUGAUUUUAUUUUUAUACUAUUAUUUUCAACAUUUUUUUUUCCUUUUAACACCAACAUUAGUGUAUGUUACGUAACAUAAUCCAUAUUUGGAUAAUUUGAAAUUUGUUUGUGUUUUAUCUCAAAAUAGAGCUUCAAUCAAUUUGUACCUCAUAAAUUCACAAUAUCUGGCAGGGCUAAUAAGACCAAACUCUGGCAUAUUAUCAAAUGUGCUUAUCCUUUUGCUUGACAUGUCAUUUUAAAAUUGUCAUUCAAUGCCAAAAAAAUCACAUCAACUGAUGGCCGACUACUUUAAUUUGAAAGCAUGCAUGCGAUCGCCACCAAUAAUUAUAACUUAAUUGUUAUAUUGAAAUUUUUUUCUUUAUAAUUUUUAAGUUUAAUACUGCUACAUGUGCGGCACAUAAGUUGGAAAAUAUAACAUAAAAUUUGAAAAAUGUGUAGUUUUCGUUCCUUUUUUUUCUUAAAAAUGGGGAAAAAGAAUGUAAUUUUGUUUAAAUUACUGUUGUGAUAACAAUUAUUAUUUUAUUGAUUAAUUGGCAGAGAAUCGUUAUGGUUUCGCAUGGUUGUUAAAACAUUGGAAAAUCCACUACAUCAUCCGAUAAUAACUUUCAGAUUUAUGGUUAAUCAAUAGUUGAGAUUUGUUAUCAUUAAUGUUAAAUAUUUUUUUAAUAUUUUUUCUCUCUCCUAGAGGAUCAUCCACAGUUAAAAUUUAAUAUUAUAAAUAGUAAACAAAGUAUAAACGUUAAAUCGAAGAAACUGCAUUGCAUUUCAGCUGAAGCUAACUUUAAUAUUUAACAGAGAAAAGUAAUUAAGUCCUUAAUGUGCUUUAUUUACCCAUAUAUAUGGCUAAUUUUUUAAGAUAAAGGGGAAGGAUGAUGCUCAAAAAUAUAAAUUAUAGAAUUAAUUGAGCUCUCAAGUAAGUUUAAAGUUCAUUAUUUUUAAUUACAUGUUUAUAAUUUAUUUUUAUUUCGUAUUAAUCUAUAGAUCUAAAUCCACUUUGGAUUCAUAUACAUAUAUAGACAUAAUGUGUAUGUUAAUCUAUAGGUCUAAAUUCACUUUAGGUCUAUAUAGGUAUUUUGACAAAUGUACUCCAAUCAUAUUGGCAAGUUCUAACUACUAUAUUGGUAUGUCAAUAUUAUCUCUAAUUGCCCUAUACAUUCAGAAAUAAUCUAGAUAUACAAAUUAACAUAAAAUAAAAAUAAUUGGUAGAAAAUAUAAAUUAUAAACAUGUAAUUGAAAACGAUAAACUUUAAAUUUACUUAAGAGAGUAAUUAAUUUCAUAGUUAAAAUCUUUAAAUUUUACCCCUCAUCUUAACUUAAGAAAAUUAAUCACUUAUUUUAUUUAACAAAGAAGAGAUUUUUUUCCCCUAUAUUUCCCAAUUAUUUCUCUCCCUCUCGCUCCCGUAAGUUAUACAACUUGAAGUGAAAUAUGAGUGGUCUGAUUCUAGCUUAAAUAAUUUAUUGUGACAUGCUAUCUAAGGACAAUACAUUACCUAGCUCUACAUAUUUUAUUUAACCUCCGGCUCACCCUGUGCAAACUUGCCUUCCCCUACAAGACAAGAUUAAUCAAUCUAUCAAGUCUCAAAUUCAAUUUGGAAUAUGACCAUCGUACGUUCUUGUUCUUCCCUCUUUACGAGUGCAUUCCCCCCAACCUCAAGCUCCCUCUCUCGUCUUCAAUGUCACUGCCUAUAUCCUUGUGUUGUUCUAGUUUGAAAUAGUGGCUUCCACAAUUUCAGGGCCCCCAAAAAUCCAGAAACAUAGUAUUCAUCACGAUGACAAAUUUUUUGGCAGGCAGGUGCUUCCUGACUUUCACACGGUAAUUCUCAAAUUCUGAUUUCACCAUAUUUUAAUUACUGAUUAGCAUAUAUUCAAGUGCUCUCCAUUAUAAUAGAAGCCGCCGCCUCACUCGUGAUUCCAAACUUUAUCUUUUUUCCUUUUUUAAAUUAAUGCAAGUAGCCGCUGUCCUUUUUAUUAAUUAAUUAAUUAAUUCGGCCGCCCACAUUUCUUUUCCUAAUGUCUUCUACUGUCGAUUUUCUUUUAUUUUCUUUUUAUUCUUAAAAUAUGCUUAUAAUAAUAAAAUAUAAAAAUUAAAAUUAACAUAUCAAAAUAUAAUUUAACAGAAAAUUAAGAUAAAAAUAAAAAAAAUAAAUUAUGAGCAUAUCAAUCAAUAAAUGAAAAAUAAUAAUUUUUAUUUUUAUUAAAUAUAUAUUUUUCAGUAUUAAUCAAUUAUUUGAAUAAAUAAAAUCAUUUAAAAAUAAAUAAAUAAAUUAUUCUUAAAAAAAAAGAAACUUUUUAUAACACUCACUAUGCUGGUUGUAGGGUAGACGCUUUGGGAACUGAAGCCGGUAACUUCUACAAGUAGUCUGAAGUUGACUGGCAACAACUAUAUUGACAUUUAGACAUAAUGUACUCCAACCGUAUUGGUAUGUUUAAAUGUUCUUACUAUUGUAUUGGUGUGUCAAUAUUAUCUCUAACUGCCCUAUAGAUAAAAAAAUAAUCUAAAUUUAUAAUUUAACAUAAAAUAAAAUAAUUGGUAGAAAAAUAAUUAUGGUUCAUUUACUUAUCAGUAAUCAGAAUAGACUAAAAUCGAAAUGAGUUGUAUUACCGUUGAUGUGUUUAUGUUGUCCUGGAAUCGGAAUGAAUUAUUUUAAGUUACUAAAAUAUCCUUGGUUUGUUAUUCUAAUUAUUAUUUAAUAUUUAUUAUAAUAUUUGUCAUAUCAUUAAAAAGAAAUAAUAAUGAUGAUAAUAUUAUCAUUAUUGUUUGUUACAUUAUUAUUAUUCAAAAAAAUUAUUGUUAAUAAUAAUAAUUUUUUUAUUUCAAUAAUAAUAAUGAUAAAAUUAAUAAUAAAAAACAUGACAACAACAAUAAUUAUUUAUUAUGCCAAAAAAUAACAAUAAUAAUAAGAAUAAUAAUCAUCAUCAUUUUUUUGCCAAAGAAAUCAUCAAACCAGACAAGAAAUCAUCAAAAAUUGCUAUUUCAAUUUAGGAAGAAGUUCUUUCGGUGUGCUAGCGAUGGGAGAUGUUGUGGCUGCGAUUCGGGGAGCUAAUAGUUUAUUGCACUAAUAACGGCAGGUGCUGCUGCUUGAUGCGAGGUCCAUGGCCAGUUGUCAGCAGUUCGACUUUGGCAUGGGCGCUGCUGGUUCGAUUUUAGGUGUUGUCUAAUUUCAUUUUCAGGAUUUUAAUUUUAUUUUUUUCUUUUAUAUUUUCAUUAAUUAAUCAGGGCAAAGUUUGAUUUUAGAAUUUGGAAUGAAGGUAAUUUUGUUAAUCAUGGAAAUGAGAUUUUGAUUGUCGAGAAUGAACUUACACAAGCAACUGCAAAUUAAGUGAAAACAAAACGCUUUUUCUCUUUGUGUGAUUAAAACAUGAAAUAUACCAUAAAUAAAUAGGUAAAAAUUAAAUCAACACAAUCCAAAACAGUAAACCAAUUAUAAGAGGCACAAAUUUUUAUGUGAAAUACCGAAAACGGAAAAAACCACAACAUGUUAGUAUGAUAUAAUCUUCUACUAUAUUAAUGGGAUUAUAACACAAAUUCUUCCCUAUAUUACACUAGAGAUUAACAACAUCAAGAAUCUCAAUAAUCUUAACUUACAAUACAACCUAAUAUAUGUCUCUCUAAUAAAUAGAUAUCUAAAAUAACAAUCUCUAAUAAGUAAGUAUCUCAAAUAACAGUCUCUAAUAAGUAGGUAUCUCAAAUAAUAGUUAAUAAGAGGAUAAAACAAAAAUUAAGAUUAGUAGGAUGUGUAUAAGGCGAUGCUAUCAACUUAUCUUCUAAAUUUGAGAAAAAUAGUUAAAUUCACUUUUUUGAUUGUCCGACCAAAGAUGGAAACCUUGCCCCAAAACCAAAGGAGUCACCAUUGUGUUUCUCUCUCUCUCUCUCUCUCUCGUUCUUUUCUUCUACUUUUCUUAAUGUUAGCCGCCACUUGCUUUUAUUCUUUAUAGCAUUUAAAAAGUUACUUUUAAUGGUAAAUUUCAUCUAAGUCCAAAACUUAGUGAUAAUUGCACACUAAACAAUCCUUUUUGGACUAUAGACUUUUGGACCUCCAAAUGAGACGAAUACAACAAAUCUCCCCUUUUAGAUCAUGUAGGAGGCACCACAAGCCCACUCUCUGCAUAUAGCUUUUUAACUUCUCCUUGAAUAAUGACUUUGUCAUCAUACAUAACUCAUUCUCCGUUGUGUAAAUCUUCUCAAGCUAUAACCGUUCUUUCUCAAACACGUCUCGUAUCUAAUAAUACUUCACAUCAAUUUGCUUAGAUUUCGAAUGAUAUAUCAAAUUCUUUGAACGACACUCUGAUUUUCGCAGUACAUAAUAUAGUUGUCUCAUUUUAUACCUAGCUCUUGUAGGAAAUUCUUCGUCCACAGUAUUUUUUUGCAACCUUCAAUAAUUGUAAUAUCAUUUGCUUUAGUAGUAGAAAAGACAACUUAUUACUAAAGUUUAGAUUACGAUGAGACUGCUCCUCCUGCAAAAGUGAGCAAACAUUCUAGUAGGAAUUUUUCGGAAUCAACAUCUCCUACCAUAUCUAUACACUUGUAACACAGGUUUGUCACCACCAAAAUAUAAACAUGCUCUGGAAAUGCCUCUAAGAUAUCUGAGAAUUUUUCACUAUUGUCCAGUGCUCUUUACCGGGAUUGAAGAGAAACCACUAACUACACUAGUUGUAUAAGUAAUAUCUGGUCUUGUACAAAUUAUGGCGCACACCAAACUGCCAACUGCUGAAGCAUAAGGAACUCCUCUCAUGGAGAAAUGGGUUUUGCUCUUGAGAUUUUUGGGAACAUGAAGAAUAAAUAUGUAAUUUCUUGGACUGCCAUUGUUUCGAGGUAUAUAAACAGAGGACAAGUCUAUAUAGGUCGACAGUGGUUUGCUCAGAUGCCAGAACGAGAUUAUGUCUUAUGGACUGCCAUGAUUGAUGGGUACCUUCGAGUGAAUAGGUUCAAAGAGGCUUUGACGCUUUUUCAGGAGAUGCAAACUUCAAAUAUAAUGGGAGACGAGUUUACCAUUGUUAGCAUUCUUACAGCUCGUGCGAAUCUGGAAGCACUAGAUCUGGGAGAAUGGAUAAAGACUUAUGUUGAGUGUUAGAAAAUGCAUAUUUAUAAAGGAGAAAACCAUCAUUUUACAUUUCAAGUCUUACUAACAACCCUUACUUUUAUGUAUUUAACCUUCUUGUGAUUUAAUUACAUGUGUUUUAUUUUAAUUAAGUAUUUUAUGUAUUUUAGGGACAUUAUAGUCAUUUCACAAUAAAGGAGAGAUCAGACGGCAAAACAGACAUCACUUUUGAACUCAGGACGGUCAAAAACCUUAGGAGGAGCAUAAAAGGAAAAAUGGCACUAUUCACAUGUACGGUACUAUUCACGUGUACGGUACUGUCCACGUUACUGUUCACGAUACUGUUCACAUAGACAGAUCGAUGACGUGGCAUUGACUGAUGAGGUGUCACGAUCCUGUUGGGCUAAAAUUCUUAUGUACUGUUGAUGGUGACGUGGCAGCAUAUCAAUGGACGAAAAAUCUCGCAUACAGUACAUGCAUCACACAGGAUUAUUGUCAACCAAAUCGCGUUACUGUUCAUCCGGGUCAAACCGUGUUACUGUUCAUCCACGUAGUCAAACCGCGUACUGUUGACUGAUGACGUGGCGCAAUCCUGAGCGUCCAAACUGUUUUUAAUCCGAUGGCCAUGAUUUACUCCAUGUAUCUAUAAAAAGGGGGCCUCCCCCCCUAAUUUGACAACUCUGAAUCUAUUUUGGGAUCCAUUUUCUAUAAUUCCCUCUCCAUCUUGUAUUUUCUACGUAUUUUAAUAAAUUUCCAUUUUACCCUUAGUUCAAUUAUGAGUGGCUAAUUUCCUUUCAAGCUUGGGUUGAAGGUGAAGUCUCAACAUGUGUCAUGGGCUUUAUUUGGUAAAUUUAUUUUCUUUUCCCCUCUAGUUUUUGUGGAUGAUUUGACUUUUCGUCGACAAAUAAUAUUGAUCUUGUCUAGAUACCACCUUGGUUACACCGGCUCUCUAGUACAAGGUUAUUAUUAUUUGGCACGAUAAGCCCUUAGCACCAUAUUGAUUAGAGCGUGGUUCAUGAGGUGUGGAUUCCCCCCUCAUGAUUUAAUUGGCAUUAAUAAGGAUUAUAUAGCCCAUGAUGCAUGUUGAUACGGAUCUGGAUACCCAAGUGCUUCAUUUCAAUAGAUCUAUCUUCAAUUUCUUCUCGCCAUUUUAAUUUAAGUUUUAGAAUAUUCCAAAUCAUUUCCACCACAAAUCCAAUCCCCGAUUCACAAAAUUAAUUCUAUACACAAUUAAAAUCCACAUCCUCGUGGGAUCGACACUCGUCACCAUUAGUCUAUACUACAAUAGAUUCGUGCGCUUGCGAGUACAUUAAAAUUUACACAACAACUUAUAUUGACAAAAACAAAGUCAAGAAUGAUGUAUUUGCGGGGAAUGCUUUGAUAGACAUGUACUGUAAAUGCCGAGAUGUUGAGAAAGCUCAAAAGGUAUUCAGGAAGAUGCUUUGAAAGGACAAAUUCUCAUGGACGACCAUGAUUGUUGGCCUUGCCAUCAGUGGCAAUGGUGAUAAAGCUCUUGAUAUGUUUUCCCAAAUGCUUAGGGCUUCGAUCAAACCGGAUGAGGUAGCUUAUGUUGGUGUUCUGUCUGCCUGUACUAACAAUGGUAACGAAACUUUUGUGAUAAAUAGUUGCAACUUAAGGUGAGAAUUGGAGGAAAGGAAAUAGACUGAAGUUGUUCAAUCAUCGGUCGUCUCUAUUUGGUUUUCUCCGAUAUCUCAUCUUCAGUUUUGACUCAGAUUCUAUCUUACCACUUAGGGGUGGGCAAAAUCGGGUUCGGGUCAACCCGAUCGGGUUUCGGGUUGUUCGGGUUAGACAAGGAACAAUCCGAACAUAACCCGAAUUAAUGACCCGACCCGAACUUAGUUCGGGUCGGGUCAUUAAUUCGGGUUAUGUUCGGGUUGGAUUUAAAAUGGGUAGGAUUGAGUUCGGGUCAAUUUGGGUUAGUUCGGGUCAAUUCGGGUCAGUUCGGGUCAAUUCGGGUCAAUUCGGGUCGGUUGAAAUCGGGUCAGUUCGGGUCAAUUCAGGUCAGUUCGGGUCGGUUGAAAUCAGGUCAAUUCAAGUCAGUACGUUUUUUUUUUUUAAGAACCCGAUCGGGUAUUCGGGUCGGGUCGGGUUUGACCCGAACCGAUCACAACCCGAUCGGGUUUGUAAAUUUCAAACCGAUCGGGUUUCGAUCCCGACCCGAUCCGACCCGAACCCGAAAUUUAUCGGGUCGGGUCGGGUCGGGUAAAAUGCCCACCCCUAUUAAUACCACUAGUAAUUACAUAGACUUGCUGCCAAAGGUAAGAAUGAGAAUAAAUUAAAUAGAUUAUGUCGAAAACGAAAUAAAUUUACCAUUGUUCUGUUCAUUCUAUUUGUUUCCUACAGAAUAUUUCUCCAGCCUAAAAUUUUUUGAAUUAGUAAGUUUUUAUCUUAUGCAAGAAUUGUGCUGAGAGUAAUUCCAUUUCUCAGUCUCUUUAUGUUUCAAUGAAGACGUAAAACUUGUGUUCUAGUGCACCAAUGUUUAUGCUUCUUACAAUUUGACUUUAAUUUAGUUUGUAAAACUUUUGUCAAAAAGUACUAAAAAGUAGUGCACCAAACACAAACUUUAUUACAGAGAGGACUUCAGUUAAAUUUUAAGAAAACACUCAAAAGAACGAGUUAUAAAUUAUUAUCGAAAUAUUUCACAUAAAUAAAAGCCAUCCCAUGCUGCAAAGAUCUUGCUAUAAUCACCAAAAACUAUCGGGAGCUUUUAGGGUUUCCAUAAAAAUGUCAUUUCGUUCCAAAAGUCAAUGGUGGGUAGAAAGUGGUGCAAAUGAGACUCAUUGUUAAUGGUAUAAGUUUUUGCUUAAUUAUGUCUUCCCCAAAAUGAUGAUUUAAUUUCCAUUCUCAAUUAAUUUUCAAGUUUCAACACUUUUCUAUGUAGCAUGACAUUGGAAAGAUCUUGUACAGUUGUACUACUAAAAGCUAGCACCACACGUUAGUUAUUGUUAAGUUCUUUUUCAACGUGAAAUAAAGGAAGUAGUCCUUCGUUAAAACCAUUAUAGCCAAAUUUCACGUAAUUGGACAUUUACAGACUUUUAUUUCAAGUUGGAUUUUGGUCCAACAUUUCAAAGUUGGCCCAAUUAUUUUUGUCUGGUCAAGUCCUUCGCAGCUAAGCCCCUCAAUGAAUGAGGGUGAGAUUGCUAAAAAUUACGACAGGUGAUAUUUUAUUAUUAUUAUUUGUUUGAGGGAAAAAAUAGGAAAAGCAAUAGAGCGCCACGUGUCAACCAAUGGAAUGAUUCCUGCACAAUCUAAGGUACCCCACACAAUCCGAGGUACCCCAUAUAAUAUGAGGUACCCCACACAAAUAGGGGUACCCCGCGUAAUAGGAGGUACCCCAUGUAACUCGAGGUACUCGGCAAAGCGGAUGCAAGAGAAUCCUCCGAAAAUAUCCGCCAUGAGAAACGUCUCCGCCUCCUAAAAGAUAUUAUUCAAUUUUGUCAGAAUUAUGAAUAAAAAACGACGCCCUAAAAGGAGGGACAGUCGCCUGCGACCUCUGCCAAAAGUGAAGGACACUGUCCCAAGGACAGUGGUCCCCAACGCCUACCCGACAGCUACUGCAAAGGUACCCUGGACCACUCUCCAGCGCGCGCCACGUUUCCAAAAGAUGAGAUACGCCGCGAACGUGCAGAUAACUGCCCAAAAAUUAUAAAGAGGUAAAAGGACGUUAGUAAAAAAGGGUAUGCCAUGUGGCAGCUGAGGUACUCCAUAUAUAAAGGCGCCUAGGUUUCAUUCUCCAUCAUGUUCUCACUCACCAUUAACACUCGCACUCCAAAAAAUAGGUUUUCUUCAACCUUAAACCCUAAUUUACAGAGGGUUAGUCAGCUCUCUUUACCAUAAAAGCUUGAGUUUGCUAACUUGAGCGUCGAAGUGUGAACGCCGGGGUACCCCGGCUUCACCUCUAACCUCUAUUUCACUGUUUUGCAGGCGUGAAGCUCAUUUGGAAGGACACAUCUCUUAGUUCUAAACCUUUCACCAUUGUUACCACUCUCUCUCCCUUUCUCACCUCCCCUGGAUUUCAGAUACACCACACCGCACACAAUAAACUAGUGAGGUACCCCGUCUCCCAUAAAAAUACAAAUUCAUUGUUCUAGAUAGAUUUGGCUUUUUUUACCCCAAAAUCUGUUGAAAACACUAUUUUUAAUUUUGGGGGAUAAAUCCUCACCAAAGUGAGGAGAUUUUAUCAAAAUCAAAAUAAAAAUAUAACAAGAACUGAAAGUCGGGCAGCCUAAAAGCUAGAUGAACUAAAAGUCAGGCGCCUAAAAACAACCUUAUGCAAAAGAGAAGCAACAUGAGACCGAUCAAGUAAAAGAAUCCACCGCAACACCUAAAUUGGCCAAAUUAUCUGUUGGUAUUACAAGUUUCUUGUUAUAAAAGUGUAGAAUGAAGUAGGUGACAGUAGUUUUAAGUUACAGCUGCAUGCCUAAUCGCAAUAUCAAAUAAUGAUUAAAUAUCAAAUAAUGCUUAAAGUAGUUGCCUAGGCCCGCCACAAUUUAUAUUAACUCUUAAAUUUAUAAAUAAUUAAAUUUUUAAAAGUUUGGAUUUAUAUUAAAAAAUCUUCAUAUAAAUAAAUAAUAUAUGCACUUUUACAACACAGUCUUUAAAUUUAAAUUUUUCUAGAAAAAUCUUCUGUAUAUCUUUUCUAUUAAAAAAUUUCCAUAUAAAUAAAUAAUAUACCUAAUUUAAUUGGACCCAGCACAUCGCAUAUGCAUAGAACACAUUCCACAAAGCCAUGCUAUUCGGAAAUUGACGAAUGAAAAGUGAGGAGGCAGCAGUCAAUGCUAUUUGGGCUUGGCCCAAAAUUGAUUUAUCAGGUUGACGUUUGCCAGGAAUGAAGAACUGGAAUAUCACCGUCAAGCAAGCAACCUGUGGAGCAAUACCAUAGAAUGCACAAUCCAGCUUUGCAAGGUGACACUGGAGGCUUUUUGAAAAGUGCUUCACGCUCACUUGCACAGAUUGAGCAUCCCCUCUGGAUAUUGCCCUCUCUGAUCGAGUCUGAGCACUCAAAUUUCGGUCCUCAGAUGGAGCUACAGCUUUCUCUCCAAUAACCAACAAUUUUCUAAACUCAGCACCUAGUGUGAUCAGAGUUGUUGAUAUUUGUAAAUGGAGAUCCCUGUAUUUGCAAAUGGAGACAUUUACCAAAUCACCAACAUGCUUCAUCCAGUCUACGAAAUUCUGCAGCUGAUUCAAAUCCGGAACCUGAACCAGAGUCGGAGGUAAAUCUUGAGCCAUGUCUAAAGCAGUCUGAAGUUCAAGUACUUGAGCCCUUGACAAAGGUUUUGAAAUUGGAACAUCUUGGAUUACUGCAGACUUGUACCCCUUGGUUUCAAAGGUAAGGAAAGGCAUUGCUUGAGUACAAUUUGGAGGCAGCUUCUUCACCAAUUUUAUUUGGAGGCAAUUGGCAGCGGAUCCAGCUGCACCAAUUUCAGAGCAAAUACUGACACUACUUCAAACAGCACGCUGAAGAAGAGAUAUGUCUAUGGCAAAGGCAAUGCAGUCCUCAAUUUGACUUGAGAUGCGGUAAUCACCAAAGAGAGUUUCCUUAUGAAACUGGGCAACACAUUGAAUCCCUUCACCACUGAGAAGGUUGGGGAGGAAGUAAGCUUUCUCUCUCGUAAGGAAGAGGUGGCAUACCUUCCCCAUUUUGUCUAGGACAGGUAGGAAUCUUUUUUCUAAGAGAUUUACUCCAUUCUCUGUGAGAAAUGCUUUGAACUUCAUCCCUCUGUCUCUAGCCUCACUUAUCAGUAAAAUAGUUGAAAGCGCUACAAGGAGAGAAAAGAAGAGUAUUAAGAUAUAUAUAGACAAGAAAAACAUUAGAUGUCGAUCUUACAAGCUAAUACUUCAAACAGUAUCCUAGAAAGCUAAAAACUGCAAAAUGGCUUGAAAUUUGAAAAGAACACAUGCUUUUCCUCCUUAACUUGAGAAAAUGUUUAAUAUAGUGCACCUUACAGAAACAUUUAAACAAUUAGAACUUUGCACAAAAACAUUCAAGAAGACUAAACAAAUCAGAUGCAGUGUAUUUCUCCAAGCACAAAUGGCAUUGCAUUUUUUCCUCAACUGUAAUAUUUAUUGAUGAAAAUCAGUACAGGUCCCUCAUUUGUUAUGGAAAGCUUUCUUGUAGUCUGACCGGUUAAUUCACGGGUCUAUAAUCAUCUUGCAAAGUUACAGGCAUUUCUUUCGAUUUAAAGUCUUUGCAUCACCACCUCAUCACACACCAAGCCAAUAUUCCGUCUACCUCUACAACAAAAAGUUUUAAGUAAACGAUCCUAAUGCAUGCAGCCAAAUAAAAUGCAGUAAGAAUAUUCAACUUAAAACUCUGAAAGCCAUCUUGGUGAAUUGCCUCCUUAGGGGAAGUUCCAUGCUUUACUAUACUUGACAGGACUGAGCAAAAGCUUACAUACAACAGAUUUUGAAAAUGAUGAUGCCAAUAGAUACUCAUACAAUCCAUUGAAACUCCUAAGGUCCAUUGUUCACAGAGGUUUACAGAGUUUUGGUCAUCAAAUAGCUCAGACCUUAAUCCCAAACAAAAAACGAGUGAAAAUUAGAUCACCAGCAGCUAAUUGUAAAUUCUAACUUAACUCUUCAUCUCCUUUGUAAACAGGAGACAAAAUGGAGACACGCAAAAUGAAUAAGGAGAACAUUUGAACUCAAAUGAAAUGAGGGCACGAAAGCAAACAAAUGGCAUGCGCAAACAAACCAAGCCUCAAUCAAAAACUAAUUAACCAUUAAAAAAAAAAAAGUGGUCAGAGAAUGAACUCCAAAUUCGGGAGUGAAGCAAGAAGCUUUCAUUAUUUCAGAAGCUCCUGUACAAAUUAAUAAGUUAUGCUCUUUGGAAACAAACCUAAAUUCCAAGAGAAAGAGAACUCAAAAAAUUUGCAAUUAUACGCAAAGGAAGUGAAGCACAGCAUUCUAUCACACGUACAAAUUGUAUAACAAGAGAUCGACACAUCGAAUCAGAAGAACUCAAUUCAAAUUUGUCUCAAAAAUCAAAAUUAGAAGAUUUCACAUUUCGAGAGGAACAAGCGACAGGUCAGAUGCAAAAUUUUCAGCCACAACAUGCCACAAUUAACAGUUUAUUUCCAUGGAUUUAGAGAGCUGACUGACCUUUUGGCUUUUGGAAUUGAGAAGAUCGCGGGCCAAAAUGGAAGAGGGAAAGCGAAAGUGCGGGUUUUAAUAGGGUAUUGGAUUAGCAAAUUUAAUUAGUUUGCGAGGGUAAAAUAGGAAAGAGAUAUCACUAUUAACUUUUUUUUUUAUAAGAAAAAAGAAUAAUAAAGAAUAUUUUAUUGUCAUUUGCAGCCUGCAAAUGACAAUAAAUCAAAUACGUCAUACAGAAGCUUAAAGCUGAAUCUAAAAAAUCUAGAGCUCUCAACUACAAAAAUUACACUUGAUGAUCCUCUACAAGAUGAAGCUUGUUCAAUAUCUUAUCCAAAGUUUAUAAAGUAACCUUGUAACGAUCUUGAGAUUGCCUGCCUUCCUCGACGACCUGCACGAUGCGUUUGUACAAAUCAUCAUACCUGUGCACCGGAUUUUUAAUAUCAACGCCACUGCAGCUGUGAUCAAGAACAUAAGAGCGUUUAACAUCUUUUCUCCAUCGAGAAAGAAUGUAGUGAGAUGGGAUCUCCUGCAUGCCACUCUGGUUUAGAACACAAAGAAUGUGUCUGGAUAAAUAUCCUCUGAAAUUGAACAACCCACAAACACAAAGCACCUCCAAGUCGGAGGCAUUGUACAAAACAUCGAAAGCCCUUGAAUCUUUCUCGUUGCUACCAACCUCAAAUUCUUCCUUCACUAUGUAUGUUAUAGGUCCAUCAGCACUGACAUGUUUUGUGCUAUAGCAAGAGUACAUAGCCUCCACCUCCGUCUGAAACUUCCUUCACAUUUCAUUUGUGUACAGUUUUGAGAGUUGAAAUUCAUAGUCACAUCUUGGUUUCUGGAUACAACUUGAAUUUCUUGAAUCCAUAUCUGCCAAGGCUUCCGGUUGAUAAUUCGCCUGCAGUGCUUGAUCAUACUUGUGUAAGAAUUCUUUCAAAGGAGUACGCUUAUCAAGAUAUCCUUCAAAGUAUGAAGUAGAAACCUCAUUCUGCAGGAAUGAAAACACUCCUGAUAAAAAUGCUUCCUUCAAAUAAACAGGAGCCCACCUUUUACGAUCUUCAUAUAAAGUUUGAAUCCAUCCGUGAUCCUUUAUUCCAUGACGUUGAAUCAUGUCUUCCCAAGCUGCUUCAAAUUCCUCAGGCCUGAGAGAGUGAUAAAUUGCUCUAUGUAAUGCACCUCUAAUAGCUUCAUAUUCAAACAAUCCUUGGAGUUUCUCUGGAAUUUUUUGCAAGAUGCAUGACAAUGAAAAGCAAUGAUAAGCUCUUGGGAAAACAUCGCCAACAGCAAUUUGCAAGAUUCUACAUUGGUCAGUGAUGAUUGUUUGUGGAGAGCGUCCUAACAUACAUGUAAGCCACACCCUAAACAACCAUGUAUAUGAUUCUAUGGUCUCCCUGGCAAGUAAACCACAACCCAACAACACUGAUUGUCCAUGAUGAUUCACCCCAAUGAAUGAAACCAGUGGUACAUCAUAUCUUUCAGUCAAGCACGUAGUAUCAAUUAAGACUACAUCACCAAAGUACCUAUAUGCAACUCUUGACCUGGUAUCAGUCCAGAACAGGUUUCUCAAGCAUCCCUUUUCAUUUAGAUCCACUACAUUAAAAAAGUUUGGAUCUGUCAACUGCAAACGACAAAAGAAACUCUGGACAGCUUGUGCAUCUCCUGGUUUAAGCUUCAAUUGAUUUGAGCUAUUAACAUUAUUUCCAAAUACUCCAUUAACAUCUACAUUACCAUUUCCCUCGGUAUCGAUGAUAAGAGUUCGAAACAGUCUAAUUUUUUGAACGUCUUCAGCACUAUCUAAUUGCAAUGUUCUUUUGGUUCCAAUACCUAUGUGCUUAUGUGACUUGUAAAACUUUCCGCUUCUUGGGCUUAACAAGUGGUUAUGCUCAAGCUCGACUUCAAUGAUUCUCCACCUUUUGGUUUCCAUCAACCUAAACUUUAUCAUUGCUGGACAGCCAGUUCUUGUUUCUGGUCUUGGGCGGUUUGCCUCGCUUUUCUUCUUGAAGCCUGCACUACUACAGCUCAGCUUUCCUCUAUACUUUUCUCUACUCUUUCGGUACCAUGUAUUGCUAACUCUAACACCAAAACCCUGUUCCUUGGCAUAGCAAUUGUAAAAGUAAUAAACAUCAUCAUACGUCUCAAACUCCAUUCCAACAGCAGGAGCCAAUGGAUUUUGGAUUAUCCCAGUUUGUCCAACAUAUUCAGUCAUUGCACAAUCUCCUACGACCUCAAAAUCAUCAGCAUCAUCAUCACCUACUGGUUCAGUAUUCAGAGAAACUUCAUCCAUCUACAAUAGAUGUUUAAUGAAGUGAACUUUAAGGAGAAAAAGCAAAAUCAGUUCAAGGAAUGAUAAUAUAACCAUACAGUUACUUUCACAAAGCUGCGUAUUUCAUCAAUACCUUAACAACAUACAACUGCCUGAGAACGUAUAGACAUGUCAUAGACGCUUGAAUUAAGUAUUGGUACAAAUUCAUGUGGGACACAAUUUCAGUCACUAAACCCAAUGCCUUUUUUUUUCACAUCAUACCAAGGAACGGAUUAAACCCAAUACCUUCUUUUACGCCAUACCAAAGAACAGAUUAAAUCAUCAAUGAAAAAUUAAUCACAUAAUAAUUUAACUAGACAAAUAAAGAGCUCGAAACAGCACAAAACUUGAAUAUGAUUAUGAUAAUUGUUGAGUCAUUGUAUCUACAGCUUUCCUUCAACAAGAAGAUUAUGAACAUAAACUACACACAAAAAAUUUAUUUUAAACUGACAUAAAUUUAUUCAGUUACAUUGAAACCCAAAAAAGGAAGCAGGAGCUGGAGAAAAACAACAGCAGAGAAACUUAUUUCCAGAAGGUUUACGAAAUAAGGAAUUUAUUAAGACACAAAAUUUGAGGUCAACAAUAAGAAUUUGGUUCUCAUUCUCUUUUUCUUCAUUUUUCACUUAUUGAUGGAGUUACCAUACAAUCCUAAAUGAUAAAACCCCAUCUCCAUCUUUUUGAAAUAGAGUUAAAGCAAAGCUUUUUAAGAUGUUUUUCCCUAAAAGACUCAAUAGUACAAUGUUUUUCAAUAUUAAAUACACAACUCAAUCUUCCCCUAAUUUACUCUAAUAAUCUCUUAACUAAGGAAGAUUAAGCUCCACUUGUAAGCUAAAACAAGUUUCUUAAAUCAAGCCCCAAUGCUCUAUGCUAUUCAACAAGGCCUCAUAAAUGAUAAAACUACCUCUACAAAGAUACCCAUUUUAAUUUCGCAAACUAAAAUCGAACUCCUGAAACGUAACGAGCAUUAAAACAAACAAGUCCGAACAAGAACUGAAAAAUGAUACGUAAACCCGUUUCGACAAACAGUUUCCAAUCAAUGAGCAAAAAAGUUAAUGGAAAACAUGAAAUUCAAACGAAACAUACCUUAGGUUGAUAAAUUAGUAGCGCAAAAGAAAUUUUAGCGAGAUAUGGGAUCAGGGAUUUUGCCACGGUGAUGUUAAUUGCGACAUUCGGGUGACUCAGCAGCCUUCGAGGCUGAAACUUUGAUUGACCAAAAGCUUCCCGUUCGUUGAUUCUCUAAUUGCAGAAACGAAACUGGCAGUGUACAGAAGACGUACGCUGAUUUGAUAAUUCUGUGAAAAUCAUUGUUUUUUUUCAGAUUUUUAAUGUGUUCGAUAAAAUAUCAAAAUCUCAAAAACUUUUGUCUUUCAUUUUGGGGGGGAAAAACCCAUUGAGAUCCUUAUGUUUUUUCUUAUAUAAUCUGGCUUAAUAAUUUGCAAAGUCUAUUACUUAGCACCCAUGCAUGCUGCGUUCCAAUUUACAAAAUUGUACGUGAGUGCAUCCAGCUAAAAUUUGUAAAAAGAAAAUAGCAAUAACAUGUUAAAAAUGUGAUUAUUAUGAAGAAAUUUUAAUUUAGUUAAAUAGGUGACGAUGGAUAGGUAUAAAAUCUGAGAUCUUUUAUAAGGUUAAUAAAUAUGUUGAGUUUGGAUUAGUUCAAUUUUGAAAUAAUAAUAUUCAAAAUAUCUCUUAAAUCAUUAUAAACCUCAAAUCUAUUUUAAUUUUAUUUAAAAGAUAAAAGAAAAAUAGGUUAUGUUGGUGAUUUUUUAUUAUCUUUUUAAUAAAAAUGAAAUAAAUUGAUGUUUAUAAUUAUUUAAAGUAUUUUAAAGACUGCCAUUUUAUGAGAGAAAAAUAUUUCACUUUUUUUUAGUGUGAAAGGCCGAAAAAGGACAAAGCAAGUUUCCCUAGUUUUUAUUUAUUUGAAAUUGGUCAUCUCAUAUACUUCACCCUUCAACACUAUAAUUUUUUUGGUUAUAAUUUUAUUAUUUUUUCUCUUUUACACAUGCAUGUGAAUUACUUUUCUUUAAGCUCCUGAAUAUUUAAGAUAAAUCAUGGAAGAGAUGAGAGUAUAACAAGAUGACCAAAAUAUGUAACAAAAAAAUUUUAUAAGUGAAAAAUAUGUUAGAGACUUACAGUGGAAGUAAAACUCUGAGGUGAUGUUUGAUUUGAAGAAAAUGGAGGAAAUGAAAAGACUGGAAUGUAGAGGAAAAGAGAGAAAAGGAGAGGAGAGGAGAGUGAAAUUUUUUUCUAAUGUUUGGUUUGUCACAUAAUUAUACAAAGAAAGGAAAUCUCUAAUUUUUUAUUUAGACAAUUUUAACCUUAAUAAGUAUUAAGUUUUCAAUAUUUAUCAUGUGUAUAAUUAAAAAAAAAAGAAGUAAAUGGUAGAAAGCGGUUUCUGAUUCCGGCCACAUCGCCCGCAAUGGAAGGUACUUAUCAGAACAUCAAGAGCCAGCCAUCAUUCCCUAGCCAUCACUGCUGUCGGAACACUGCCGGAAAGCUGCCGAUUGAACCGCGAAAAGUCGUGGAAAUCGCUGCCUCAAAUCGGUGAGUUUCGCCCUUUUCUGGUCACGCCGUCGCCAUGGCUUUGUCCAUCAAGCCUGCCACUUCCAUUUUCAACCAUCCAUAGCCACUAUUAAUUGCCAAAUCACCGCCGAUCAGCGGGAUCUGUGGAAGUUAAAAAGUUUCUAAAUUUUUUUAACUGGAUUUGAACAACAUACGACCAUUUUUUUAUCUCGAUAACGACGUAGUAAUGUUGAUCGUUGGUCGGCAAGUCGUAUGGUAGUGGCAGUGAGUAACACGCGCCAAUCACAUCGGCGGCGGCGGCGGCACUAUCCGGCGACUGUUAAAAUAAUAUUUUAUAUUUUCAGAUUAAAUAAAUUUAUUUUAUUAAAAUUUUUAAAUCAUUAUUUAAAUUUAAUUAAUUUAAAAUUAUCUAUAAUGUUGAAUUGAUAAAAUAAAUUUAUAAAUAAUAAUUAUGUGAUUACAUUAAAUAAGUUAAAAAGUUGAAGGGUUAGUUUUGGAAGAUUUAGUUUCCAACACAAAGGGAAUUUGAAUUCUUCACUUCUUAGUGUGGAAUUCAAAUUCUAUAUUGUAAUAGAUAUUAAAUUUCAAUAAAAAUUAAAUUCUUAUAAGUUAUGUCAAACCAAACAACGAAAAUAAAAAAGAAAUUUAAAUUAUUUUUCUUUCCUCCACCCUCUCCUUCCAACUAAAUACAUCCUGAAAAUAGAGAUAUUGAUUAAUUUAGAAGAGAUUCAAGCAAAAAAUAUUCCAAAAAAAAAAGCAAUAUGUCCCUUUGGAGGGCAAACUUGUCAGUUUCAAAAAAGUACAUGCUUUGUAUUGAUAGUUGUAGGAUAUUUGUUUUGUCACUAUGUAUUAGUUGGAGAAGUCCAGCCUUGUGGAGAAUGUUAUGAAAGAGCAAAGGAUAUUCCUGAUAGCUGAUAGAGCUCUAUCUGAUUAUGUAUCCAGUGAAUGGAUGUGUUGUUGGAAGAUAUCUGAGUGCAUUAGUUCAUAUGUGUCUGUCAAUGUGCUUUUAAUGAUUUUUCCACCUGUUUGUUGUAAAAGAUUAUUGUAAAUUGAAAUGAACUUGAUGUUUUAAUAUUUUCUUCCGUAAAUUGAAAUGAACUUGAAUUAAAUCUCGUUGAAUUUAAUAUUAUCUCCUUAGUGGAAUUUCACCUAGUAUGUAUUCAGUUGUGUUGUCUAUAAUUUUGCAUUCGAGUAAGUUUCACCUAAAACAUUAGCAUGAGUAGUGGCCCUUGAACCUUUGGUCAAAAUUAUUGUUAUUAUUUCUGACUAGAUGUAAAUUUUGUAUUAAAUCUCGUUAACACAAUUCUUAAUUAAAAGUAUAGGUUAGUGUUGGUGCAAGAUUUGCCACACCAAAUUCUGCCUAGCUGUCAAAAGUGCAAAAUAAAUGAAGAGAAAGCACAAAUACACGACUUGAAUAAGGAUACAACGAAACUUAAAUUCAAGAGAAAAUGAUAGCUAUAUCCCAAGAUUUGAAAAAGUAGUCAUGUAGGUUUUUAAGAUUUCAAUAAGCGACUGAGAUUCAAAUAAUAUCCUUUAAUUCUAUUAAUAAAAAACAAAGACUCAAAUAUUUUAUGAUAAAUAAAAAUAUAAUAUUAAAAUAUAUGUGAUAAUAUACACAUUUUAAAUACUUUCAAUCCAAAAAAAUAGUUAUGUUUUACAAUCUAUUAGACAUAUUUUAUUAAAUUAAUAUAAAUUUUCUAUAAAAUAAGAAUAUAAUAUUAAAACAAAUUCACAGAAAUUUAAAGAAUUUUGAAUGUAAAAUAAUUUUAAUAUAUUAAUACGUGAGUUUUUUUAUUAAUAUAAAAAUUAUUUAACUUUAAGAUUUUUUAAAAUCUUUACAAUAAGUAUAACUAUAUUAUUUACAUUUAAAAAUAUUUAAAUAUUAUUAACCUACAAUUAUAUUUGCAUUUGUUAGAAAUUUUUAAAGUCAAAUAUUUUGCACUUCUAUAUUAUUAGAAUUAUUGCACACAAAGAAAGAAACAUAUACGUUUAGAAAUUGUUUUCUUUUAAAAUAGAGAUGAUGAUUAGUAUAAGGAUCAAAAAAAGGAUAAAGAAUAUUAAUGAUUAACGAAAACUCUAUACAAAUUGAUUUUAGUAGGAAAAGAGUGAGAUGAAUGAUUUCUUUUACAGUUAGAAAAAUAGAUGAUGAUUAUUAUAACGAAGAAGAAAAGAUAAAGAAUAUUAAUUAUUAAUGGAAUCUCUAUGCAAAUUGAUUUCAGUAGGAAAAAAAAUGAGUUAAAUGAUUUAGAGUGCGUUUGGAAUUGAGAUUGGACAGCCAUAGAUUUUAAGUUACAACACUGAAGUGUUUGGUAAAUACUAGCUGCUGCAGAUUGAAAGUUAUGUUGAUAUGAUUUUUCACAUGUAUCAUAGAAAAUAUAUUACAUCUUUAAUAAUUUUUUUAAAAUUUGUAUUUGCUAUAUAUUGUUUUUUUUAUAUAGUUAUAACUUUUUUUUUUUCCACAGCAGCUGUAGCUUAAAAGCUACAGCACCUCAAUCUCAAACAAGUCCUUAGACAUUCAUAGUGUGUUUAUUUUUUGGAUUGGUGAAUCAAAAUUAUUGACAACGCUAACUUCAUCUUCACCGUUCGCAAUCCAACAGCAGCAAUUGUCGCCAAUAAUGAUAUCGCCGAUGAUGAUGACAAUAAUAAUAAUAAUAAUAAUAAUAAUAAUAAUAAUAAUAAUAAUAAUAAUUAUUAUUAUUAUUAUUAAUAAUUAAUAUAUUAAUAUAUUAAUGUUAAUAUUAUUAUUAUUAAGAUUAACAAUAAUUAUUAGUAAUACAAUUUUUUGAAUAAAAAUAAUCACAAUAAUUAAAAUACAAAUUAACAAUUAUGACAAUAGUUAAUUAAUGUCUUUUUAGUAAUUUGUAAUAAUCUAACUCAUUUUAAUUCUGAUUAUUACAGUUUAAGUAAAUAAAUUAUUAUGAUUCCUAUUCUCCUUUUCUAUUUUAACUCACUUCGAUUCCAGUCUAUUCUGAUUUUUGUUUAAUAAACGCACCAUUAGUGCUAAAGUAAUAUUUCAUACAUAGAAAAGUAAAAACUACACCUAAGGUUAAGGGAAAGGACUUCAAAACUCUCUUUUGAUCAUAAUACAUUUUGUACUAAUUAACUUAAAGAUUUUGAAUCUAAUAUUUUAUAAUAAAUAAAAAUAUAUUCCUAAAAUAAAUAUAAUAUCAAUAUUUAAAAUAUGUUUUAAUAUUUUACACAUUUUAUUAUAUUAAAGUAGAUUUUAUAAUAAAUACAAACGUCCUAUUAAAAUGAAUAUAUAAAAAAUUUAGAAAAUUUAGAAUAUUAUAUAAAAUAAUUUUAAUAUAAUGCGUGAGAUAUAUUUUAUUAAUUUAAAAUGUUAUUUUACCUAAAAAAUAUGAUAAAUUAAUAAUUACAUAUUUGAAGUUAUUUCAAAUAUUAAAAAAAUUUAAUAUUAUUAGUCUUUUAGAUAGAUUAAAUUAUUUUUUUUAUAAGAGAUAGAUUAAAUUAUUUUAAAAUGCCUUAAUUAUUUUUACUUUUAACGUUACCGGCCUUUCUUUUAUUUUAUUGCAAAUUAAUGCUAACAAGAAAAAGCUAGAUCAUAUUCCACAAAAGCAAAAGUGACAAACACAACCAGCUGGAAUCUUUUAUAAAACUACAAAUUAAAAUGGAUUUUUUUUUUGAUAAAUUACACAUGAAAGUGGAUUCUUUUGAAUAUAAGUGGAGUAGGCUCUUUUAUUUUAUUUUUGAAUAUUGUAUAACGGGACUGUAGACUCUUUUAUUAAACUACAAAUUGUAUAGUCUUUUUAAAAUUGUUAUAAAUUAAUGGCCCCCACAAUCCUCAACAAUUGUACCGAUAUUCACAAGUUGGUGGCCCCUACAAUUCUGUUCCGAUAAUUUAACUGUGCAAGUGCUCAUUCACAAUCUUCCAGGUCAUGCUCUCAAUAAUUGUUUUUUUUUCCUGCAUUCCCUUUGGGAAAUUUACGAAAAUAAUCAUUAAUAUUUUAUUAUUUUUACAAUUAACCGUCUUAAUUUUUUUCUAUCAACAUUAGCCAAAUACAAGUCUUUCUUCCCAAAUUACCCUUCUUUACAGAACAAAACCAACAUUGUUUCUCCCAUAUCGCCAAACCAAAAGCAGCUUUUUAUUCUUAAAUCAUCAGCCAACGGCGACCGCAAAAGACAACGGUAAAAGUGAUAUCCGAUCAUAAUCUAUCCGGAUCCAACACAAAUCUACAUCACUCAGUGGUAUGAAUUAUUUUUUGAACUUACUGAACUCAGUCGGGUGAAUCUGAGUCUGGCGACAGGCUGCCUGUCGCAGUAAAACUUGGUGCGACAGGCAACCUGUCGUACCAAACCUUGGUGCGACGGGCACCCUUGGAGAUUUAUUAAAAAUGUAUUAUUUUAAUAGGACUCAAAUAAUUUUUUUUUAUAAUUUCAGGCUUAAUGGAUUCAGUUGUACUUGAAUUGUGUUACGAUGGUUGGUGGGAGACAUUAGAGAAUGGCUGUAUGGAGUACGUGAAUGGUAAAAAUCGAGCUUUUUUGGUUGGAAAAAAUUACUUGUUUGAUCAGUUAUUGGCAAGAGUAUACGAGGUAUUAAAAAUAAACCCUAAUGACUAUAGUAUCACAAUGAAGACAACUUUGAGGUCUAGUAACACAUUAUAUCGUAUAUGUGCAAUGCCCAUGGAUAUAUGUGAUGAUGAAAUGGUGAGGGUUGUGUUGCAUAUGGCAUCUGACGUAGCUAAUUUUGGAUGCAUUCCUAUAUUCGUGACCACAUCACCUCGACUUCCGAGCGAAGGUAUUGAGCCACAUGUCGAUAUAGAAACUUCGUUUAGAGCAAAUAUGUCUGGCCCCGAUAAUGAUGAAGAGGUGUUGCCAAGGACAAUAUCGCUGCAGCAAUAUUACUCUCCAAUCCACGACAAUUAUGAUAACAUUGAUGAUAAUAGCGUUACGUUACAGGAUGUUGGAGCAACGGUAUUUCCAAUAACAACGUCGUUGGAGCAACGAUAUUCUCCGUAUCACAACAAUGAUUUUCGGGACAAUGAUGAUUUUCAUAAUGAGACAGAGGAGGAUAAUGUUUGUGCAGAACCUUCUAAUAAUACGAGGCGGGGCACUCGUUUCAAUAAUGAUGGUGAUGAUGGAGGAGUCGGUCAUUCGAAUGUUCCGUCGUUUCAGCAUGAGGAUGAGUGUGAAGACAAUACUCCUGUGAAUAACAGAGGCAAUAGACCUAUUCCUUCUAUGGUUCGAUCGAGAAGGAGAAUUGACCCCCUUACAAGUCUUGCUCCAACUUUACCUUCGAACAUGGUUGCUCCAAGCUUUGUUAGCAGUUGUGACUCAGAUGAUAUCAGCGUGGGUAAGCUAUUUGUUGAGAAGAAUGAGCUUAUAUUACAACUACGCAAGGUGGCCUUUAGAGAUAAGUUUGAUUUCAAGAUUGCACGGUCUACUACGACACGUUUCGAGGCUCACUGUUGUUCAGAAUCAUGUAAAUGGCAUAUUCGAGCAACUAGAAGUUCGAACGAGCAAAAUGUUCCUUGGGUGGUGAAGAGAAUUGAUAAUGUACACACUUGUCAUAAUGAGGUAUUGAUUGAUGGACGUCAUCAAGUAAGGAGCCGGGUUGUCGGUCAUAUUAUCGCAGAAAAAUAUAUUCAAGAUAAGAGGAUUUAUACUCCCAAUGACAUAAGAGCAGAUAUGCAACAGGAAUACGGUGUUCAGUUAACAUACCAGCAGGCAUAUAGGGCGAGAGAAGUUGGUCUUGAAAUAGUUCACGGCAACCCUGCAGAGUCAUACAACUUGCUCCCUAAAUACUCUCACGUACUAACUACAACGAAUGAGGGUACAGUCACUCACCUCGAGCAGGAUGGAGAUGGUAAUUUCUUGUACUAUUUUGUAGCACUCGGAUAUUCCAUCAAGGGGUUUAUGCAGUACAUUCGGCCUGUCAUUGCUGUAGAUGGUACUCAUCUAAAGAGAUUAUAUCGUGGAAGCAUGUUCGUGGCAACAUGUCUUGAUGGUAACAAUCAAUUGUAUCCGUUAGCCAUUGGGAUCAUGGAUUCAGAAAAUAAUGAUGCUUGGGAAUGGUUUAUGAUGAAGUUACACGGAGUGAUUGGUGAUAGACCUGAGUUGGUAAUUAUCUCUGAUCGAUGCACUGCCAUAAGGAGAGCCGUUCUUAAAGUAUUUCACAAUGCAACUCAUGGCGUUUGUUUUUACCACGUCAAAGGUAACAUUAAGUCACAAUUUAGAAUGUCCAAAGCUCUUUGGGAUGAAUUUGAGCAUGCCUUUAUUAAUGCAGCAAAAGCAUAUGGCCACGAGGAAUUUAAGAGACAACUUGAAGGGUUGUGGAUGAUCCACUCGGGUGCGGCUGAUUACUUAGAAAAUAAUGUCGGCACGUGUAAUUGGGCAAGGUCUCAGUUUCAAGGUAGGAGGUACAACAUUCUUACCACCAACAUCGCGGAGAGUGUUAAUGCUUUCAUGAGGGAACCUCGAAAAUUUCCUGUUACUCAUCUUGUUGAUCACUUCAGGAAAACAUUGCAGCAAUUGUUUUAUGAUAGAAAAAUUGUGGCUGAAUCAAUGACUACUCGGCUAACAACAUGGGCGGAUGAAAUAGUCACUGAGAGGAGAACUAUAGCUGAAAGAAUGAUAGUUCGGCCGGUGUCUCCGCAUCGCUUUCAAGUUAUAGGCGGUGGGCUUAAGGAAGGGUUGGUUGACUUGCAAAAGAGAACUUGCUCCUGCAGAGUGUUUCAGCUUGAUCAGCAUGUGUGUGCUCAUGCAAUUGCGGCGUGUCUAACACACCGGGUGGAUUUUAUUAACCUUUGCUCGGACUUUUACACUACAGAAUCGUUGGCGAUGGCUUAUGCACAACCAGUGGAGCCAGUUGGUGAUGUGGCUGAUUGGGAAGUUCCAGAUGAAAUUCAGGAGAUGCAGGUAUACCCACCAGUUGAGGCACCACUACCUGGCCGUCGUAAAGAGCUCAGAAUACCCUCGACUGGCGAGGACGUUGACCGGCGGACUGUAAGAUGCGGCCGGUGUCAUGAACUAGGCCAUAAUCGUAAGCGAUGUAAGAAUCCUAUUGCGUCGACUCGAAGUUAGUUGUAUUUUGUGUGUUAUUCGUUGGUUAAAACUAUUAUUGUUUUUGUGUUACAUUGGUUAAAACUGUUAUUGUUUUUUGUAUUUCGUUGGUUAAAACUGUUAUUGUUUUUUGUGUAUUGUACACUUAUAUUCAUAAAACUUUAUUUUAUUUUAAAGUUCAAAAUGUGAGGCAUUAAAAUUAUAUAAACUUAAGUGCGGAAAUUAAAAAAAAUGCAAAUUUCAACAUUGAAAUUACUACAUAGGUCUACAAUAUAAUAUCGUCAUUAAAUAUAUCAACCGCAAUCUUCUUUCUAAAGUACUCGACAUGACUAGCGUUAAACUCCAAUCUAAGCCCGAACAUUAAAUACAUCGUAACCAUCAAUACAAAAACACUGCAAUCGCUAGUUCCGGGCUCUUGUUGUGGUGCGCUCUUAACUGCGAUAACUUUCCACGGGUCUUCACUCCGCAACUCAGGUCGGAUAUUGUAGAAGCCAACAUAUUCCAACCAUCGAGGGAAUAUAACUUCAAGUGGCUUGAAUUUCAACUUGUACUUUUUGUCGUCGCGAAAUGUGAGUAAUGAGUCAUAAAUCCAGACUUUAUUUUUCCGAAAGUCAACUCGUGCUAGUACCCAAUGCGCGCCGUCCAAGUUAACAGGGAUGAGUAACUGCAUAUAAAAAUUAAAAAAACAUGUUCGUUAUAUAUGAAAUUGAAAUACAACAAAGAAAAAGCAACAACUCGAAUAUUUUCAUUAUAGAGCAUGUGAAAUGUAAUAAAAUACACACCAUAUCGACAUCCGUCAUUAAUUUUGACAUUGUGUGCUGUCGCCCACAAAGAUAACUAUUCAAGCGGUCGUCGAAUACCAUUGAAUCAACUGCACAAUUCCUGUUAUUCCAUAACUGAUUCAAGAACACCUAGUACAUAGAUAACCAAGAAAUGCAUAAAUUAAUAAAACUUAAAGGCAAUAAUUAAACAAAUUAAAUAGUAUUUAUAAGUUUUGUCGGCACGUUACCCAAAAAAAUGUGUCAGUAUGUGUGACACGUUGGAGUAAGGCAUUUGGAUACUGCCGUUGUUUCUCGCUAAUCAAGCGGAGAUACUCGUGAAUAUGCUGUAGAGAAACAAAAAUAUUACGAUUUAAAAAAAAAUUAUACACAAAUCCACAACAGUAUACACCACGAGGAAAAUAUAAAUACCUCAUCGCCUAGCCAUCCCAUCGAAGCUGUCCCCAAAAUUAUUUGAAAGAAUGACCGCAGGUGCUGGACUCUCCGGCGGACUCUGCUAUCACCAGUGAACCAUCGAUCAAACUCAGCAAACAAACUAGAGUCCUCCAAUCCUCUCAGUGGAUUUACAUCCACACUCGUACUCAUGUCAAUCGCAUGCUCCAUCAUUUGGGGUCGAGGUAACCUCCGGACGUUCUGUCCACGCCUGACCGGAGGAAUCAUGUAAGGACUGUUAUAAACAUACGACGGUAUGUACGCGCGGCCGAACUUACUAACGCCCGGAGGCACCUCUGUGAACACCUGCAUGCUCUCCCCACUAACAUCCCCGUAUAAACUAUAAAAUGACGUGGGCGUAGACAAAUUUUCAUUGCCCACGUCAGUAUACACUCCAUAGUCAUCCGGGGCCUGUACAUUCGCCAAAAAGAACAUAUUAAAUAAUUAUCAAAUUAAAAGUUAAACGAACAUAAUUAUUUAAUUUAAAUUAGCUUACCGCAUACGAGCGUGCAGUGGGAGAAUCCUUAUUUGGAUGUUUAGAAAAUGUGUCGAUGAAGCCAACAACGGUUUCUUUAAAAUCUUUUAAUUCUGACUUUAUUUCAUACACAUUACGAUCAAUCUUAUCCAGCCGUCGUCGUACGUAAUCAUUAAACUGCUUUGUCCUCGACUAUUACAAAAGAAAAAAAUAAAACUUUAGAAUAACAAUAAAAAAAUAAUAAUUUAUAAAGGAAAAAUAUCGUAUAUUAUUUAUAACCUCAGAAUCCCGUGCGUCAUCAGAGUUGUCUGUUUGCUGCUGGUGGUCAUCAACAGCCACCUCAUCCUCAAAAGUGUCAAGACGCUGCUCUGGUAUUGGGUUUAGUAUGUCGUCAUGAUCAUCAUGCUCGUCCGAUUGUCUUGUAACCGACGGCAUCGCGUUGAUUGAGGGUUGGUGCUGUAUAAAGUAUCAUUUAAAAUUACUAAAUGAAAAGUCAAAAAUUUCGAUAAAAAAAUUUUUAGUACUUACAGUAUACCGACCUUAUGAAUCCAAUCUGGAAUGCUUGGCAAGUAAUCCUUCACAGAGAGUCAAUAUUUUCUGCUACUCUCUUUUGAAUUUGGCUCAAGAGUUUGUAAAAUGUCCGUCUGCCAUAAAUUCAAUUGAAAAAUUUAAGUAAGUAUACCCAACUUAAAUUUAGUAAAGUUAAAAAAUAAGUAAUACAUAUUACUUACAAGACGAGAUUCGUCGUUGAAGAACGAAUAAACCUCCGCAAAGUUGAUUCUCGAAGACGUCAUGGGCUUCCAUUGCAGAAUGCGGGGAAUCUUACUCUUCGUUUUGACGACCCAUGUUGAUGGCAACCCUCCGAUUGCUUCGUAAAUCCAAGCCUACAACAAACCAAAGUGAAAAAUCAAAUAAAACAACUAUCAAAUAUUUAAUACUAUAAAACUUAUUAAUAAACAAAAAAAAGCACCUGCACCCCAGACGUAAAGCCGUAAAGAUUAUAUUUUUCAAUAUUAUGAUCUGAAUUUUUCAACCGAGUCUUCUUAAAUUUCUCGUCUUUCUCGAACAGUGCAUUGUCAAGACUCUCGUAAAUCAUUUCCCACGACAAUAGACCCCAUGGCGCUUUCGGAAGUACUGUAUAUCAUCAACUUGGUCAAGCCAAUCGAAAUUAAUUUGACAGUGAUUUUUUCUUGCAUUUAGUACUCUGUCCGCAAAAUAAAACAGCGCAAUCUUUAAUGCGUCCAUAUCGUCCAUUUCCUCGAAAUUCAACUCCUUAAAUACUGCAUCAAAUUGCUUCACAUUAAUCUUACGAUGCACACCACCAAAAUACGUAUUCCGUAGCCUCUGCUCCAUUUCAUCAUUUUUUUCAUUGGUAUCAACACCAAAUGAAAGUCCAGUAACCAAGCACCAUUCGAUAAUUGACAAGCGAAUCAAAUGCUUACCAAUUUGAAACCAUAACUGAUCCUCACAGCUAUCUUCUUCAUGGGCCACUUGCCGCAGUAAACGAUUGUGCAAAAUUACCCCACUAAAUGGAAAACUUCGGCACUCCAAGAAAUGCCCAAAUAUAUCCUUUUUGAACAUACUCAACUGCCGCUUUGUUAAUUUUUCCUCGAUGGCUUUUACGACCGAAGAUAACAUACACAUGCUCGAAAUUCGACCAGGAAAGUGAUCAGCAUAACGAAAAUACAUCUUGCCUACUUCAAUAUCCGGUGAUUCUGAUUUCGCCAUGUAUCUGUAAUAUUUAUAAAAUUAUUACAUUACAUUUACAAAAUUAUUACCAAACUCUAAUUUUUUGGUGCGACAGGCGCCUGUCGCUCCAAAAAACUGCCUGUCGCACCACAGCUGGUGCUCCAAAAUCGAAAACAAUACUCCCAAACACUACCAACUACCACAAACAUCAUCACCACCACUAUUAAUCUCAAGCUAUAACUAUUAUUAUUCUAAAAUCUCAUUUUAAAUUAAUGAAAAUAAGAAAAAUGACUAACCUAGGUUUUGUUGAAGGUUGUAGAUCGUAGAUCGGAUGCCGGUGAGAGAUGGAGCCGCCGCCGACGAGGGUUGAUGUCGCCGCCGAUGAUGGGAGUUGGAUCGGUUUGGGAGAGAUGAGUGAAAAAGGGAGUGUUGGGGAAGAGAUGAGGGAUGGGUAUUUUGGUCUCAAAUGUUGUUUUAUGGCUAAUGUUGAUAGAAAUAUUUUUGGGGGGUUAAGAUGAAAAAAAACAAAUUUGUUUUGGUUAUUACUGUAAAUUUCCCAUUCCCUUUCAUGCUCUUAAUAAUUGAAGAGCAUACUUUUCAUUUUCAAAUGUGGAGCCGCAUCUAAUGUCGCUAAUUUAAUUUGGGAUUAAAUUAGGGGACCAUUAUAUUGCAGUGUGUACUAAUUUUUGUGUUUAUCUAAACUCCUUAAGUUUAAGACAUAUUAUGGCAUAAAUAAGAAUAUAACAAUAACAAAAGAGAUGCCGGAGCAGAUCAGCAGGGUUUGAAUAUGACCUUUGGCGGUUGCUUUUUUUUUGUGAUUUUUUUCAUUUUUUCCUUCCUGUCAUUUUAUCAUUUAUUUGGCUCUGUUUCUAUUGCGGGUGUUACUGCAUGCUUACUGUUGCUUGACAAAGUUUGCUAGCUUUUUGUUUGCAGUGCUGCUAUUCACCCCGAGUCAAGCUCCGAAAAUUUAUUAAACAACGCCGUUUCGAUAGUAACAAUUUUUUUCUUUUCCCUUUGUCUGUCUCUUUCAUCUGCUGUUUCUCUAUCACUUUUCAUUUUUUAUUUCCUUACUUCCCAGCUGCCCCUAAAUUGUUAUUCUAGCAAUAUACUUUCUCAUCUUUGAAUUUUCAUCCUUGAGUACUCCCACAGCCGUAAUUUCAUCAUUAUAGACUUCACUUGGAAUGCUGUAUUUUUUCGAUUCUUAAGCUACUUCAAUUACAUCUCCCAGUAUAGGAUCCUCAUCUUCCUUUAUUUCUUCAUCUUAUGAGGUAACAAAUGGAUUUCACAACUCAUCUACUUUUAAGCAAUUACAUAUUAUACCUUGAAUGAUUCAACUGUUCCGACAGUUAAAGAUUUUAUGCUCAACCUGCAGUGCUACGAACAUUGUCCAUGAAAGAUGAGUUUCAGCAUAUAAAAUGAAAUAUAGAUGUUUAAUCUAAAAUAACCCUUCACUGCCAAGAAACCUAGGUCACAAAAUUCACAGAUAAUGAUAAAGAGCUAAAAAAUUUGAAAAACUCUACAGAUCACACAUCAAGCAAGAUAUCAUGUUUUUUUCCCUCAUUCGGUGGUGAUUGAUUCGCUUUUUGAUGAUGGAUAUGGUAUAAAAGUUUUGACCCAAUUUCAAGCAAACACAAAUAGAAACACAAAUAGAAACACAAACACAAUCAGGACUAGAGUUGUGGGCGAUUAUCUUAGGUGUACAAGUGAAACGGUGGUGGCUGUCGAUGGUGGUAGUGGGGUGGUUGGGUAUGCGUGAUGGCUAGAUUUUAGGACAAUAAUGGUUGGAGUUGACCUCGAUCAACGAAGGAAAGUGACAACAAUUUUGACAUCAAACGGUGCAUUUUUUAGCUUAGUAAAAUGGAGCCGUUUCGAAUUUGGGGUUUAAUCCGGGGUUUGACUCGGCGCAAGUAUCAUUUUCCUUUUGUUUAUUAAAUUUUUUAUGGUCACAAAGUAUUACUCGUUCUAUUUGAGAGUGAUGUGAAUCAAUUUUUCAAUUUUAUAUUUUGUGGUCAAUGUGAAUUUAAUUUCAUUUGUCUCCUGCAAUUAUGAAAAAAUUGCAGUCAUAAUAUGGAAAAGUACACCGGCAAAAACUUUGUAAAAGCUUCGGAGUGAUACGGGGAAUUUACUUACUACUGAGGACAAUUGGUGGCAAAGCUAUUCCAUUCAUUUUAUGUCCAUCCAUCUAUUUAGCUAUUGAAGAUUAGUGGUCCAUUUGUAAAUUUCAGAUUGUCUCUCUCUCUCUCUCCCACUUGAAAUAACAAUAUUUAAUAUAUCUCUUAAAUUAUUAUAAAUUUUAAUUUACUCUCGAUUUAAAAUGGAGCAUGUCGAUAAAAAAUUUUUCUUCUUAAUAAAAUUGACGUAAGUUGUGUGUUACAGUAGUUUGAAGUUUGAAAUAUUUUAAAGAUUAUUAUUCUAUAAGGGAGUAAUAUGAAAUGAUAUUUACUUUUCAUGUGUGAAAUGAAAAAGGACGAAGCAAGUGUCCCUGCUUUUAUUUUAUUUCAAGGAGGAGUCAUCUCACAUACUUUAGCUCUUAACAUUACAUUUUUUCUGGUUACAUUUUUUAUUUAUUUAUUUUUUUUUUUUUACACAUGCGUGUGGGUUGCUUUUCUGUAAGCUCCUUAAUAUAUAUUUAAGACAAAUCAUGGAAGAGAUGGGAUUAUAUCAAGAUGAUCAAAGCAUGUAAAAAAAGAAAAAAGAAAAAAAAAAAUUAAGAAGUAAGACACUGAAAAUGGAGAAGAGAUGGAAGCAAAAGAUAUUCCAAAACAAAGCAAUCUAUCCCCUUUCGAGGGCAGACUUAUCAGGUUUAAAAAAGUACAUGCUUUGGAUUGGUAGUUGCAAUCAAGGGAAAAUAAAUAGGAUCCAAUGAAAUUUAAAUCUCGGAGAAAAUAAAUAAUCAUGCAGAUUUUCAAGAUUUUAAUAAGGGAUACUAAUAUCUUAUUUUGAUUAAUAACAUUCUUUUAUUGUGUUAACUCAAAAAAAAUAUUAUAAUGCUUUACAAUAAAUACAAAUGUCCUAUUAAAUGAAUAUAUAAAAAAUUUAGAAAAUUUAGAAUAUUAUAUAAAAUAAUUUUAAUAUAAUGCGUGAGAUAUAUUUUAUUAAUUUAAAAUGUCAUUUUACCUAAAAAAUAUGAUAAAUUAAUAAUUACAUAUUUGAAGUUAUUUCAAAUAUUACUUAAUUGUUUUUACUUUAAACAUUACCGGCCUUUCUUUUAUUUUAUUGCAAAUUAAUGCUAACAAGAAAAAGCUAGAUCAUAUUCCACAAAAGCAAAAGUGACAAACACAACCAGCUGGAAUCUUUUAUAAAACUACAAAUUAAAAUGGAGUUUUUUUAAAAAAAUUGUUAUAAAUUGGUGGCCCCUACAAUCCUCAAUAAUUGCACCGAUAUUCACAAGUUGGUGGCCCCUACAAUUCUGUUCCGAUAAUAAUUGUUUUUAUUUUUCUGCAUUCCCUUUCAUGCUCUUAAUAAUUGAAGAGCAUACUUUUCAAAUGUGGAGCCACAGCUAAUGUCGCUAAUUUAAUUUGGGAUUAAAUUAGGGGACCAUUAUAUUACAGUGUGCACUAAUUUUUGUGUUUAUCUAAACUCCUUAAAUUUAAGAUAUAUUAUGGCAUAAAUAAGAAUAUAACAAUAACAAAAGAGUAAAAAAGUGUAGAGAAGAUCUUGCAGAAAUAUAAAUAAUAUCUAUUUUAAAAUAAUUUUUAAUAUUUUAUGAUCCAUUAGAUAUAUUUAUUAUAUUAAAGUAAAUUUUAUAAUAAAUAAAAACAUACUAUUAAAAUGAAUAUAUAGAAAAUUUAGAGUAUUUUAAAUAUUAUAUAAAAAAUUUUUAAUAAAAUAUGUGAGAUAUUCAUAUUUUAUUAAUUUAAAAUACCAUUUAACCUAAAGAUUUAUUUAUGAUAAAUUAAUAAUUAUAUUUUUGAAAUUACUUCAAAUAUUAAAAAAUUAAUAUUACUAAUCUGUUAGAUAGAUUAAAUUAUAUAUAUUAUUUUCUAUUUAUUAAAAAAUUAAAAUUAUUUUUAAUUACUAUUCAAAAAAUAUAAUGAAAAAACAUAAUGAUAAAAAAAUCUUAACAUCUUUAUUAAAAAAUUAAAAACUUAUAUGAUAAAUUCUCUAAAUAUUUACGGUAUAUGUGAACCACGGUGGAUAAGCUUUAUUUAAUAUUAUUGAUUUAAAUAAUAUGUCAAUUAAAAAUGUACAGAGAAGAAAUUUCGGUGGGUAUUUUAGUCUUUUAAGCAAUUAUCAUGAUCAGAUCAGCCUUUAGCCUUCAAACGUCGGUCAGAAAAGUUUUAAAAUUAAUGCUAAAUUGUUUUUCACUUUUAACGUUGGUGGCCUUGAAAUUGCUUGUAUUUUAUUAAAAAUUAAUGCUAACAAGAAAAAGCUAGGUCAUAUUCCACAAAAUCAAAAGUGACAAAACAACCAGCUGGUUUCUUUUACUAAACUACAAAUUAAAAUAAAUUUUUUCGAUAAAUUACAAAUUAAAGUGGAUUCUUUUGAAUACAAAUGGGACAGACGAUUAGGCUCUUUUUAUUAGAGGCAAGUAAAAACUAGUCAAGAAUCGAACAGUCUUUUUCCAAUUCUUGUUUUAUUAUUUUUCAAAACUAGUUUUUGGUAAUUACAACCGGGUCAUUAAUCAUUAUUCAGAGUUACUGUUAUCUUCGGGGGCAGUGGGUAAAAGAUAAUUACUAACUGUUUUUCCUUCAAAAGUUAGCGGCUCAUGUUUGCAAGUGUGAAUGUGCGAUGCUCUUUUCUUAAAGGCCAUUACAGUGGGGCCCGAAUCAGACGUGCCUAAAUCUUUUUAAAAUUUUUGCCGUAUAACGAACAGAGGUCAUUACUAAAAUUUCUCUUCCACAGCCUACAGCAGCUUCAGUUUAUCAAACUCCAUCAAUUUUCUUUCUUAACAAAAUUCCAAAGAUGUGUAGCAUUUUUCAGAUCACAUGCGAUGGUGCUCUUUUCAAUCGUUGCUUGGAUUGCUUUCUUGGAAAAGCAGCAUACAUACGUAACCUCCAAGAUAAUCUUGUAGCCUUGGAGACUGAACUGGGAAGACUAAUCGCAGCAAAGAACGAUGUGAUGAUGAGGGUUGUCAAUGCUGAACGGCAACAAAUGAGAAGGCUGGACGGAGUGCAAGUGUGGGUUUCGAGGGUGGAUUCUGUUAAAACUGGAGCCGACGAACUUAUCACAGACGGCUCUGAAGAAAUUGGCAAAUUAUGUGUUGGAGGCUACUGUUCCAAGAACUGCAGGUCAAGCUACAAAUCGAAAACAAGUGGCUAGAAAGCUACGACAUGUGAAGACUUUAAUCGCCGAGGGAGUUUUUGAGGCGGUGGCCACUGAGGUGGUGCCCGAGAGAGCUCCGGAACCUGUAGCAGAUAAAAGACCCACUGAGCCAACAAUAGUAGGCUUGCAAUCACAGCUUGAACAAGUUUGGAGAUGUCUUGUAGAAGAAUCAGUGGGAAUCAUUGGCCUAUAUGGUAUGGGCGGUGUUGGUAAAACCACACUAUUGACCCAUAUCAACAAUAAAUUUCUUGAGAGUCCCACAAACUUUGAUUGUGUGAUUUGGGUCGUAGUUUCAAAAGACCUGCGACUUGAAAAAAUUCAAGAAGAUAUUGGGAAGAAGAUAGGUCUGUCUGAUGAUUCAUGGAAGAAUAAAAGUUUUGAAGAGAAAGCUGUGGACAUCCUGCCGAGAUUAGGAGAGAAGAGAUUUGUAUUGUUGUUAGAUGAUUUAUGGGAGCGGGUUGAUUUAACAGAAGUGGGCGUUCCACUUCCCAGCGCACAAAAUACUACCUCAAAAGUCGUAUUCACAACCCGUUCCAUUGGUGUUUGUGGCAGCAUGAGAGCUAGGCCGGUUAAAGUGGCAUGCCUAUCAGAAAAGCAAGCUUGGGAACUGUUCCGCGAAAAUGUUGGGGAAGAAACUCUUGAGAGUGAUCAUGAGAUCGUUGAGCUAGCCCAAACUGUGGCCAAAGAGUGUGAUGGUUUGCCACUCGCACUUAUUACUAUUGGUCGAGCUAUGGCCUACAGAAAGACAGCCGAGGAGUGGAGUCAUGCAAUUGAUGUGCUAAGAACAUCAGCUUCUGAGUUUGCAGGUUUGGGAGAGAAGGUGUAUCGUCUUUUAAAGUUUAGCUAUGAUAGUUUGCAGAAUGAUACGGUUAGAUCUUGUUUCUUGUACUGUUGUUUAUAUCCUGAAGAUUAUGGCAUUCUUAAAUGGGACUUGAUUGAUUGUUGGUUUGGCGAGGGAUUUUUUGGGGAAUCUGACAGGUCUGGUGCAGAAAACCAAGGAUAUGACAUUUUGGACACUCUUGUUCGUGCAUGUUUAUUAGAAGCGGUGGAAGAUGGUGAAGUAAAAAUGCAUGACGUUAUUCGUGAUAUGGCUAUAUGGAUAACUUGUGAAAUUGAGAAGGAGAAGAGAAACUUUUUGGUUCGUGCAGGUGCUGGAUUAAAAGAGGCACCGGAUGUUAAAGGAUGGGAAAAUGUGAGAAGAUUGUCAUUGAUGCAAAACCAAAUUGAAACUGUGUCAGAGGUUCCCACAUGCCCUCAUCUCCUCACUUUAUUUCUUGACUUUAAUCAGGAGUUGGAGAUGAUCGCGGAUGGCUUCUUCCAACUUAUGCCUUCUCUCAAAGUUUUGAAGAUGUCAAACUGUGGACAGAGGAGGUUGAAAUUACCUGUUGGGAUGUCAGUGUUGGGUUCAUCACUAGAACUUCUCGAUAUUUCAUGUACUGGCAUAACAGAGUUACCAGAGGAGUUAAAGAAGUUGGUAAAUCUGAAAUGUUUGAAUUUGAGGUGGACAGGUGCGUUAAUUAGAAUUCCACGGCAACUAAUAUCAAAAUUUUCAAGGUUACGUGUGUUGAGAAUGUUCGCUAUUGGCUAUGAUCGUUUUCAUGAAGCACCAGAAGACAGCGUUUUAUUUGGUGGGGGUGAAGUUUUGAUACAGGAAUUGCUCGGUUUGAAAUAUUUAGAGGUAUUGGAGUUGAGCUUGGGAAGUUAUCAUGCUCUCCAAAUUCUUUUGAGCUCAAAUAAGUUAAAAAGUUGUAUUCGAUCUCUUUGCCUCGAGUUCGCCGGAGAUACAGCGUCAAUUAUUGAUGCUACGGCUUUCGCAGAUCUAAACUACCUCAAUGAAUUAAAUAUUUAUAGUGGUUUUGAGUUGGAAGAGUUGAAGAUUGAUUAUACAGAGAUAGUACGAAAAAGGCGGGAACCUUUUGUUUUCCGCAACCUUCACCGUGUUACUAUACAUAGCUGCCAGAAGUUGAAAGAUUUGACAUUCCUCGUUUUUGCUCCAAACCUCAAGUCUGUUCAGCUACUCGAUUGCUAUGCUAUGGAAGAAAUAAUCAGCGUCGGAAAAUUUGCUGAGACUCCUGAGAUGAUGGGACAUAUAAGCCCUUUUGAAAAUCUCCAAAUGCUUGAUUUAGAAGAUUUGCCACAUUUGAAGAGCAUCUUCUGGAAGCCAUUGCCUUUCACUCAUCUGAAAGAAAUGGCGGUAAGUGGGUGUGAUCAGCUUGAAAAGCUUCCACUCGAUUCCAACAGUGCAAAGGAGCGUAAAUUUGUAAUUCGUGGAGAAGAAGACUGGUGGAACCGACUUCAAUGGGAGGAUGAAGCCACUCAAAUUGCUUUUCGUUCCUGUUUCCAACCUUAUUCCUGAGCGGUGGUCGCAAAUUUUGAUUCUCUGUUUUUAUUUCUGGUUAGUUUCUCUCUCUCUCUUUCUCUCUCGCUCUCUCUCUUUUUGUCUUCUGCAAAUCACAAUUAAAUGUUGAAUUAAUGGAAUUAAUGCUUCAUAAAUUUGCCGGCACAGCCACUACUUUUUUUUGGGGGGGGGGGGGGGGGGGGUCGAAUUGGUGCUCUGGUUUUUGACUUUUUGUUAGCGAUUUAAUUUCCUGUCAAAAGACGAGCGAGAAGAACAUAUAUAUGACGUAAACCAAUUGAUACUUUAUUUAUGUGCAUUGUAUGUAAUAAAUAUUAAGUAUACUUUAUUUUUGCCCUGUUCUCUGUUUUUAUUUCAGUCUCUCUCUCUCUCUCUCUGCUGUCUCCUGUCUCCUGCAAAUCACAAUUAAAUGUUGAAUUAUAUGGAAUUAAUCCUUCAUAAAUCUGCCUGCGCUGGCUUUUUUUUUUUUUUUGUGGGGGUCGAAUUGAUGCUCUGGUUUUCGACUACUUUUUGUUGUCAAAAUUUUCUCUGUUUUUUCAAAUUGAUGCUUUAUUGAUAUCUUCUUCGUGAAAAGUGAUUUAAUUUCCUGCCAAAAGACGAACGAGAAGAACAUUAGAGUCAAACUAAUGCUCACAUAAAUUUCCCGUAAGAAUAUAUAAUUAUUAAGAUAGAUCUGCUCUUUCAUUAAAUAUAUAUUCCUUUUUCACAUAUUAAUUGACCUUUAUUUAAUUUGUUUAAAAAGUUUAAUUAAUUGUUGUUUGCAGAGAAUCAUCUACGCCGCUCGCCGAUAAAAGUUGAGGUGUUCGAGCAGGUGCUUGCCUUUUUUUUUUUCUUUUUCUUUUUUCCCUGUUUUAAUAUUUCUUUAAAUUUUGAAAUUGUUUAAUUAUUCUUCUGGUUUGGAAUGUUGAUAAUAGUGUUGUGAAAUUAAUUUUUACAGGAUAAAAGGUUGUGGGACAUUUAUUAUCCAUGUCCUAUGUAUCUCAAGCUUAAAGGUCUCAGUGGUCCUCUAUUGGAAAAAGCAAGUUUAAUAUAUAUUAAUUGGAUAUCGUCGCCUGUAUAUAUAUGUAUAUACAUACAUACACAGCCACUCAUCGAUUAUAGACUUAAUUAUUUAAUUGAUUAUGUAAUCUCUCGUAGUUUCUUUGUGCAUUUUUAGUUAAUUUAAUGAAUAAACUCAAAUACAUUGUAAAUAAAACCAAAUUAAAUGUUCCCUAAAAUAUACGUAUAUGCCUCUCGAUGGCACACAAGGUUAAAUGUCAGCCCAUCGCGGGUAAUAUUAUUUCUAGCCGCCUUCAUUACGAGUUAAGAGUCAAUUAUUACUAAACUAAACUAGUCAAAACUCGUAAGUGCUAGAAAGUAGAAACGUUUGAUUCUAUAUAAAUGACUUCAAUUCAAUAUGUACCAAAGAGUAUCGAUAAUUGAACCCCAAAAAACUUUAAAAAAGAUUGACAAAAUUAAUUAUAUUAUUGUGUGUUUUUAGAAGAAAAAAUAAAAUAAUUAAUUAAUGUUAUAACACUAUGUUAGGUGAAAAGUCAGCUGUCUGGAAGAGAACAAACUUACUAAGAUAAGAGCCUUCUUCAGUAAUCAACCGAACGAAAAAGUCAUCUCUUUUCUUAUUUAUUUAGUAAAAAUAAGUAAAGGCCGAAAAUUUCCUAAAAUAUCUAAAUCCCUCUCUUUAAAAGAACACCAUAUGCUGCAUAACAUGCAAAUUAAUUUCCCAUAUGUGAUGCAAUUUUCUCCUCAACAUAUGCGCAAUUCUUUCCAUUCCGGCAUUUACACUCAAAUUUUCCUUCCUUUCUCUUUGUGGUUGAAUCUUACACCACAACUCAUGUGAUGCAAUCUCCUCUCGCUGCCUAAAUUGCACUCUCAGCAAAGCAGCAUAUGUAAGCAAGCUUGAAGAUAAUCUUGCUGCUCUGCGGAAGAACGGCAAAAGUUAAUCGAAGCAAGGACUGAUGUAUCAGAAAAAUUUUGGUGGAGAAUUCAGCACAAACAUAUUUCGGAUGAUCAGAAUCAAUAAAACAUGGUGGUUGCGCCAUAUAAACAUCUUCGGAAAGCUGGCCUUGAAGAAAGGCGUUUAUUGAUAUCCAAUUGACGAAGAGGCCAGCCAUGACUAACAUCAAUACUAAGAACAAGCCGUACUGUGGUGGGCUUAACAACUGGACUGAAAGUGUCAUAAUAGUCCACACCAGGCCGUUGAUUGAACCCUUUGGCAAUAAGACGAGCUUUGAACCUGUCAACAGAACCGUUGGAAUGUCUUUUAAUACAAAAAUCCAUUUGCAGCCAACAAUAUUGGAAAGGAUGGGAGGUGGAACAAGCUUCCAUGUCCCGUUAAGAACAAGAGCAUCAUACUCUUCUGACAUAGAUUGACGCCAGUGAGGAUUUUUGAUAGCUUGCGUCACAGUUGUAGGUUCACAAUCAGAAGGAGGGCUAAAAUGAGCACAGAGGUUAAGUUUUUGUAACGGCUUGUGAAUGUUAUUUUUAGCUCCGGUAGUCAUAUCAUGAUGAUUUGUGGGGCAACGAUCUAGUGGAGUUUGGGAAGAUGAUUGAACAGGAAGUGAAGAAGUGCUUUGUGUAGAGGUAGAAAUAGGUUGGGAGGAUUGCUGCGGAGAUGUUACCGGUAGAGAAGAAGGAGCAGUACACGGUGGCAACUCCAAAGGGCCCACAAUAGAUGGAGUAGGUGCCGACGAUGGAGUACUAGGAAAUGAAACAGUAAGAAUUGGUGGAACACUUGCGUAAUUAGGAGUUGUAGAUGAGCUUGUAAUGAUUUGUAUGGAAAAACAAACUCUACAAAUUUAACGUGACGUGAAAUAAAAAUUUGAAAGGUGGAUGGGUCAAAACAUAAAUAAGCACUUUGAGAUAAAGGAAUAUCCUAGAAAAACACAAGGCUUAGAGGGUGGUUCGAGUUUAUGUGAUGAAACACAAACAUUCAAAAUUUUUUAAGUUUAUAUUAAUUAGGAGUGGUACCAAAAAUUAAUUGGCUAUCGGGUUGUUGGAUGUGUUUUGGAUAUUUACAGCUAAGUUUGAGUAUCUCAACUUAAAAUUUGUAGCUUUCACUUGAAAAAAUUCAGUUAAAAUUUGCAAUGCAGACUGAUUGAUUUAUCAGUUUAACGUGUGCCAGGAAUGAAGAACUGGAAUAUCACCGUCAAGCAAGCACCCUGUGGAGCAAUACCAAACAAUGUACAAUCCGGCUUUGCUAGGUGACACUGGAGGCUUUUUGAAAAGUGCUUCACGCUCACUUGCACAGAUUGAGCAUCCCCUCUGGAUAUUGCCCUCUCUGAUCGAGUCUGAGCACUCAAAUUUUGGUCCUCAGAGGGAGCUACAGUUUUCUCUCCACUAACCAACAAUUUUCUAAACUCAGCACCUAGUGUGAUCUUGAGCCAUAUCUAAAGCAGUUUGAAGUUCAAGUACUUGAGCCCUUGACAAUGGUUUUAAAAUUGGAACAUCUUGGAUUACUGCAGACUUGUACCCCUUGGUUUCAAAGUAAGGAAAGGUAUUGCUUGAGUACAAUUUGGAGGCAGCUUCUUCACCAAUUUUAUUUGGAGGCGAUUGGCAGCGGAUCCAGCUGCACGAAGACUAAACAAGUCAGAUGCAGUUUAUUUGUCCAAGCACAAAUUGCAUUUUGUCCUCAACUUUAAUAUUUAUUGAUGAGAAUCAAUACAGGUCCCUCAUUUGUUAUAGAAAGCUUUAUUGUAGUCUCACCAGUUAAUUCACAGGUCUAUAAUCAUCUUGCAAAGUUAAGGGCAUUUCUUUCGAUCUAAAGUCUUUGCAUCACCACCUCAUCACACGCCAAGCCAAUAUUCCAUUUACCUCUGCAACAAAAAGUUUUAAGUAAACAAUCCUAAUGCACGCAGCCAAAUAAAAUGCAGUAAGAAUAUUCAACUUAAAAAUCUGAAAGCCAACUUGGUGAAUUGCCUCCUUAGGUGAAGUUCCAUGCUUUACUAUAGUUGACAGAACUCAGCAAAAGCUUCCAUACAACAGAUUUUGAAAAUGAUGAUGCCAAUAGAUACUCAUUCAAUCCAUUGAAAAUCCAAAGGUUCAUUGUUAAUAGAAGUUUACAGAGUUUUGGUCAUCAAAUAGCUCAGACCUAAUCCCAAACAAAAAACGAGUGAAAAUUAGAUCACGAGCAGCUAAUUGUAAAUUCUAACUUAACUCUUCAUCUCCUUUGUAAACAAGAAACAAAAUGGAGACACGCAAAAUGAAUAUGGAGAAAAUUUGAACUCAAAUGAAAUGAGGGCACGAAAGCAAACAAAUGGCAUGCACAAAAAAACCAAGCCUCAAUCAAAAACUAAUUAACCAUUAAGAAAAAAAUUGGUCAGAGAAUGAACUCCAAAUUCAGGAGUCAAGCAAGAAGCUUUCAUCAUUUCAGAAGCUCCUGUACAAAAAAACCAAGCCUCAAUCAAAAGCUUUCAUUAAUAAGUUAUGCUCUUUGGAAGCAAACCUAAAUUCCAAGAGAAACAGAAGCCAAAAAAUUUGCAAUUAUACGCAAAGGAAGUGAAGCACAGGAUUCUAUCACACAUAGGAAUUGUAUAACAAGAGAUCGAUAUAUCGAAUUAGAAAACUCAAUUCGAAUUUGUGUGAAAAAUCAAAAUUAGAAGAUUUCACAUUUCGAGAGGAACAAGCAACAGAUGACGUUCAAAAUUUCAGCCAUAACAUGCUAAAAAUGCUACACUUAACGGUUCAUUUUCAUGGAUUUUCUCGGGAAACAAACAGAAAAUUACGGUUCAGAGAGUUGACUGACCUUUUGGCUUUUGAAAUUGAGAAGAUCGCGCGCCAAAUUGGAAGAGGGAAAGUGAAAGUGCGAGUUUUAAUAUGGGUAGAUAAGGAAAUUUUAUUAGGUUGCGAGGGUAAAAAAGGAAAGAGAUAUCAUUAUUUUAUCAUCGAUAAUUAUUAAAUUUUUUUCCAAAAAAAAGAACAAGCAAGGAUAUUUUAUUGUCAUUACUAAGUUAAAAAAAAUUGUUUCAAAAUUACUUGAGUCAUAUCCAAUGGACCAACAAAGUAAUCGUUUUUAUUUUUAUUGAUUUUUGCAGGAAAUUAAUAACUUAAAAAUACUGAAAGCUAUUGUAAAAAUUUUUAUUAUCAACCUCAUAGUUUUUUUUUUUUGGGGGAAGAGAAUUCAAACAUUUUUUUUUUAAAUUUCCAAGAAUUCUUGACACCCGUCUUAAUUAAAAGCUAUAUUUUUAUUCAAGAGUCAUGCUAUUCAUUCACUCACAGACCAAAGGCUUUCCGCAGCAAUAUUAUUAUUUAAAUUACAACAAAGGGGAAAUCAAAUACGUCAUACAGAAGCUUAAAGCUGAAUCAACAAAAUCUAGAGCUCUCAACUACAAAAAUUACACUUGAUGAUCCUCUACAAGAUGAAGCUUGUUCAAUAUCUUAUCCAAAGCUUGUAAAGUAACCUUGUAACGAUCUUGAGAUUGCCUGCCUUCCUCGACGACCUGCACGAUGCGUUUGUACAAAUCAUCAUACCUGUGCACCGGAUUUUUAAUAUCAACGCCACUGCAGCUGUGAUUAAGAAAAUAAGAGCGUUUAACAUCUUUUCUCCAUCGAGAAAGAAUGUACUGAGAUGGGAUCUCCUGCACGCCACUCUGGUUUAGAACACAAAGAAUGUGUCUGCAUAAAUAUCCUCUGAAAUUGAACAACCCACAAACGCAAAGCACCUCCAAGUUGGAGGCAUUGUACAAAACAUCGAAAGCCCUUGAGUCUUUCUCAUUGCUACCAACCUCGAAUUCUUCCUUCACUAUGUAUGUUAUAGGUCCAUCAGCACUAACAUGUUUUGUGCUAUAGCAAGAGUACAUAGCCUCCACCUCCGUCUGAAACUUCCUUAACAUUUCAUUUGUGUACAGUUUUGAGAGUUGAAAUUCAUAGUAACAUCUUGGUUUCUGGAUACAACUUGAAUUUCUUGAAUCCAUAUCUGCCAAGGCUUCCAGUUGAUAAUUCGCCCGCAGUGCUUGAUCAUACUUGUCUAAGAAUUCUUUCAAAGGAGUAUUCUUAUCAAGAUAUCCUUCAAAGUAUGAAGUAGAAACCUCAUUCUGCGGGAACGAAAACACUCCUGAUAAAAAAGCUUCCUUCAAAUAAAUAGGAGCCCACCUUUUACGAUCUUCAUAUAAAGUUUGAAUCCAUCCGUGAUCCUUUAUUCCAUGACGUUGAAUCAUGUCUUUCCAAGCUGCUUCAAAUUUCUCAGGCCUGAGAGAGUGAUAAAUUGCUCUAUGUAAUGCAGCUUUAAUAGCUUCAUAUUCAAACAAUCCUUGGAGUUUCACUGGAAUUUUUUGCAUGAUGCAUGACAAUGAAAAGCAACGAUAAGCUCUUGGGAAAACAUCGCCAACAGCAAUUUGCAAGAUUCUACAUUGGUCAGUGAUGAUUGUUUGUGGAGAGCGCCCUAACAUACAUGUAAGCCACGCCCUAAACAACCAUGUAUAUGAUUCUAUGGUCUCACUGGCAAGUAAACCACAACCCAACAACACUGAUUGUCCAUAAUGAUUCACCCCAAUGAAUGAAACCAGUGGUACAUCAUAUCUUUCAAUCAAGCACGUAGUAUCAAUUAAGACUACAUCACCAAAGUACCUAUAUGCAACUCUUGACCUGGUAUCAGUCCAGAACAGGUUUCUCAAGCAUCCCUUUUCAUUUAGAUCCACUACAUUAAAAAAGUUUGGAUCUGUCAACUGCAAACGACAAAAGAAACUCUGGACAGCUUGUGCAUCACCUGGUUUAAGCUUCAAUUGAUUUGAGCUAUUAACAUUAUUUCCAAAUACUCCAUUAACAUCUACAUUACCAUUUCCCUAGGCAUCAAUGAUAAGAGUUCGAAACAGUUUAAUUUUUUGAACUUCUUCAGCACUAUCUAAAUGCAAUGUUCUUUUGGUUCCAAUACCUAUGUGCUUAUGUGACUUGCAAAACUUUCCACUUCUUGGGCUUAACAAGUGGUUAUGCUCAAGCUCGACUUCAAUGAUUCUCCACCUUUUGGUUUCCAUCAACCUAAACUUUAUCAUUGCUGGACAGCCAGCUCUUGUUUCUGGUCUUGGACGGUUUGCCUCACUUUUCUUCUUGAAGCUUGCACUACUACAGCUCAGCUUUCCUCUAUACUUUUCUCUACUCUUUCAGUACCAGGUAUUGCUAACUCUAACACCAAAACCCUGUUCCUUGGCAUAGCAAUUGUAAAAGUAAUAUACAUCAUCGUACAUCUCAAACUCCAUUCCAACAGCAGGAGGCAAGGGAUUUUGGAUUAUCCCAGUUUGUCCAACAUAUUCAGUCAUCGCACAAUCUCCUACGACCUCAAAAUCAUCAGUGUCAUCAUCACCUAUUGGUUCGGUGUUGAGAGAAACUUCAUCCAUCUACAAUGGAUGUUCAAUGAAGUGAGCUUUAAGGAGAAAAAGCAAAAUCAGUUCAAGGAAUCAUAGUAUAAUCAUACAGUUACUUUCACAAAGCUUCAUAUUUCAUCACUGCUUUACCAACAUGCAACUGCCAGAGAACAAACAGACAUGUCAUAGACGCUUGAAUUAAGUAUUGGUACAAAUGAGCACACAUCAUGUGGGACAAAAUUUCAGUCACUAAACCCAAUACCACUUUUUACAUCAUACCAAGGAACAGAUUAAACCCGACACCUUCUUUUAAACCAUACCAAGGAACAGAUUAAAUCAUCAAUGAAAAAUUAAUCACAUAAUAACUUAACCAGACAAAUGAAGAGCCUGAAACAGCACAAAACUUGAAUCUGAUUAUGAUAAUUGUUGAGUCCUUGUAUCUACAGCUUUCCUUCAAUGAUAAGACAAUGAACAUAAACGAGACACAAAAAAUUUAUUUUAAACUGACAGCCCAUGAUAUAAAUCAAACAAAAUCAACUCCUUUUUUUACACAUCACAUCUCAUAUUCAUUUACAUUGAAACACAAAAAGGAAGCGGGAGUGGGAAAAAAACAACAGCAGAGGAACUUAUUUCCAUAAGGUUUACGAAAUAAGGAAUCUAUUAAAACCCAAAACUUGAGGUCACCACAAAGAAUUUGGUUCUCAUUAUUUUUUUCUUCAUUUUUCACCAAUUGAUGAACUUAAAAUACAAUCAUAAAUGAUAAAACCCCAUCUCAAUCUUUUUGAACUAGAGCUAAAGCAAAGCAUUUUAAGAUGUUUCAUCAUUUUUUUUUUAAAAAAAACCUCAAUAGUACAAUGUUUUUACUCUAAUAAUCUCUUAAUUAAGGAAGAUUAAGCUUCAGUUGUAAGCUAAAACAAAUUUCUUAAAUCAAGCCCCAAUGCUUUAUGCUAUUCAACAAGGGCUCAUAAAUGAUAAAACUACUUCUACAAAGAUACCCAUUUUCUAAAUUAAUUUCAAAAACUGAAAUCAAACUCCUGAAACGUAACGAGCAUUAAUAUAAUCAAACCCGAACAAGAAUUGAAAAAUGACACAUAAACUCGUUUACACAUUUCGACAGACACUUUGCAAUCAAUGAGCAAAAAAUUAAUGGAGAAGAUAAAAUUCAAACGAAACAUGCCUUACAUUGAUCAAUUAGAAGGGCAAAAGAAAUUUUAGUACGAUAUGGGAUCAGGGUCUUGCCACGGUGAUGUUAUUUGUGAUGUUCGAGCGACUCAGCGGCCUUCGAGGUUGAAAAUUUGAUUGACCAAAAGCUUCCCGUUUGUUGAUUCUCUAAUAGCAGAAACGAGACUGGCAGUAAACACAACAACUUCGCUGAUUUUAAAUUCCGUUGUUUGAGAUGGAAAACUUUUUGAAAAAAUUAAUGUGUUCGAUGAAUAUCAAAAUCUAAAAAACUUUUUGUUUUUCAUUUUUUUGGAAAAAACCAUUGAGAUCCUUACUAUUUUUUCUUAUAUCAUCUUGCUUAAUAAUUUGCAAAGUCUAUCGCAUAGCACCCAUGCAUGAUGUAUGCUGCGUAACUGCGUUGUAAUUUACAAAAUUGUAAAUUUGUUAAAAGAAAAUAAUAAUAACAAGUUAAAACUUUAAAAUUUUUAUCAUUCGAAGAAAUUUUAAUUUAGUUAAGUAGGUGACAUGAUAAUAAAUAGAUACGUAUAAUGUCCGAGAUUUUUUAUAAGAUUAAUAAAUAUGAUAAAUUUGGAUUAGUUCAAUUUUGACGUAAUUCAGAAUAAACACAUCUUCCUAAUCUAAAAAUAAUUACAAACAAUUUAAUUUGUGUUGUUUCUCUAAAAGUUUGAGACACAAAUGUUAUUGCAAAUUGAAACGCCAUGCACUAGUAGAAGGUAAGAGAAACCAAGGUUGAAGUUACUGUUCAUUUAUUUUUAUUUAUGAUUUUUUGUAAAAUGUAAGAAAUAUGUAGAAAUGUUGCCAGCAAUGAUUUUGGAACUUUGCAUAAAAUUUUUAUCAUUAUUGUUUUUGGUAUUAAGAAAUCCGAGGCGGUGAUUAGUCGUAUGUUGCAACAAUUAAGAAAUUUCUUAUUGGAGAUAAUUUGGUAGGUUGCAACAAUUAGAGAAUAAUUUUCCUGUCAGUUAAUCAAUCAAUAAUAAAUUUCAAAUUGCAGAAAAUAAAAUAAUACUGUCGCACUUAGAAUCAUCUUUUCUAUUUCUUUCAAUUGUGACAAUCAUUUGUAACAAAUAAAUCAAUUUGAUGCACAUCAUUUCCCCAAUUCAAAGUUCAAGUCACUGCUCAAUUGCAGGGUAGUUAGUAGACAUGCAUGCAUGUUUAAUUAAGUACUGCAUUGUAAUAUAGAAAAUCAUAACAUCUCACCAAGCCCGGAAGCAUAGCUCUUUAUCUUGUAAAUGUUGAAAUCUUAUGCAAACUAUGGGAAACAUGAUCUCACUCUCAGUGCCACUUGAUUCCAUUUUCUUUGUUGGGAAUGCUACGAAGUCUAAGCUUGAAGAUAAUCUCGAUGCCUUGCGGACUGCAAUGGAAAAAUAAGCGGAAACGAGAAAUGAUGUGAUAAAUUGUGAGCCAACAAUAGUGGGCAUGGUGUCGACUUUUGAGAAAGCCUGGAGAUGCCUUGAAGAAGAAUCAGUUGGAAUUAUUGGCCUGUAUGUUAAUGGGGGAGUUGGAAAAUAUUUACUCAAAUCAACAACAAGUUCCUUGAUGGUCCAAAUAAUUUUGAUGUUGCGAUCUGGGUAGUGGUCUGCCAAGAUUUACAACCCCAGAAGUUUCGGGAAAAGAUUGGGAAAAAGAAAGGCUUGUUCGAUGAGUCAUGGAAGAACUGAAGUUUUGAAGAGAAAGCACUCGACAUAUUCAAGAAUUUAAGCAAGACGAAGUUUGUAUUACUGCUGGAUGAUAUAUGGGAGCAGGUUGAUUUAAUUAAAAUUGGUGUCCCUCUUCCAAGCACAAAAAUUACAUUCAAGAUAGUCUUCACAACUCGUUUUAUUGACAUUUGUGGCCUCAUGGAAGCUCACAACAAGAUUAAAGUGGAGUGUUUAAAUGACGAAGAAGCAUGGGAAUUAUUCUGCAAGAAGGUUGGAGAAGAUGUGGCGACUCUGUCCAAGUGCUAAGGAGAUCAGCCUCAGAAUUUCUAGGUAUGUAAAAAUGAGUAUAUAUAUCCACUUUUGAAAUUCAGUUAUGAUAAUUUACCUAGCGAUAAAAUUAGAUCGAGUCUGUUAUACUGUAGUUUGUUUCUGGAAGACUUUCCAAUUAGCAAAACGGAAUUGAUACAUUGUUGGAUAAGCGAGGGCCUUUUGGAUGAAACUAAUAGUUCUGAGAUAUGAAAUCAAGGAUACUACAUUAUUGGUGUUCUUGUUCCUUUAUGUUUAUUGGAAGAAGAGGCUCCACUAUAUGUAAAAGUGCAUGAUGUGAUACGCGAUAUGCUUCUGUGGAUCGCAUGUGAAGUUUUUUUUUUCUUUUUGAUAGGGAUAGCAUGUGAAGUUGAGAAGGAGAAAGAGAAUUUUUUGGUUCGUGCAGGUGCAAGGAUUAACUGAAGUGCCAGACAUUUGGAAAUGGGAAGGGUUGAGAAGGGUGUCUUUCAUGAGCAACAAAACUGAGAAGUUAUCAGAAAUUCCUUCAGAUCCCCAUCUACCGACUUUGUUGCUUCAACGUAAUUAUUUAGAGAUGAUCAAUAAUGACUUCUUCCAAUCUAUGAAUUCCCUUAGAGUUUUGAACUUAUCAUGUAAUCAUUCUCUAAUUGAUAAUUUCAAAGUUAGUUUCCCUACAACAUCUUAAUUUAUCAAUGACUAACAUACGAGAGUUGCCGAAUGAGUUAAAGUUUGUAGUGAAUCUAAAGUUUUUGAAUGUGGAGUAUGCACGGUUUCUUCAUUCAAUUCCAGGGCAAGUGAUAUCCAGUUUUACGAUGUUACACGGUUUGAAGAUGUUUGGUUGUGGGAGGUCAUCUUCUGAUCAUGAGCCACACUAGAAGAUAGAGUUUUAUUUGAAGGCUGUAAACUUUUGAUUGUGGAGUUGUUUGGUUUGAGAGACAUCUAGAUGUGUUGACCAUCAUCCUAACAAGUUCCCUUGCUCUGAAAAGAUUUUUGAGCUACAACAAACUUCAAAGUCGUACUCAAUCUCUCUAUCUUAAAUGCUUUGAUUCAAAUCUUCUUGUUUUUUCCAUAAAACAUUGCCAUGAUAUGGAGGAAAUACUCAGUGUCGGAAAAUUAGGUGAAGAGAUGAUGUCAAAUCUGGAACCUCUUACAAAACUCCAAGUUCGUUGCUUGAAGAAGCUACCAAAUUUGAAGAGCGUCUACUGGAAGGCCUUGCCCUUGCCCAAUGUAUGCAUAAUUUUUGUAUCUAAAUGCCCAGAACUUAAGAAGCUGCCGCUGGAUUUUGAAAGGGCGGGCGAAGGUAAAAUUCUUAUCAAGUGAAAGGAAAAUCGAUGGAAACGACUUCAAUGGGAGGAUCAAGCAACUCAGAAUGCAUUGCUUCUGUUUUUCAAAUCUAGUGAUUGAAGGGGGCAACAUCAACAUCAUCAGCCUGGAUGGGGAGAUUCUGGAGCAGAUCAGUAGGGUUUGAAUCUACAUCAUUAACAUCAUCAGGGUCUGUAUUUCUAUUGCUGGUCUUAAUGCUUGCUUACUGUUGCUUGACAAAGUGAGCCAGUUUUUUGUUUAUUAAAUUUUGUCUUGUAGAGACAGUCACAAAGUAUGGGUUGUUCUAUGUGAGAGUGAUGUGAAUCAAUUUUUCAAUUAUAUAUUCUGUGGUCAUUGUGAAUUUUGUUUAGAGAUGCAAACUUAGAAUAUGGAAAAGUUCAUCGGCAAACAUUUUGUAAAAGCUUCCAACUGAAGUUUUCAUAAUUAAAUAAUAAAAAAAUAGGAAGUGACGAAAAAAUUAUCCUAGGUGUUACGAAAAAACAUGAGCUCCGAAAAUAUUGGAAGUGACGAAAACUUAGGGCUAGGGUUUGAGAACUCUAACCCGCCACCACUGCAAGAGGACAGGACGACUAAGAAGGCCCGGUUUCGGGCUGAGGGAAUUGAUGCUGAUAAUCCUCAUAAACCCUCUUGGAGAGAUAAGGCUAUGGAGGCAGUCACGGUGAUGGCAGGUCAGACAGGAAGGAUUGGAGAGUUGGGUUACGGCAGUGUAUGCUAGCCCUAUUCCAACAGUCCUGCGUGAAUUAUGGUAUCACCUUGCAAGUAUUGCUUCUCAAAUGUUGGAUCCGUGGUUGGUGGGCGGAGAUUUCAAUGCUAUCUUAUACGCACAUGAGAAGAAAGGGGGCUCGAACCGAAUAAGUGGCACUUGCAAUUUAUUUAAUCAUUGGUUUCAUUCUUGCAGGAUGCUUGAUCUAAAGUUCUCCGGCCCUCGCUUCACUUGGUCUAGGGGAAACCUUUCUAAACGAUUGGAUAGAGCGGUUUGCAAUAAUGGAUGGCUAAUAAAACAUGCAAAUAGUAGUGUCAUGCAUCUUCCAAAAAUUGAUUCCGAUCAUCGGCCUAUUCUAGUCAAGUUCCAGAACAUGGAUUCCAAGCAUGGGGGCCCGAGGCCAUUUCGAUUUUUGGCUGCAUGGCUCACAGAUGAGAGAUUUGGGAGUUUUAUGAAUGAUAGCUGGAAUAAGGGAGAGAAUUUUCUUGAGGCAGUGGCUGAUUUUACUCAACAAACUAGGUGGUGGAAUAAGGAAAUUUUUGAAAAUAUUAUUUAUCGGAAGCGGAAAUUGUUGGCUAGAAUAGGUGGGAUCCAAUGAAUUUUGGAAGCCAAGCCUAACCAUAGCCUUACUAGACUUGAAGUUAAGCUUCAGAAGGAGCUCGAAGAGGUUCUCACUCAGGAAGAAUUAUUGUGGCUUCAGAAAUCCAGGAGAGAUUGGACUUUGUAUGGUGACCGCAACACUGCUUAUUUCCAUAAAAAAAUGCUAACCAGGCAUCGCCAGAAUCGGAUUACUGCAAUUCAAAAUGAUACUGGGCAGUGGAUACACGACGUCGAGAUCAUUAAGCAACGUGCAGUCAAUUUCUUUUUGGAAUUAUACACGCCUGAACAAGGGGUGCAUAGAACAUAUAAUGUCAGGGGGUGUUUCCCUGAGACGUCAGAUGAUAUUUGUUUAAGUUUGAUGUCUGCGGUAACAGAUGAGGAAAUCAGACAUACUAUUUUCAGUAUGAGUCCUUUUAAAGCUCCUGGAGUUGAUGGCUUUCAUGCUAGUUUUUACCAAGCGCAAUGGAAUACAGUUGGUAUGUCUUUGAGCUCUUUAAUCAAAAAUAUUUUUAAUUCUAAUCAUAUCCCUGCAGAGAUCAACAGAACCUUGCUGGUGCUCAUUCCUAAAGUGUAUCAUCCAACAAGCCUCAAGAUGUUUCGGCCGAUCAGCCUUUGCACAAUUCCGUAUAAAACGGUGACGAAAAUUAUUGCAAAUAGGUUACAGGUUUUUCUUCCAGAUCUCAUUGGACCCCAACAAACCAGUUUUGUACCGGGUCGGCAUAUUACAGAGAAUAUUGUUAUUGCUCAAGAGGUAAUCCAUACAAUGAAGAAAAAUGUGGGGGGUAAAAGAAUGAUGGCGGUUAAAGUGGACUUGGAAAAGGCUUAUAACCGGUUGAGUUGGCGAUUUGUUCAGGAAACUUUACAGGAAGUUGGGCUACCGGAGCGAUUUAUUCACCUCAUAAUGGAGUGUUUGUCCACAGCCCAAAUGAAUGUUUUGUGGAAUGGAGAAAUGACUGAAGAUUUUCGGCCAGGGAGAGAAAUUCGACAAGGAGACCCUCUUUCGCCUUAUAUUUUUGUGCUUUGUAUUGAAAGAUUAAGUCAUGGGAUUAUCCAGGCGGUUAAUCAAGGUAGAUGGAAACACAUUUGACUGACUCGAACUGGCACUCCUCUAAGUCAUUUAUUUUUUGCGGAUGAUCUGCUUCUCUUUUUGGAAGCAAGUUACGGCCAAGUUGAUGUAUUGAAUGAUGUGGUGGAGAAUUUCUGUAGGAGCUCGGGCGCUAGAGUUAGUAAUCAAAAGACCCAAGUCUUCUUCUCCAAAAAUGUCCCGGUCACUUUAGCCAAUGGAAUUGGCAAGGCUUUAGGCUUCUCGGUUACAAAUAAUUUGGGAAGAUAUCUUGGCAUGCCUCUUCUUCACGAUCGGGUUUCUAAGAAAACGUAUCAGAGUAUCAUUGACAAAAUUGAUCAGCGGCUAUCAGGAUGGGCAGCAAAGCAAUUGUCUCUGGCAGGGAGAGUUACUCUCACUCAAUCGGUGCUUCAGGCAAUCCCGAUUUACGCUAUGCAAACCACGUACCUCCCAUCUAGUGUCAGAGUUAAAAUUGAUCAAUUAUGUAGAAGAUUCAUUUGGAGUGGGGCUGGUUCUCAACGCAAGUUAAGUUUGGUUAGCUGGGACAACAUUUGUAGGCCUAAGAGCAAUGGAGGGCUCGGUUUCAAGGACAUGGAACUUAUGAACAAAGCCUUACUAAUGAAAGUGGCUUGGGAUUUAUUCAUAAAUCCUAGCAAGCUGUGCUCCCAGGUUUUAAUUUCUAAUUAUGUUGCGCCUUGUGAUAUGAUUACUACUGAUGCUUCAUUUAAAAAUGGUUCCUAUUUAUGGCGCUCUAUGGGUAAGAUUUGGAAAGACUUCCAGAAGGGUUUGCGUUGGAGUAUUGGAAAUGGCCAACGGGUGAAGUUUUGGGAUGAUAUUUGGGCUACAAAUGGUGAUCCCUUAAUCAACUAUACGGUGGCUUCAAUUCCGGAUAGCAUGCGAAAUAUGUUGGUGGCGGAUUGUGUGGAUCAAAAUGGGAAUUGGUUGUGGAACAUAUUCAACUCUUUUUUGAAUAACCAUGCUGUUUUAAGGAUUGCUUCCAUGGCUCCUCCGUCGUCAAUGAGAGGCGAGGAUAGGAUGUAUUGAGGUGCAUCAAAUACUGGCAAUUUUACAGUCCAAUCAGCUUACCAAGUGCUUACGAAUUUUUGCCCCGCUGAAGACUGUCAAGACUGGCAACAUUUGUGGAAAUGGAAGAGGCCUCAAAGCGUAAGAAUUUUUCUAUGGUUAUUAUGCCAUGAUCAAUUGAAGACGGGAUGUGAGCUUGCUAGAAGGCAUCUGGACGUCGAGGCUUUAUGUGGGAGGUGCCAUGCAGACGUUUAGAAUUCUUUGCAUGCAAUUCGAGAUUGUGAUUAUUCGAGAGGUGUUUGGCGGAAGCUUGUUCCCGCGCUUAGACAACAUGACUUUUUUAGUUAUCCUCUUUGGCAAUGGAUCAUGACAAAUCUUAGGAGAAGAGUCUGUGAUAUGGGGAGCUUAUUUUGGCCGAUUAUGUUUGGUAUUGCGGCUUGGAGAAUUUGGUAUUGGAGGAACCAGGUGAUGUUCAACAACAAGAGCUGGAAUGGUGAUUUGAUCGUUCGAGAUAUUAAGGCAAGGACUGAGAGUAUUUGUUCUACUCUUUCAAGCAUAGGCUAUCGAAGAAAUGAAAGGAUUCAGAAAUGGAUUCGUUGGGCUCCUCCACCAUGGCCUUUCUUGUGCUUAAAUACGGAUGGUGCAAGGAAAGGAAAUGGAGAGGCGAGUGCAGGUGGGCUGCUGCGGGACUGUCAUGGUAAUUUUAUUCAUGGUUUCAGCGCACAUCUCGGAGUUUGUUCAGUUCUAAAGGCUGAACUUUGGGGUGUCUUGCAUGGGUUAAGAAUGGCAUGGGAUCUUGGCUAUAGACGUAUCCAAGUUGGAGUAGACAACUGUAGUGUGGUGCAAAUUAUAAGGGAAAAUAAUGCUCAUGUCAACGAAAUUUCGAAUAUAAUCGAGAUGAUUAGAGAACUCAUGAGGAGGGAUUGGAGGAUUCAAAUUGAUCACAUCUACCGCGAAGCAAACUCGGCAGCUGAUUUCCUUUCUACGCAUGCUUUGAGUUUACUUGUUGGAGUACAUUUUCUUCAUUCUGCACCUUUAGGUUUGAGAUCUAUUUUAUAUUUGGAUAUGUAUGGGGUGGCACACUCCCGGUUUGUGCCCCUUUAGCUCUUCUCUUUUAGAGCCUUUUGUUUAUCAAAAAAAAAAAAAAAGCUUCCAACUGAAAUAGGGAAUGCACUUACUACUAAGGACAGUUGGUGGCCACCUAAUGCAUUCAUUUUAUAUCAAUUCAUCAUUUUAAUUAUUGAAAACAAGUGGCUCAUCGCUUUUACUUUAGGUAAAAUUCGGAUAAUCUCUAUUAUGAAAUGAUAAUAUUCUCUUAAAUUAUUAUAAACCUCAGCCAAUCUUAAUUUUAUUUAAAAGAUAAAAGAAAAAUAGGUUAUGUUGGUGACUUUUUUCUUAUCUUUUUAAUAAAAAUAAAAUAAAUUGAUGUUUAUAAUUGUUUAAAAUACUUUAAAGAUUGUUAUUUUAUGAGAGAGUAAUAUUUUACUUUUUUAUUGUGAAAUGCUAAAAAGGACAAAGCAAGUGUCCCUGGUUUUUAUUUUAUUUGAAAUUGGUCAUCUCAUAUACUUUACGUUUCAACACUACAAUUUUUUUGGUUAUAUUUUUAUUAUUUUUUUCUUUCUUACACAUGCACGUAAAUUUUCUUUCUUUAAGCUCCUGAAUAUUUAAGACAAAUCAUGGAAGAGAUGAAAGUAUAACAAGAUGAUCAAAAUACGUAACAAAAAAUUUACAAGUGAAACAUACGUUAGAGUCGAAGUAAAACUCUGAAAAUAGAGAUAUUGAUUAAUUUAGAAGAGAUGCAAGCAAAAGAUUUUCUUAAAAAAAAGAAAAGCAAUUUGUCCCUUUCCAGGGCAAACUUGUUAGUCUCAAAAAGGUACAUUCUUUGAAUUGAUAGUUGCAGGAUUUUUGUCUUGUUUUUGUUGUUGUGCAUUAGUUGGAGAAGUCAAGCCUAGUGAAAAAUGUUAUGAAAGAGCAAAGGAUAUUUCUGACAGCUUUAUUUAAUUAUGUAUUCAUUUAAUGGAUGUAUUGUUAGAAGAUAUUUAAGUGCAUUAGUUCAUCCGUGUCUGUUGAUGUGCUUUUAGUGAUUUUUCCAGCUGUUUGUUGUAAAAGAUGAUUGUAAAUUGAAAUGAACUUGAUGUUGUAAUAUUUUCUCUUUUGUGGAAUCUCAGUUGUGUUGUCUAUAAUUUUAGUCAAAAUUAUUGUUAUUAUUUCUUACUAGAGGUAAAUUUUUUAUUAAACCUCAUUAACACAAUUCUUAAUUAAAAGUAUAGGUUAGUGUCGGUGCAGGAUUUGCAGCACCAGAUCCUGCCUAGCUACGUGUCAAAAAUACAAAAUAAAUGAAGAGAAAGCACAAAUACAUGACUUGGAUUAGGAUAGAAGGAAACUUAAAUCUUAAAGAAAAUGAUAGCUAUAUCCCACUAUUUGAAAAAAUGGUCAUGUAGAUUUUUAAGAUUUAAAUAAGGGACGGAGAUCUUCUUUUGACAAAUAAUAUCUUUUAGCUCUCUCAAGUAAAAAAAAAAUUAAAUAUUUUAUAAUAAAUAAAAAUAUAAUAUUAAAAUAUACGUGAUAAUAUAUACAUUUUAAAUAAUUUCAAUCCAAAAAAAUAGUUAUGUUUUAUCGAAUCUACCUAUGUUACAAUAGUAGUAUGGUACCACAAUAUUUGUUCUUAUCCAAUGUAAUCAUUGGAUGAUUUAGAGCUUAAUCUAACGGCUUAAAUUAUUUUUCUGAAUAUUUGAAGCAACAACUUGCAACCGUUGGAGCCGGUUGCAUAUUAAUUUAAUAUCAUUUGGGGAAGCGUACGGUCAGGAAGUUUCUUAGUAUGCCACCAAUGGAAUUUGAUUUCAUCUCAAAUCGAUCUGCAGGCAGCAAUUGGGAAAUUACACUCACGGUCUUCCUCUUCUUCACUUCCUCUCUACUCUUCACUUUUCUCACUCUCGCGAUGUUUACAGCAUGAUAAGUACAAUUACAAACCAGGAAAUGCCAUUAACAAUUUUCAUUUGUCUUAGUCGUUUUUUUUUUUUUUAGUAGAAAGCCAAAAAAGAAAACGGGUGGGAGGUUGGGGCGUCGUGAUGAAAUGGUUUUGAGUUUUUGACGGAAUGUUUGUUUUUGUGAUUCAUUUAGGGUUUGAAUUCAGGCUUGUACGAACUCGGAUCUAUUCGAGAUCCGUAUUGGCGCUGAAAUCAGAUCCUUUGAAGCCUUGGUUUGAAUUCAACCUUGAGAACUCCAAGCUUGUUAGAAUCUUCAUUGAUCUCUCCAGAAAUUACACGGAUCUUAUUACUAAACCCUACAUAUAGGGCUGCAAUGGAGUCCGAUUCUCUCACAAUUGAUGAAUCAAUAUUGAGACAGUUCGAAAAGGAAGUAAAAAAGAGAAUCAACUUGACUGGCUAAAUAAUUGCGGAGGCCAAAGAGUCUUUUGAUAAUCAAUUGAAGAUUUAGAAGUUAAAAGACACUAUUUUUACUAUGAACGAACAAUUGACUAAGGCGAAAAAGCAAGGAGCUUUUUUGAGUUUGAUUGCUGCGAAAUCGAUGCCUUAGAGUUUGCAUUGUUUGGCCAUGAGGUUGAUGAAAGAGCGAGUUGUUCAUCCGGAGAACUAUAAUGAAGAAGGGAAGCCCACACAUGCAGAAUUCGAGGAUCCCAAACUUUAUCAUAAUGCUAUUUUUUCUGGGUAAUAUGCUUGCAGCUUCGGUGGUGGUGAUUGGUGAAUUUAGCUGUUAAGAACUCGAAGGAGCCUUGGAAACAUGUGUUUCAUGUUGUGAUGGAUCAAAUGUUUAAAUUGAAGGAUUAUAAUGGAGCACAUUUAGGCACGAAGGCUGUUGAGGAUUAUAAGUUUUUGAAUUCUCACAUGUCCCUGUGUUAAGGCAGCCGGGGUUUGCUAAUUUGCAAAGGUUUUACUUCGGGAAGUAGCUUGAGAAUGCUACGAAAGAUGCUACUAACAUGAAGUUUAGGAAUCCCAAUUACUUGUUGAUACUGUAUCAUUUGAGGUUCUGGAUAAGAUUUCAAUGAUGGCCGCUUAAAACAAAUAAUAAAAAAAAAGAACUUGUACUGUAUUUGGAUCUUUACUUAUUUGAUAUAGUUUUCUGCAAUCUCUCCAUGCAACCGGUUACUUUAAUUAUCCACUAACUCAUCUCAACCGUUUGAUGGACUCACUUUAUAUCCAACGGCAGUUUUAAAUGAAGACAAAAAGUGUGGUAUGUUGCAAUUGUUGCAACAUAUGUGAGUCUUGUUUUACAAUCUAUUUAACAUAUUUUAUUAAAUUAAUAUAUUUCUAUGAUAUAGGAACAUAAUAUUAAAAUAAAUUUACAAAAAUUUAAAGAAUUUUGAAUGUAAAACAAUUUCAAUAUAUUAAUAAUGAGAUUUUUUUAUUAUUAUAAAAAUUAUUUAACCCAUAGAUUUUUUUAAAUCUUUACAAUAAGUAUAAAUAUAUUAUCUUCACUUAAAAAUAUUUAAAUAUUAUUAACCUAUAAUUAGGUUUGCAUUUAUUAGAAAAUUUUAAAGUCAAAUAUAUUGCACUUUUGCAUUAUUAGAAUCAUCACAGAGAAAGGAGCAUAUAUACUUUAUAACUUUAAAAAUUGGUUUCUUCUGGAAACAGAGAUGAUGAUUAUUAUAAGGAUGAAAAAAAAAAGAUAAAGAAUAUUAAUGAUUAACGAAAUCUCUAUGCAAAUUGAUUUUAGUAGGGAAAGAGUGAGAUGAAUAACUUCUUUUACAGCUAAAAACAGAGAUGAUGAUUAUUAUAAGGUUGAAAAAAAAAGAUAAAGAAUAUUAAUUAUUAAUGGAAUCUCUAUGCAAAUUGAUUUUAUAGGAAAAAAGCGAGCUAAAUGAUUUAGACAUUCAUAGUGUAUUUAUUUUUGAAUUGGUGAAUAAGAAUUAUUGACAACGCUAACUUCAUCUUCACCGUUGGCUAUCCAAUAGCGGCAAUUGUCGCCGAUUAUGAUAUCUCCAAUGAUGAUGACGGUUUUUUUAUUAUUAUUAUUGGUGACCCCUUGGAAAGUUAACUGCAACUGCCAAUCAGAGAAAAGUCGUCAUGCACAAUCCUCAAUCGAACCAAUCAUCUACGUUACAGAAUCUGAAACGUACACACUGUUAACAUAUAUGUUUCCAUAAUGUUGAUUUUGAUGAUAACAAACAAGAUUAAGAAUGAUUAAUCUUUUAAGCUCAAAUUAUUUUUAUGCAUUUUAAAUAAAUCAUUAUUUUUACAUUAUAAAGGUUCUAUAUUUAAUGGAAAAAUGAUUUUAUGAAAUUGAUUGUUUUUUAUUCUUUUUAAAUAAAUCAUUAUUUUCACAUUAUAAAUGUUUCAUAUUCAAUGGAAAAAUGAUUUUAUGAAAUUGGUUGUUUUUCAAAGUUUAUGGUUUAAUUGAAAGAAUUUUGAAAACUUUGAAAUAAACAAGUAUUGCUUGAAAUUUCAGAUUUGGACUUAUUUGAAACUAUUUAAAUGUUUUUAGGCUAUUCUAUAAUUUCACAAAGUUUGGGCGAAAUUAUAAUUUCAGAACGUUGUGGGAUUGACAAAGUAUUAUUCUAAAAUUCUGAAAUUGGACUUAUUUGUAAAUUUUCAUAACGUUUUGGGUUAUAGUAUAGUUUUAUAAAGUUUUGGGGUCAAAUUAUAAUUUCAGAAAAUAGUGCACUGUGCAGGUUACUGUGGCAUCCGGCUUACCGGAUAUAAAAAUCGGAAAACCGGAUACGGGGCAGAAUGUAUCCAGAAUGUAAACGGCUUACCGGAUUUCGUAACCAGCAAGCCGGAUAGGCAAAAUUCAAAUUUUUGCCUUAACGGUAACAUAAAUCCAGCUUAUCGGAUUCCAUAAAUGGCAAACCGGAUACGCCCAGAAUGUGAGUAACGGCUAGUUUUUGAGUUCAAACUAUAUAAACUCAAAACCAAUUCAUUUUUGGUAAUCCAAGCAAGAAAGAACAAGUGCACAUAACAUAUAUUGAGCUUCAAUUUCGUAACUCAUCAUUUAUUAAAUCAUCUUUGUUUUUCAAUUUGUAUAUCCACUCUUAAAGAGAGAUUCAUUGUUGUAUUUUUCAUUUCUCAUCAAAUUGUGAGUGUACAAGUGUGAGAAACACUUGGGGUGAAGAGAUUGGAGAGAUAAUCUCUUGUUGUAAAGGUUCAUUAACACAUUGAAGUCAAUUGUAAACGUUUGAAGCCUUGGAAAUGCUUGGAUAGUGAAAUCCUCAAGCCCGGUGUGCUUGGAAGCGUGGACGUAGGCGGAGAUUACCGAACCACGUAAAAAUCCUUGAGUUUGCUUUCUCUUCCCUUACUCUUUAAUUAUUGUGCUUUGAUUGAACUUAUUGCUUUCAAUUUUUAUUAAGACAUUAGAUUAAAUUGUUGUGUGGUUUGCCUAGGAUAAUUUUUAAAAUCUCAAUUCACCCCCCUCUUGAGUUGCCUAGUUAGUAUUUCACACACCCAAUGGGAAGCAGCACACGUGUUCUGAGGAGAGAGAGAAAAAACCGUGCAAAUGCAAGCAAUAGGUAUUGGCUACAGUUGGAUCUGUAAGUUACAGAAUCUGUAACUUAGCCAACUCCCUCAAUGAUCAAUAUUGUUUCCGAUAUUUAUAAAUUGGUGGCCCCUUGGAAAUUUAACUGGAAGUUUGCAAGUGUCAAUCAGAAAAAAAUCGUCAUCCAUUGUUUUUUUUUUUCUGCAUUCCCUUUCAUGUUCUUAAUAAUUGAGGACAGGUUGUUCAUAACAUUUAUACUUUUCAAAUGUGGAGCUGCAUUUAAUGUCGCUAUUUUAAUUUGGGAUUAAAUUAGGGGAACACUAACUUUUAUAUUUAUCUAAACUCCUUAAAUUUAAGACAGAUUAUGGCGUAAAUAAGAAUAUAAUAAUAACAAAGGAAUUAAAAAGUAUAAUGACGAUCUUGCAGAAAUAUAAAUAUUAGCGUUGAAUUAAAUAACAUAGAACACAUGAAUUGAAUAGUGAUUAUCAAGACGGUGUUACUUGCACUCCUAUUUAUAAAAAAUCUUGGUUCUGUUCCAUUAGAUUUUUUAUCUUCAAAAUCUUGCAAAGUUUUGACAACCCAAAGGCUCAGUUUGGUUGUUCUAUAUUUGUAUGAUAUGAAUUCAAAUUUUUGUGUUCUGUUUUUCUUAAUUCUGAACACGGAUUCUUCUCUUCUCGUGCAAACCAGAAAGAAAUGUUGUCUUACAAAAAAAAAAGGGGAAUAACUUCAUGAGAACAAAAAUUCAGAAAAAUAAUAUAAAGUUUAUAUUUAGACUUUUGUGGUAUAUUUUAAUUUUCAACAAUGAGUUAAAGAAAAUAAUAAAUAAAGUAAAUAAAAGUUUAGAGAUUCAAAUUUUUAGUAUUGGAUUCUUUAAUUCAAAUACCUCUCAUUAAUUAACACUUAAAAGAGAGUUCACUAUUAUAAUUUUAAGUUUUUUGAUUUAUUAUUGAUAUAUAAAUUAGGAGUUUAAGCUUACUUUUUUAUUUUUCCAUUUUUUUUCAAAUUUGAAAUUAUUAUUUAAAUUUAUAAUUUUUUUUAAAAAAAUAGAGGGCUUGAGCCUGGCUUGGGUAUUGUUUCCUAAACCCUUAUCCGGCCCUGGCUUUUUUGCCAGCCCCAAUGAUGAUGAUGAUGAUUAUUUUAUUAUUAUUAUUAAUGAUGAAAAGUAUUAUAAUUAAUUAAUAUAUUAUUGUAUUGUUAUUAAGAUUAACAAUAAUUAUUAAUGAUAACAAUUUUUUGAAUAAAAAUAAUCACAAUAAUUAAAAUAUAAAUUAAUAAUUAUAACAAUAGUUAAUUAAUGUAUUUUUAACAAUUUGUAAUAAUUUAACUCAUUCUAAUUUCGAUUAUUAUAGUUAAGUAAACAACUUAUUAUAAUUUUCAUUCUCCAUUUUAAUUUCAGCUCAUUUCGAUUUCAGUCUAUUCCAAUUUUCAUUUAAUAAACGUUCCAUUAAUGCUAUAGUAAUAUUUCAUAUAGAAAAAAAUAAAAGCUACAACUAAGGUUAAGGGAAAGGACUUCAAAACUCUCUUUUUGUCAUAAUACAUUUUUUCCUAAUUAACUUAAAGAGUUUGAAUCUAAUAUUUUAUAAUAAAUAAAAAUAUAUUCCAAAAGUAAAUAUAAUAUAUCUAUUUUAAACUAAUCUCAAUAUUUAAAAUAUAUUUAAUAUUUUACAAUCUAUUAGACAUAUUUUAUUAUAUUAAAAUAAAUUUUAUAAUAAAUAUGAACAUACUGUUAAAAUGAAUAUAUAAAAAACUUAGAGUAUUUUGAAUAUUAUAUAAAAUAAUUUUAGUAGAAUACGUGAGAUAUAUUUUAUUAAUGUAAAAUGCUAUUUAAUCUAAAGAUUCAUUUAUGAUAAAUUAAUAAUUAUAUUUUUAAAAUUAUUUUAAAAAUUAAAUUUUUUUAAUAUUAUUAAUCUAUUAGACAGAUAAAAUUAUUUAUAUUAUUUUGUAUUUAUUAAAAAAAUUUAAAGUCAAUUUUUUUAAUUACUAUUCAAAGGAUAUAAUAAUUAAAAAAAUCUUAGCGUUUUCAUUAAAAAUUUAAAAAUUUACAUGACUAUUUCUGUAAAUAUUUAAGGUAUAUAUGAACUACGGUAGAGAAGCUUCAUUUAAUAUUAUUGAUUUAAAUAAUAUCUCAAUUAAAAAUGUACAGAGAAUAUAUUUCGGUGGGUAUUUUAAUCUUUUUAGCAAUUAUCAUGGUUAGCCCUUGGCCUUGAAACGUCUGUCAGAAAGGUUUUCAAAUGCUUUAAUUGUUCUUAUUAAAAAAAAAAUCUUUAAUUGUUUUUUCACUUUUAACGUCAGCGGCCUUGAAAGUGCUUUUACUUUAUAACAAAUUAAUUAAUGCUGACGAGAAAAUAUCUCUUCCACAGCCCACAGCAGCUUCUGUUAAUCAAACUCAACCAAUUUUCUCUCUUAACAAAAUUCCAAAGAUGGGUAGCAUUUUUCAGAUCACAUGCGACGGCGCUUUUUUCAAUCGUUGCUUUGGAUUGCUUUCUUGGAAAAGCAGCAUACAUAAGCAACAUCCAAGAUAAUCUUGUAGCCUUGGAGACUGAACUGGGAAGACUAAUCGCAGCAAAGAACGAUGUGAUGAUGAGGGUUGUCAAUGCUGAACGACAACAAAUGAAAAGGCUGGGCCAAGUGGAAUGGUGCGUUUCGAGGGUGGAUGCUGUUAAAAUUGAAGCUGAUGAACUUAUCAGAGACGGCUCUCAAGAAAUUGACAAAUUAUGUGUUGGAGGCUACUGUUCUAAGAACUGCACGUCAAGCUACAAGUUCGGGAAACAAGUGGCUAAAAAGCUACGAGAUGUGGAGACUUUAAUCGCCGAAGGAGUUUUUGAGGCGGUGGCUACCGAGGUGGUGCCUGAGAGAGCUCCAGAGCCUGUAGCAGAUGAAAGACCUACCGAGCGAACAGUAGUAGGCUUGCAAUCACAACUUGAACAAGUCUGGAGAUGUCUUGCAGAAGAAUCAGUGGGAAUCAUUGGCCUAUAUGGUAUGGGCGGUGUUGGUAAAACUACAUUACUGACCCAUAUCAACAAUAAAUUUCUCGAGAGUCCAACCAACUUUGAUUGUGUGAUUUGGGUAGUAGUUUCAAAAGACCUGCGACUUGAAAAAAUUCAAGAAGAUAUUGGAAAAAAGAUAGGUUUGGUUGGUGAUUCGUGGAAGAGUAAAAGUGUAGAGGAGAAAGCUGUCGACAUCUUCCGGAGUUUAAGAGAGAAGAGAUUUGUAUUGUUGUUAGAUGAUAUAUGGGAGCGGGUUGAUUUAACAAAGGUGGGCGUUCCACUUCCCGGACCAAAAAAUACUACCUCAAAAGUUGUAUUCACAACCCGUUUCAUCGAUGUUUGUGGUAGCAUGGAAGCUGACAGGAAGUUCCAAGUGGCGUGCUUAUCAGAAAAGGAUGCUUGGGAACUGUUUCGAGAAAAAGUUGGGGAAGAAACUCUUCAGAGUCAUCAUGAUAUCGUUGAGCUAGCCCAAAUUGUGGCCAAAGAGUGUGGUGGUUUGCCACUCGCACUUAUUACUAUUGGUCGAGCUAUGGCCUGCAAAAGGACAGCCGAGGAGUGGAGACAAGCAGUUGAAGUGCUAAGAAGAUCAGCUUCUGAGUUUGCAGGUUUGGGAAAAGAGGUGUAUCCUCUUUUAAAGUUUAGCUAUGAUAGUUUGCAGAAUGAGACGAUUAGAUCUUGUUUCUUAUAUUGUUGUUUAUAUCCCGAAGAUUAUGGAAUUCUUAAAUGGGACUUGAUUGAUUGUUGGAUUGGUGAGGGAUUCUUAGAGGAAUCUGACAGGUUUAGUGCAGAAAACCAAGGAUACUACAUUGUGGGCACUCUUGUUCAAGCAUGUUUAUUAGAAGAGUUAGAAGAUGAUAAAGUAAAAAUGCAUGACGUUAUUCGUGAUAUGGCUCUAUGGAUAACCAUUGAAAUUGAGAAGCAGAAGAGAAACUUUUUGGUUCGUGCAGGUGCUGGAUUAAAAGAGGCACCGGCUGUUAAAGAAUGGGAAAAUGUGAGAAGAUUGUCAUUGAUGCAAAACCAAAUUAAAACUCUGUCAGAGGUUCCUUCAUGCCCUCAUCUCCAUACUCUAUUUCUUGCCUCUAAUGAUAAUUUGAGGAUGAUCACGGAUGGCUUCUUUCAAUUUAUGCCUUCUCUCAAAGUUUUGAAGAUGUCAAACUGUGUGGAUUGGCCAGUUUCGAAAUUACCUUUGGCGAUGUCAAAGUUGGGUUCACUACAACUUCUUGAUAUUUCACAUACCGGCAUAGAANNNNNNNNNNNNNNNNNNNNNNNNNNNNNNNNNNNNNNNNNNNNNNNNNNNNNNNNNNNNNNNNNNNNNNNNNNNNNNNNNNNNNNNNNNNNNNNNNNNNGAAGAGUUGAAGUUGUUGGUAAAUCUGAAAUGUUUGAAUUUGAGGUGGACAUUUGAGUUAAAUAAAAUUCCAUGGCAACUAAUAUCAAAAUUUUCAAGGUUACGUGUGUUGAGAAUGUUCGCUACUGGCUUUGCACGUUUUGAUGAAGCAUCAGAAGACAGCGUUUUAUUUGGUGGGGGUGAAGUUUUAGUACAGGAAUUGGUCGGUCUGAAAUAUUUAGAGGUAUUGGAGUUGACCUUGGGAUGUCAUCAUGCUCUCCAAAUUUUUUUGAGCUCAAAUAAGUUAAAAAGUUGUAUUCGAUCUCUUCUCCUCCAGUUGGCCGGAGAUACAACGUCGAUUAUUGAUGCUACGGCUUUCGCAGAUCUAAACCACCUCAAUGAAUUAUGCAUUGAUAGGGCUAAGGAGUUGGAAGAAUUGAAGAUUGAUUGUAAAGAAAUAGUACAAAAAAGGCGGGAACCUUUUGUUUUCCGCAGCCCUCACCGUGUUACUAUACAUAGCUGCCAGAAGUUGAAAGAUUUGACAUUCCUCGUUUUUGCUCCAAACCUCAAGUCUCUCGAUCUAGACCGUUGCGAUGCUAUGGAAGAAAUAAUCAGCGUCGGAAAAUUUGCUGAGACUCCUGAGAUGAUGGGACAUAUAAGCCCUUUUGAAAAUCUCCAAAUGCUUGAUUUAGAAGAUUUGCCUCAUUUGAAGAGCAUCUUCUGGAAGCCAUUGCCUUUCACUCAUCUGAAAGAAAUAUCUGUGGGUUAUUGCCGUAAUCUUAAAAUGCUUCCACUCGAUUCCAACAGUGCAAAGGAGCGUAAAUUUAUUAUUCGUGGAGAAGAAGACUGGUGGAACCGACUUCAAUGGGAGGAUGAAGCCACUCAAAUUGCUUUUCGUUCCUGUUUCCAAUCUCUUUUUGAUUAACUCUUAUACAUUUUCUCGUCGUUUGCUUCAUGCAAAAGACUACGUCUUUUGUUCUCUGUUUUUAUUUCAGUUUCGUUUUGUCUCCUGCAAAUCACAAUUAAAUGUUGAAUUAUAUGGAAGUAAUGCUUUAUAAAUUUGCCGGCACUGCCAUUUAUUUUUCCUCUUUUUUUUUUUGGGUCGAAUUGAUGCUCUGGCUUUUUUAUUUUUUGUCAUCGAAUUUUGCUCUGUUUUUCAAAUUGAUGCUUGAAUAUGUGAAUUCAAUUAAUGCUCACAUAAUUUUGUUUAGUUGCCGUAAAAGAAUAUAAUUAGACUGAAAUUCGCACUCCCAGAAUGAAUAGAAUCACAACAGAGAAAAUAUUAAGUAUGCUAGCCCUCUUUACAGAAAAUCAAAUGAAAAUAAAAUUUUUUGGAUAUUUGAUUUUCUAUGGUCUACUAUAUACACUUUAUAAAUUCUUCUGUUCUAAGGAUAACCAAGUAGGGGAUUGAUGAAGGCUCCUUUUUGGGAUUCUUCUUUUUCUAGGCUGCAAUUAGGAUAUGUACAUGAUAGACAAUCUUUUGUUGGUUUAGCAUAUCUUCGCUGAUUUUGUCUUUUAUUCCCCAAUUUUAUAAUUACACACCAUGAAUGUUGGGUGAUUGUAUAGAAAAUUUGUGUUAUAACAAAAACAUUGUGAAGGAGUUUCCGUGCUAAUAGUUAGUGGCUUCUGUUUUAUUGGUAUUGAUUGGGUAGAUUUCGUGUUACAGUGAUUCAAUUUGUGUUCCAAACUUUGCUUUAAUUUUCUGUUUUCCCCAACUAUUUAUGUCAAAUUUAAAUCCAGAAGCAUGUACUGAUUUUUUCUUUUUGUAUUAAUCUGUGAAGUUUACUUGGAAUGGAAGUAACUGGGUCGGGUCUAAUGGAUUAAAUUAUGACAUUGAGGGGAAGGCACUAAAAGGGUUUGCUUGACACAUUUGGUUCUGUAUUUACUCUGCAAGAAAUAGCUUUUGCUUAUUGCAAUGCAGGGGGAAAUCCCGAUUUGGCUGGUGAAUUUCUCUGCAACAAACAGGCAAACGCCUCAACCUCUUCUGUCCAUACUUCUGCUGGGGAGGCAAGGGGUAAAGAGUCUUCAAAAUCAUCAAAUAGUAACAUCUCUGAGAAUUCAUUUUAUGGAAAUGGAAAAUCUAGAGCUUCUAAUACAAAAUGGCAUCUGGUAUCAGGACGUACCGUUUCAAGUUUUCUUGGUAAAGAUUAUGUUAAACCUGCACAGCCAGCUAAUGGCACUGUUCUGGCAUCAAAGCCAUUGAAGUUGGAUCCAAGGGAGUUUCGCAUUUCUGCACUUUCAGAGUAGAAACUAAACCAAAACAAUCAAAGGAUGACCAUUUGCAGAAGGAUAUGGAAGAUUUUCUGUUUAAAUUGCUAGGAGAAGGGUUCCAGCUGUACAGGGAUGUGAUUCAGGAGGUUCAUGGAAACGUCUUAAAUAUAUUGAUGCCAAUUUAAUACAUAUUGUCCUUUUCAAUGUUCUUUCUUUCUUUCUCCUCUUUUUAUUCUUCUUCUUCUUCUUUUUUCUUUUCGUGUGCAUGUGAUCACUAAUUUGGUAUUAUUCUUAACUUGCAGAUAGUUGUGGAUAUGAUAUGCAAAAUAUCUUCUUGAUGCUGGCAGAUUCACUUGAUUCUUAUUAGUUUGUUUAGUGGCAAGGCAUAUAACCUGUAUUUCAAAGCCAAGUUGUGCUAUUGAUUAUGUUAACUUUAUUGUUAACAUAAAGUGAUAUGGAGGACAUAAUCAAUGUAGGAAAAUUAGGUGAAGAGAUGAUGUCAAAUCUUGAACCUCUUACAAAGCUCCAAGUUCUUUACUUGAAGAAGCUGCCAAAUUUGAAGAGCGUCUACUGGAAGGCAUUUCCAUUCCCAGAUGUAUGCAGAAUUUUUGUAUUAAUGCCCAGUUCUUAAGAAGCUGCCACUGGAUUUUCAAAGGGCGGGCCAAGGUGAAAUUCUUAUCAAGGGAAAGGAAGAUUGGUGGAAAGAACUUCAAUGGGAGGAUCAAGCAACUCAGAAUGCAUUGCUUCCAUUUUUCAAAUCAACUGACAAGUGAUUGAAGGGGGCAUCAUCAACAGAGAUGGAGAGAUUCUGGAGCAGAUCAACAGGGUUUGUAUAUGAUCUUUGGUGGUUGCUUUCUUUUGUGAUUUUUUUUUCUCAUUUUUUUUCCUUCCUGUCAUUUUAUCAUUUCUUUGUCUCUUUUUCUAUUGCUGAUGUUAGUGUAUGCUUACUGUUGCUUGACAAAGUUUGCUUGCUUCUUGUUUAUUAAAUUUUUUAUGGUCACAAAAUAUUACUUGUUCUAUUUGAGAGUGAUGUGAAUCAAUUUUCAAUUAUAUAUUUUGUGGUCAAUGUGAAUUCAAUUUCAUUUGUCUCCUGCAAUUAUGAAAAAAAUGCAGAGUCAUAAUAUGGAAAAGUCGACCGGCAAAAACUUUGUGAAAGCUUCGGAGUGAAACAGGGAAUUCACUUACUACUAAGGACAAUUGGUGGCGAGCUAUUCCAUUCAUUUUAUGUCCAUACAUCUAUUUAAUUAUUGAAGAUAAGUGGUCCAUUUGUAAAUUUCAGAUUGUCCCUCUCUCUUGAAAUAACGAUAUUUAAAAUAUUUCUUAAAUUAUUAUAAAUUUUAAUUUACUCUGGAUUUAAAAUGGAACAUGAUGAAAAUUUUUUUUUCUUCUUAAUAAAAUUGAAAUAAAUUGUGUUUGCAGUAGUUUGAAAUAUUUUAAAGAUUAUUAUUUUAUAAGGGAGUAAUAUGAAAUGAAAUUUACUUUUCAUGCGUGAAAUGUUGAAAAAGGACAAAGCAAGUGUCCCUGUUUUUAUUUUAUUUCAAAGUGGAGUCAUCUCACGUACUUUAGCUCUUAACAUUAUAAUUUUUCUGGUUACAUUUUUAUUAUUAUUUUUUUUUUUUACACAUGCAUGUGGGUUACUUUUCCGUAAGCUCCUUAAUAUAUAUUUAACACAAAUCAUGGAAGAGAUGGGAGUAUAUCAAGAUGAUCAAAGCAUGAAACAAAAAUAUUUAAGAAGUAAAACACUGAAAAUGGAGAAGAGAUGCAAGCAAAAGAUAUUCCAAAGAAAAGCAAUCUAUCCCCCUUUCGAGGGCAAACUUAUCAGGUUUAAGAAAAGUACAUGCUUUGGAUUGGUAGUUGCAGCCUUGCAGGAUAAUUGUUUUUGCCACUAUAUUAGUUGGAGGAGUUGAACCCAGCGAAGAAUGUUAUGGAAGAGCAAAGGAUUAUGUAGCCUGAAUGGAUGUCUUGUUGAAAGAUAUCUCAGUGCAUUAGUUCAUCCUUGUCUGUCAAUGUGUUUUUAAUGGUUUUUCCAAUUGUUUAUUAUUAUAGAUUGAUUGUAAAUUGAUAUGAAUUUAAUGUUGAAAUAUUUUCUCUUUAGUGGAAUGAAUUUAAAAGUGCAAAAGCUUAUUGCACACAGAGAAAUAAACAUAUAUGCUUUAUAGUAUAACUUUAGCAAUCGAUUCUUUUACAGCUGGAAACAGAGAUGGUGAUUAUCAUAGGGGUGAAGAAAAGGACAAAAAAUGUUAAUGAUUAACGAAAUUUCUAUGCAAAUUGAUUUUAGCAGGAAAAAAAGUGAGCUAAAUGAUCUUAAUGUUCCACAAAAGCAAAUCGUAAUAUUCCACAAGAAAAAGCAAGAUCUUAAUGUUCCACAAAAGCGUUAUUUUUUUUUUGGUGAGCCACGUGGAGCUCAAUUAUCAUUGUCUUUACUUUAAAAACGUUAUUUUAUUUUAUUUUAUUACAAAUUAAUGCUAAACAAGAAAAAGCAAGAUAUAAUAUUCCACAAAAGCAAAUCGUAAUAUUCCACAGAGGAAUAAGAUCCACAAAAGCAAACAACUAGCUGGAUUCUUUUACUGAAUUACAAAUUAAAGUGGAAUCUUUUAUUAAACAAUAAAUUAAAGUUCGAAUAUUUAAGUAGUAGUGCGUUAGAUGAUUAGGCUCUCUUAUUAAAGGCAAGUAUAAGGUAGUCCAGAAUCGAACAUCUCUAUUGUCUAGUCAUUUUUUUCAAUUCUUCUUUUAUUAUUUUUCAGAAUAGGUUUUGGUGAUUACUAUUGGGUUAUUAGUCAGAGUUAUUCUUAUCUUCCGGGGCAGUUUCUGUUCAUCGGAAUUGUUAAUUAAAAGAGUAAUGAUAUAGUCACAAACUCUUGUAUAAACUUAUUUUGUACAAACUGAUGUGGCAUGAUAAGAUUAGUUGAAUUAAAUAUCACUUAGGCCACAUGAUUUAUUUUUAUUAUUUUAUAUUUUCAUUCAACCAAUGAAUUAAUGCCACGUCAGUUUGUACAAGAGUUUGUGGCUGUAUCAUUACUCUAAUUAAAAUUUUAGAACUCUUGUGGGAAGAAUGUUUUUCUGUUAUCUUUUUUACAUUCUAAUUUCAACAAUAAGAAGGAGUCAUUUUAGAAUUCGGGUCUUGAAUCGAAUUUCAAUGCAUGAAUUAAUAUUUUAAAAAAAAAUUACUACACGCAGUUUAGGUUACAAACUAUUUUUUGCAAAGUUGACUAUGAAAUUGGAGAAAUUAAGUAAUUUAUAAUGUUUGCAAAGGAAGAGACUAACAUACUUCCAAUUACACUAUAUCUCUAUUAUCAUAAUGUUAAGACUAAACUAACUUAAAAUAAAUUUUAUUUGAAAAGUUAUAUCAAACACAGUCUAAUUUUAUUAACUUGAAGAGAUAAUAGUUAUAGAAAUGAUUGUUCUAACUUAAUUAGUACAAGUGGUAUAAAGGUUAAGUGUGCACUAAAUUUGUUUAAAUUUUUUCCAGAAUAACUAACAGAGGUCAUUAUUAGAAUUAUAAUUACUAGUCUAUUAGAUAGAAAAAAUUAUAUAUAUUGUUUUAUAUUUAUUAAAAAAAUUUAAAGUCAAUCUUUUUAAUUAUUAUUUAAAGGAUAUUAUAAUUUAAAAAAAUUUAAUGUCUUUAUUAAAAAUUUAAAAAUUUACAUGACCGUUCUAUAAAUAUUUAAAGUGUAACUGUCAUUUUCUCAUGUAUAUAUAUAUAAACCACGGUGGUGAAGCUUUAUUUAAUAUUAUUGAUUUAAAUAACAAUAUCGCAAUUAAAAAUGUAGAGAGAAGAAAUUUUGGUGGGUAUAUUAGUCUUUUACAAUUAUCAUGAUUAGCCCUUCCUCUUGUAACGUUGGUCAGAAAAGUUUUAAAAUGCCUUGAUUUCUUUUACUUUUAACGUUAGCGGCCUUCCUUAUAUUUUAUUACAAAUUAGUCCUAACAAGAAAAAGCGAGAUCAUAUUCCAAAAAAGCAAAAGUGACAAAAAAACCAGCUGUAUUCUUUUAUUAAACUACAAUUUAAAAUGAUUUUAAAGUGGAUUCUUUUGAAUACAGGUGGGGUAGUCGAAUAGUCUUUUUCAAAUUCUUGUUUUAUUAUUUUUCAAAACUAGUUUUUGGUAAUUACAAUCGGGUCAUUCAUUAGUCAUUAUUCAGAGUUAUUGUUAUCUUCGGGGGCAGUGGGUAAAAGGCUAAAUGAUAAUUACUAAGUGUUUUUCCUUCAAAAGUUAGUGGCUCGUGUUUUGCAAGUGUGUACGUGCGAUGCUCUUUGUCUAAAGGCAAUUACAGUGGGUCCCGAAUCGGACGUGCCUAAUAAAUCUUUUAAAAUUUUUUCUAAUAAAUAUUCCUAAAAUUUCUCUUCCACAGGCAAUUACAGCAGCUUCAGUUAAUCAAACUCAAUCAAUUUUCUUUCUUAACAAAAUUCCAAAGAUGUUUGGCUGUUUUCAGAUCACAUGCGAUGGUGCUCUUUUCAAUCGUUGCUUGGAUUGCUUUCUGGGAAAAACAGUAUACAUACGUAACCUCCCAGAUAAUCUUGUUGCCUUGGAGACUGAAUUGGGAAAUCUAAUCGCAGCAAAGAACGAUGUGACGAGGAGGGUUGACAAUGCUGAACGGCAACAAAUGAGAAGGCUGGACCGAGUGCAACGAUGGAUUUCGAGAGUGGAAGUUGUUGAAACUGAAGCCGAUGAAUUGAUAAGACAUGGCUCUCGAGAAAUUGAAAAAUUAUGUGUUGGAGGCUACUGUUCCAAGAACUGCAUGUCAAGCUACAAGUUCGGAAAACAAGUGGCUAAAAAGCUACGGGAUGUGCGGACUUUAAUCAGUGAAGGAGUUUUUGAGGUGGUGGCUGACAGAGCUCCAGAGCCUGUAGCAGAUGAAAGACCUACUGAGCCAACAAUAGUAGGCUUGCAAUCACAACUUGAACAAGUUUGGAGAUGUCUUGUAGUAGAAGAAUCAGUGGGAAUCAUUGGCCUAUAUGGUAUGGGCGGUGUUGGUAAAACCACACUAUUGACCCAUAUCAACAAUAAAUUUCUUGAGAAUCCAAUCAACUUUGAUUGUGUGAUUUGGGUUGUAGUUUCAAAAGACCUGCGACUUGAAAAAAUUCAAGAAGAUAUUGGGAAAAAGAUAGGUCUGUUUGAUGAUUCAUGGAAGAGUAAAAGUGUAGAGGAGAAAGCUGUCGACAUCUUCCGGAGUUUAAGAGAGAAGAGAUUUGUAUUGUUGUUAGAUGAUAUAUGGGAGCGGGUUGAUUUAACAAAGGUGGGCGUUCCACUUCCCGGACCACAAAAUACUACCUCAAAAGUCGUAUUCACAACCCGUUCCAUCGAUGUUUGUGGCAGCAUGGAAAGUCACAGGAAGUUCCCAGUAGCAUGCUUAUCAGAAGAGGAUGCUUGGGAGCUGUUUCGAGAAAAAGUAGGGCAAGAAACUCUUGAGAGUCAUCAUGAUAUCGUUGAGCUAGCCCAAACUGUGGCCAGAGAGUGUGAUGGUUUGCCACUCGCACUUCUUACUAUUGGUCGAGCUAUGGCCUGCAAAAGGACAGCAGAGGAGUGGAGACACGCAGUUGAAGUGCUAAGAAGAUCAGCUUCUGAGUUUGCAGGUUUGGGAGAAAAGGUGUACUCUCUUUUAAAAUUCAGCUAUGAUAGUUUGCAGAAUGAGACGAUUAAAUCUUGUUUCUUAUAUUGUUGUUUAUAUCCCGAAGAUUAUGGAAUUCUUAAAUGGGACUUGAUUGAUUGUUGGAUUGGUGAGGGAUUCUUAGAGCAAUCUGACAGGCUUAGUGCAGAAUACCAAGGAUACUACAUUGUGGGCACUCUUGUUCAAGCAUGUUUAUUAGAAGAGUUAGAAGAUGAUAAAGUAAAAAUGCAUGACGUUAUUCGUGAUAUGGCUCUAUGGAUAACCAGUGAAAUUGAGAAGGAGAAGAGAAACUUUUUGGUUCGUGCAGGUGCUGGAUUAAAAGAGGCACCGGCUGUUAAAGGAUGGGAAAAUGUGAGAAGAUUGUCACUGAUGCAAAACCAAAUUGAAACUCUGUCAGAGGUUCCUACAUGCCCUCAUCUCCUCACUUUAUUUCUUGACUUUAAUCAGGAGUUGGAGAUGAUCGCGGAUGGUUUCUUCCAAUUUAUGCCUUCUCUCAAAGUUUUGAAGAUAUCAAACUGUGGAAACAUUUUUCAAUUACCUGUUGGGAUGUCAAAGUUGGGUUCACUAGAACUUCUUGAUAUUUCACAUACCUUCAUAAAAGAGUUACCAGAAGAGUUAAAGAAGUUGGUAAAUCUGAAAUGUUUGAAUUUGAGGUGGACAAGGGAGUUAAAUAAAAUUCCACGGCAACUAAUAUCAAAUUCUUCAAGGUUACGUGUGUUGAGAAUGUUCGCUACUGGCUACAUACGAUUCGAUGAUGCACCAGAAGACGGCGUUUUAUUUGGUGGGGGUGAAGUUUUGAUACAGGAAUUGCUCGGUUUGAAAUAUUUAGAGGUAUUGGAGUUGACCUUGGGAAGUUAUCAUGCUCUCCAAAUUCUUUUGAGCUCAAAUAAGUUAAAAAGUUGUAUUCGAUCUCUUUACCUCGAGUUGACCGGAGAUACAACGUCAAUUAUUGAUGCUACGGCUUUCGCAGAUCUAAACCACCUCAAUGAAUUAUAUAUUAAUAAUGGUAUUGAGUUGGAAGAAUUGAAGAUUGAUUAUACGCAGAUAGUACGAAAAAGGCGGGAACCUUUUGUUUUCCGCAGCCUUCACCGUGUUACUGUUAUGGAUUGCCAUAAAUUGAAAGAUGUGACAUUCCUCGUUUUUGCUCCAAACCUCAAGUCUCUUACGCUAUUCGAUUGCGGUGCUAUGGAAGAAAUAAUCAGCGUCGGAAAAUUUGCUGAGACUCCUGAGAUGAUGGGACAUAUAAGCCCUUUUGAAAAUCUCCAAUUGCUUGAUUUAGAUAAUUUGCCACAUUUGAAGAGCAUCUUCUGGAAGCCAUUGCCUUUCACUCAUCUCAAAAAAAUGGUGGUGGUACAGAGGUGCGAUCAGCUUGAAAAGCUUCCACUCGAUUCCAACAGUGCAAAAGAGCGUAAAUUUGUUAUUCGUGGAUACACAGGGUGGUGGAACCGACUUCAAUGGGAGGAUGAAGCCACUCAAAUUGCUUUUCGUUCCUGUUUCCAACCAAUGGGAGUACUGAGCGGUGGUCGCAAAAUUUGAUUUCUGGUGAGUGCGUUUGUCUUUUAAAAGAAGAAUUUAAAAGAAAUUUAUUCUUGUCGUUUGUUUUCUUCUCUGUUUUUAUUUCAGUUUCUCUCUCUCUUUGUCUUCUGCAAAUCACAAUUAAAUGUUGAAUUAAUGGAAUUAAUGCUUCAUAAAUUUGCCGGCACUGCCAUUACUUUUUUUUUUUUUAAAUACAAAUUGAUACUUUAUUUAUAUCUUCUUAGCGAUUUAAUUUCCUGUCAAAAGAGGAACGAGAAGAACAUAUGACUUAAACCAAUGCUCGCAUAAACUUGCUGUAAAAAGAUAUAAUCUCACUGAAAUGCACACGUCUAGAAUGAAUAGAAUUAAAACAGAGAAAAUAUUAAGUAUAUUAGCCCUCUUUACCGAAAAUGAAAUGACAAUAAAUUUUUUGAAGUUUUGAUUUUCUAUGGUCAAUUCCACCUUUUGCAAUUUCUUCUGUUCUAACAAAAACCAAUUUCUUUGUUCAAGUAUUUUCGUUUGGGUAUCAAGGAUCUCUAAUCAAUAGCUGGAAGCAAUUCAGAGGGCGCCGAGACCCGAUCGGACCUAGGCCCAAGUUUGGUCUUAAAGCCUGGGCUUGAGCCUGACAAUUAAAUUAAAACAUUAAUUGAUUUAUUGAUUGAAUUGUCGUGCAAUUGAUUUAUGGAGGAUGAAAAAUCAACAUACUUGAAAAUACACUAAUCUUAGCAUCAUCGGUUAAUAACUUUUAGAUUUAUGGGUAAUCAAUAGUUAAGAUCAGUUGUCAUUUAUUUUUUGAAAUGUCCAUAUUCAGUGUACAUUUGAAAAAGACCCAAUAAUUUCUCAUAAAUUUCAAUUAAAAAUAUUCAAUUUGUUAUUUCAGUUCUUUUAUUUUUUAUUUUUUCCAACAUGAAAGCGACUUAAUGUUACUAAAUUGCUUUUAUGGUCUUUGGAUUUUCAUGACCCAAUAAUUGGAACAUAACAAUUUUCUCAAGCGCUCUCCCGCAACAUUUUAUAAUUGAAGCCGCUGGCCCGCCUGUGGUUCCAAACUUUUAUCUUCCUCCUCCUUUAGAUUAAUGCGAGCAGCCUCCGUCCUUGACUAGUUGACUUCUUUUCUUCUUUUUUAAUUAAUUAAUUAAUUAAUUCAGCCGCCCACCUUUCUUUUCCCAAUGUCUUCUACUUUCGAUUUCCUUUAAUUUUUUCUUUAUUUUUAAAAUAUGAUUAUAGUAAUAAUAAAAAAUAAAAAUAAAAAUAAAAAUGAGCAUAUUGUUAGAGUGCAAUUUAUGCACUAGUUUUGUAUUGUUUACUUCCCUUAAUAUCGAUGUUUUGCACUUAAUAAUAAUGUUUUACUUGUGUUUUACUUUUGUAGGUGCAAUUCUAUUGAUUGAUGAUAAAAUUGAGCUAAAAGAUGAUGUUUAAGGAGGAUUGUUCUCUUGGAAAAAUUUCUGAGCGUCAGAAGAACUUUGUUGAUAAGGCGUGGGCGCGUGCUGUCAACUGCGGACCUGCAGUUUUUAGUUUAACGUGUUUUGUAUUUUUGGUUAUUUUUGUAAUUACGAAUUUAAUAUUUCAGAUAUUAGUAUUUUAUUUUAAAUAGAAUUCUAAAAGAGAAGAGAGAGAGAGUAUUUAAGAGAGGAAUCUAUUGUGAAAAAGGGGGGAUUUUGGAUUGAAGAAAAAGAAACCCUAGAUCUAAUUUUUCUCUUCUCUCUAUGAAGAGCUAAACCUAUUUUUCUGGUUGAAGGAUAACGAAGCUUUGAUUCAUCACUACUGUGAGAUCUUUCUUAUGCUUUAAUUGUUUUAUUACUUUUUGGGUAUUUGUUUAUUCUCUGAAUUAGUUUUAUGAUUAUGUUUGUUAAUUAGGUAAUUGGCCACUAUUUAAUUAUCAACUUAAUCUAUUAUCAAUUAAAGGAUUCAUCGUAUGAAGAAUUUAAUGUUUGUGACAAAUAACAUAGCAGAGAGUUGUGUUGUGAGAAUAAACAAUCUAAUUUAAAUGAAUCAUCAUAUGUGUUGAUUAGGAUUUGGGUCUCUCUGGUUUUUCAGGCUGUCAAUUGAUUAAAUUCUAUGAUCGUAUCUAGGGUUGUCUAUUGAUUAGGGAAAUAACCAACGGUCGUACCUUGGUUAUCAACUAAUUAAGGAGAGAUUGGCUAUUAGAGGGUCUCAGUAGCUAUAACCGGUCUAUUCAUAAGUAAUAAUAAUAUAUAUUUGAAUCAAUGAUCAGUAGUCGAAUCAAGCUGAGUUAAUUCCUUCAACCAGAGCUUUCUCCAAUUUGAAUUACAACUUUAAUUUGCAUUCUUGUUAUUUUAAUUUGAUUUUUAUUAUUGUCAACAAUUCCCCCAUUUUACGUUUUACGUUUCAAAAGGAUUUAAAUAAUUACCGAUCUCUGUGGACACGACCCUGCUCAAUCACUAUACACAAUUUAUUUAGAGUAGGAAUUUAUUUUUGUUGGCUUCGACACCCAUCAAAUUUUGGCGCCGUUGCCGGGGAUUGGUGUCAUUUAUUUAAUCCUUUUUACGUUUUACUUGGUGUAUGGUUCGUUCUUCUCGUACAGGUACACUUUCGUUUGAUCCUGAAAUUGAGAAGACAGCUCGCCAGCUGAGACAGCAGACUAAGCGAGCUAAGCAACGAUCCUUGUCGCCUUUGCUUUCUGAAAUAGAUACAGUACCUGAUUUAGUUGAAUCAUCUAGCGAUUCAGAAGAACAAGUGAUGGAUAGAUCUGCACCUGUAGAAAGAACUCUUAGAGAGUUAGCUGAACCAGACUUGAAUCAACAACCACUCUGCAUUCAAUAUGCAGAUUUGGAGGUAAAUUUUGAAUUAAAGUCUGGUCUUAUUCAUUUAUUACCCAAGUUUCAUGGUUUUGCAGGUGAAGAUCCUCAUAAACAUCUUAAGGAGUUUCAUGUUGUGUGCUCAAGUAUGAGGCCACAAGGCGUGACUGAAGAGCAGAUUAAGCUGCGUGCUUUUCCGUUCUCUGUAGAUGGGCUAGCUAAAGAUUGGUUAUACUACUUGCCUCCUGGAUCGAUUACAACGUGGAAUGGUUUGAAGAAGCAGUUCCUUGAGAAGUACUUUCCUGCUUCAAGAGCUGCCAACAUCAGAAAAGAUAUUUGUGGGAUCAGACAACUUCCUGAGGAGACUUUGUAUGAGUAUUGGGAGCGAUUCAAACAAUUGUGUGCCAGCUGUCCUCAGCAUCAGAUUUCUGAUCAACUUCUUAUUCAAUAUUUUUACGAAGGACUGUCAUUGAUGGAUAGGAGUAUGAUAGAUGCUGCUAGUGGAGGCGUGUUGGUGAACAAGACCCCUACUCAAGCAAGGGAGUUGAUCUCAAAUAUGGCUGCCAACGCACAACAAUUUGGCAGCAGACAAGAUGCCACUUCAAGAACGGUGAAUGAGGUAAAUAUUUCUUCUGUUGAACAACGUUUAGAUAAACUUACUUCUCUUGUGGAAAAGUUUGUUGUAGGUAAUGUGCAACAGGUGAAGACUUGUGGCAUUUGUUACAAUAUGGGUCAUUCAACUGAUAUGUGUCCUACAUUUCAAGAAGAACCCGCUGAACAAGCCAAUGCAGUUGGAGGAUUUCCAGGCAUGCCUCAGAGGAGGUAUGAUCCUUAUGCACAAACAUACAAUCCGGGAUGGAAGGAUCAUCCCAACUUCAGCUAUGAAGUUAGGCCGUCAGGAUUCCCACAACAGUAUCCACCAAGACAACCAACACCUCCACAGUCAAAUUCUAAGUCAGGUAUAUCUCUUGAAGAAAUUGUUAAAUCACUUGCAACUAACACUCAACAAUUUCAGCAGGCAACUACAGUAAGCAUUCAGAACUUGGAGAACCAAAUGAGUCAAUUGGCGACUACAGUGAGCCGUCUGGAGUCUCAAGUAUUAGGGAGAUUGCCUUCACAAUCUGAGGUGAAUCCAAAGCAAAACGUUAGUGCUGUCAUCGUUAGAAGUGGGACGGAGUUGCAAGAGCCUAGUAAGAAAGUGACAAAGCAUGUAGAGGAUGAGCUUGAGAAGAAUGAAUUGAUGCCUAAAUCUCAAGAUGCACAACCCACCAGAGCGAAACCCCUACCUAUUGUGAUACCUCCUCCUUUUCCAAGCCGGUUUACAAAAUCCAAGAAGGAGGAACAAGAGAAAGACAUCCUUGAGACAUUUCGCAAGGUUGAGGUAAAUAUUCCUUUAUUAGAUGCUAUAAAACAAAUACCUCGAUAUGCUAAAGUCCUUAAAGAACUGUGCACCUCCAAAAGAAAAUUAAGAGGAGAUGAAAAAGUUCACAUGGGGGAGAAUGUUUCAGCAGUUCUCCAAAAGAAACUACCUCCUAAGUGCAAGGAUCCAGGUAUGUUUACUAUCCCUUGUAAAAUUGGUAGUGUUAGAGUUGAAAAGGCUAUGUUAGAUCUAGGAGCUUCUAUUAAUGUCAUGCCUCGUUCCAUUUAUUCAUCUUUGAAUGUUGGUCCAUUAAAAGAAACUGGCGUGAUAAUUCAACUAGCUGAUAGGUCUAAUGCAUAUCCUGAUGGGGUAUUAGAAGAUGUCUUAGUACAAGUUAAUGAGUUGGUUUUUCCUGCUGAUUUUUAUGUACUUGAUAUGGAAGAUGAUAACUCCUCUAAUUCUGUCCCAAUUUUGCUAGGAAGGCCUUUUCUUAAGACUGCUAGGACUAAAAUGGAUGUACAUAAAGGGACUCUCACUAUGGAAUUUGAUGAAGAGGUUAUAGAAUUCAAUAUGAAUGAUGCCAUGAAAUAUCCUAGUGAGGAACAUUCAGUAUUUUCUGUGGAUGUUAUUAACCCUAUAGUGCAGGAAGUUUGUUACAAGGAAAAAACGAAGACAUUUCAUGAUAGAAUGAUUUUGAGAAAAGAGUUCUCUGUUGGUCAAAAAGUUCUUCUUUUUCAUUCUAAGCUUAAACUUUUUCCGGGUAAAUUACGAUCUUGCUGGGUUGGACCUUUUAUUGUUACUAAUGUUUUUCCUCAUGGUGCAGUUGAGAUUCGGAGUCCGACCUCUGAAAAAGUUUUUAAGGUUAACGGUCAUCGCUUAAAACCUUUUUAUGAAGGUUUUUCGGUAAAUAUUGUGGAGGAUGUGGCUCUUGAGAGUCCCAAUUAUGGAGAUUGAUGCAUAAAUGUGUCUAGCCAAAGACAUAAAACAAAGGCGCUUUUUGGGAGGCAACCCAAAUGAUUUGUUUAUUUUGGUUUUUGUUAUAUCUUCUUUUAAUUUUGAUUCAAAAAAAAAAAGAAAAAUUUUGCUUAUUUUGGUCAGAAGAAAAUUUUUGAUAAGGCGUGCCCACGUCUUAGCUAAUAAGUACUUCUGUAAUUUUUAAAGUAACAUAGUUUUAAGGCGUGCCCACGUACUUAAUAGAAAAGUACUUUUGAAAUUUAAUGUGUUUGCUUAUUUUGGUCAGAAGAAAAUUUUUUAUAAGGCGUGCCCACGUACUUAUUAGAAAAGUACUUCUGAAAUUUUUAGUGUCUCAAAGUGAUUCAUCACUAAAAAAAAAAAAAAAAAAAAAAUUUUUUUCUUUUUUCUUUUUUCGUUCCUUUCUUUCUUUUUAUUUUUUUAUUUAUUUAAAAAAAAAAACCAAAAAUCGAAAAUCACUGUUCACUAUUCACUGUUCACAAAAUCCCUAAUUUUCCAGAACUUGUUUUCUUCUCCAGCCGCUUGCAGCACACCAGCAGCAAACCAGCCGGCCGGAAAACGCACCAUCCCGUGAGCGCAGCACCAGCAUCCCGUGUCUCGCAGCCCAGCAGCGCGCAACGAAGUCCCACCAGCGAAAGCAGCCGCGCGCAACGCAGCAAGCCCCAGCCAUCACCAUCGUGCGAAAUCAGCAGCAACCGUGCAUGCAACACAUCCCGCGAAGCAGUAGCAGUAACGCCCCGCAACGCAGAUCCUCAGCUCCAGCCCGCGCGCACAGCGCAAAUCAAUCCAGCAAUCACCCUCGUGAAGCAGCAGCAGCAACGCCUCGCAACACAGCCACGCACCAGCAUCCCGCACGCAACCAGCGAUGUGCAACUAGCAACCAACAUCCACAGCCCACGCAUCAGCAGCAGCCGCGCGCAACGCAACGCAGCACCAGCAUCCCGCGCGCAGCAAGCUCCAGCCAUCACCAUCGCGCAGCGCAGCAGUCCCAACGCGCGCGCGCAACACAAUCAGUGCCAUCCCGCGUCCAUCAAGCAAGCUCCAGCCGAGCAGCAAUCGCAACGCAACCAGCCUACGACCUGCAUUCCAGGCGCGUGAAUCGAAAUCCGUGACAAGAUGGAGCAGAAUUUGGCCGCAUACUUCAAGAGUGUGGGAUUUAUCCCACCAUUCCCGCCAAACCCAUAGACGUUAUGAGGAUCAAAGCUCACAAUUCAGGGAAGUUUCUUUUUGCCCUUAAUCUUUUAUCCUUACGCUUUAAUUUUUAUGUGAGCUUUGAUUAUCUUACAUUGGGGACAAUGUAAGUUCUUGGUGUGGGGGAGGGAUUUUUGCAUUAUUGAUGUCUGGAAUUAUUGUUUUCACUCUACUCAUCUAUUUUCACUCUACUCAUCCUUAAAUGAUUUUGGAGUUAGUAUGCUUCAUAUAUUAUUAUUCUUCUUUUCUUUUCUUUCUCACUACUUUUUUCCCAUCUAUCUCAAACUAUUCAUAUCUAUUUUUAUUUUACCAUACUCUUUCAUCACUCACAUUUUAUCUUUCACUUUUCAUAUUACUACAUACAUCUUUCUCACUUCUUAUCAUUUUUACCUUUUCUUUUAUAUAUCACUCAUACUUUCUUCUCAUUCUACACCACUAUUGAUGGUUGAUUCAUUUGAAGAGUGUACAUGAUUUGAUGGCAAAUUUACCAACUUUGUGAGGAUUUGAGCCUAUGAGCAACCACUUUGCUAUAAUAUUUUUGUUAUGUGAAUAUCAAUCUUAGUUUGUUUAUUCGAGAACUUGCUUUGUUAUGCAUGUUGAAGCCGCAUUACGAGAUUUUAUGCAUUAAAAUGAUAAGGGCAAACCCUUUUCCAUUUUUCUAUUCUCGCAUUUUUUUUUCUCUACCCGAAGACCUUUAUUUGCUAUCUUUGUUUGAGCCUUAACCAUUACCCAUCUAAUUUUCUCCGUCUACUUAACCAUUUUUCUUCUUUUUGAGCCUCAAUUUAAGGAGAUUUUUGGACUCAUUGUGUGGAUAUAUUUUGUUGCUUUUUCUACCUUGUAAUAAAGUUUCUCAAUUAGAUCAACAAGCAUUAUGCUUGAAUUAAAUUGUGCAAGGUUCAUUUCCUUGUUUUGAUUCAAAAAAAAAAACAAAACAAAAAAAAAGAAAAAGAAAAAAAAGAGGAAAAAGAAAAAAAAAGAAAAAAAAAGAAAAAUCGAAAAAAAAGAAAAAAAAUGUUUACAUUCUUGGUGACUUGAGUAGAAAUAAGCAUUUUGAUAUCAUAAGUUCAUUCAAUGAGUUCAUUCUUCUCAUUUUGAUCUCUUUUUCUUUCGUAAACCUUUCUUUUUCAUUCAACCUAUUUAACCCCAUUACAACCCUUUUAAGACCCUUAGAUUUUUGCAAUUUUAUUCAUGUUUUGUGGAUUGAGAUGUGAUAUAUGAGCAAGCUUAUGGUAAUAGCAUUCUUUGAUUUGAUUUGAGUGAAUAAAUGACACCCUAAACACUUUGAGUGCAUAGAGUGAAGUUAUUGAGAGGGCUAUUACAUCUUGUUGCACUUGAAUUUUGAAUGGAUCUUCUUGGUGGUUGAAUGUUCUUAUUCUAUCUUAUGAGAUUCUAUGCUUUAAAAUCCUUGUCUCUCGAAUGUUGAUCGACUUAAUUUCUUGAGGUAUGCUUGCUUAAAAUUAUUUUUGGAUGAGUUGAGAUGAGAAUUGAGUGGAGAUUUGGGAUUAAUCUUGAGUUAUAUGCUUGAGGACAAGCAUCAUCUUGGUGUGGGGGAAUUUGUUAGAGUGCAAUUUAUGCACUAGUUUUGCAUUGUUUACUUCCCUUAAUAUCGAUGUUUUGCACUUAAUAAUAAUGUUUUACUUGUGUUUUACUUUUGUAGGUGCAAUUCUAUUGAUUGAUGAUAAAAUUGAGCUAAAAGAUGAUGUUUAAGGAGGAUUGUUCUCUUGGAGAAAUUUCUGAGCGUCAGAAGAACUUUGUUGAUAAGGCGUGGGCGCGUGCUGUCAACUGCGGACCUGCAGUUUUUAGUUUAACGUGUUUUGUAUUUUUGGUUAUUUUUGUAAUUACGAAUUUAAUAUUUCAGAUAUUAGUAUUUUAUUUUAAAUAGAAUUCUAAAAGAGAAGAGAGAGAGAGUAUUUAAGAGAGGAAUCUAUUGUGAAAAAGGGGGGAUUUUGGAUUGAAGAAAAAGAAACCCUAGAUCUAAUUUUUCUCUUCUCUCUAUGAAGAGCUAAACCUAUUUUUCUGGUUGAAGGAUAACGAAGCUUUGAUUCAUCACUACUGUGAGAUCUUUCUUAUGCUUUAAUUGUUUUAUUACUUUUUGGGUAUUUGUUUAUUCUCUGAAUUAGUUUUAUGAUUAUGUUUGUUAAUUAGGUAAUUGGCCACUAUUUAAUUAUCAACUUAAUCUAUUGUCAAUUAAAGGAUUCAUCGUAUGAAGAAUUUAAUGUUUGUGACAAAUAACAUAGCAGAGAGUUGUGUUGUGAGAAUAAACAAUCUAAUUUAAAUGAAUCAUCAUAUGUGUUGAUUAGGAUUUGGGUCUCUCUGAUUUUUCAGGCUGUCAAUUGAUUAAAUCCUAUGAUCGUAUCUAGGGUUGUCUAUUGAUUAGGGAAAUAUCCAACGGUCGUACUUUGGUUAUCAACUAAUUAAGGAGAGAUUGGCUAUUAGAGGGUCUCAGUAGGUAUAACCGGUCUAUUCAUAAGUAAUAAUAAUAUAUAUUUGAAUCAAUGAUCAGUAGUCGAAUCAAGCUGAGUUAAUUCCUUCAACCAGAGCUUUCUCCAAUUUGAAUUACAACUUUAAUUUGCAUUCUUGUUAUUUUAAUUUGAUUUUUAUUAUUGUCAACAAUUCCCCCAUUUUACGUUUUACGUUUCAAAAGGAUUUAAAUAAUUACCGAUCUCUGUGGACACGACCCUGCUCAAUCACUAUACACAAUUUAUUUAGAGUAGGAAUUUAUUUUUGUUGGCUUCGACACCCAUCACAUAUUAAAAUAUAAUUUAUCAGAAAACCAAGAUAAAGAAAUAUUAUAAGCACAUCAAUCAAAAAGUGAAAAAAAAAACAAUUUUAAUUUACAUUAAAUAUAAACUUUUAGUGUUAAUCAAUUUUCUAAAUAACUGAAAUUAUUUAAAAAUAAAAAUAAAUUAUUCUUCCCAAAAAAAAAAAAAAAUUACACCCACUCACUGGGCUGUCUGUUAAGAGUCGCUUUAAGGACUGAAGUUGGUAACUUUUUGCAAGUAGUCUUAAGUUGAAUGGCAGCCGCCCACGCUUUAUGUUUGCUAGCCUAGACCUGAUCGGGUCUAGGCCCAAGUUUAGUCUUAAAGUCCAGGCUUGAGCCCGAAAACUAAAUUAAAAAAUUAAUUGAUUUAAUCGUUGUGUAAUUGAUUUAUAGGGGAUGAAUCAGCAGCAUCAUCGGUUAAUCGCUUUCAGAUUUAUGGUUAAUCAAUAGUUGAGAGUUGUUAUCGCCCUGUAUUUUCUUAAUGUUUUUUUUCUCUCUUCCACAGCAUCUUCUAGGAAAGUGCAUCCAUUACUAAAAUUUAGUAUUGUAAAUAAUAAACCAAGUAUAAACAUUAAAUCUAAGAAAUUGUAUUGCAUUUAAUAUUCAAGGGAGAAAAAGAACUAUGGUGCAUUUAUUAACCAGUAAUGAGAAAAGACUAGAAUCAGAAUAUAUUAGAAUUAUAAUGAACCGUAUUAUGUGUUUAUUUUAUUUUAGACUCGAAAUUAAUUAUUUUAAGUUAUUGAAAUACCCUUGAUUUGUUAUCCUAAUUAUUAUUAUUUAAUAUUUAUUGUAAUAUUUUUCAUAUUACUAAAAAGUAGUAAUAAUAAUGAUAAUAUUGGAAUUGUUGUUUUUUAUAUUAUUAUUAUUCAAAACACUUCUUGUUAGCCCAUUCAUACGUGCAGACCAAAACCAAAUCUCUUCUUCUCCUUCUUUUCUUAUAGUGCAGGAUGUGUGUGCUCGGACUUCUCUCUCAUUCUUUUUUCUUUUUAGAUUUUGAAAACCUAAAAAAAAAAGAGUGUAGGAGUUUUUAUUUUCUUAAAACAAGACUUUUUGAAUUAUCCAAUUAAGUUAAAUUCGGUGGCAUCUGGUAUUUACAUUUCUUGUUUUUUUCGCAAGUUAUUAUUGCCUAAUGCUAUGUCAACUCUAACAUUAGCAUUUUUUUUUUUUGGUCCUCUUUUAACACCAAACAUUAGUAUAGGUUAAGUAACAUAAUCAGUACUGGGACAAUUUGAAAUCCCUUUGUGUUUUAUUCACAGUAUCUAUGAGGGCUUAUCCUUUUGCUAGAACAAACUCUAGCAAAUUGUCAAAUGUGCUUAUCUUUUCCCUUGACGACUCAUUUUAAAAUUGUCUUUCAAUGUACAAACACAUACAUAACCGCCGACAUCGAGCACCAAGUUUGGAAUUUAAUUGAUAAGCAUACAUUUGAUAAAUUAAUGAAAAGUUUGGGAGAGUAGUUUUGAUCACCCUCGAUUAGGGUGGUAUCACGGAAAAGAUGAAAAAAAAACAUCGUCUCUUCUUCAACAAAAAUAAAUAUUUUCCGUUGGAAUCUAAAUACAAAAUAAUUGUUUUUUAUUUUUUGAAUUAAAAUUUAAUUAAAUACACAAAUAAUUUAUAUAUUUUUUAAAAAAAAUUUACACCCAGUCACAAGGCUGGCUAUUAAACUUAAAGGGUGGAAGCUUCGGAGACUAAAGUUGGUAACUUCUCCAAGUGGUCUUAUGUUGACUGGAACUACCCAGAAUUUAUGUUUGGUAACCUAGACCUGAUCGGACCUAGGCCCAAGUUUGGUCUUAAAGUCCACAAUUAAAUUUUAAAAAAAUUAAUUGAUUUGUAAUUGGUUUAUGGGAAAUGAAUCAGCAUACCUAAAAUAACACUAAUCUUGACAUAAUGACAUCAUCGGUUAAAAACGUUCAGAUUUAUGGUUAACCAAUGGUUUGAGAUUUGUUAUCAUUAAUGCUAAAUAUUUUUUAACAUUUUUUCUAUCUCUCUCUCCUUAAGGAUUUUCUAGGAAAAUGCAUCCACAACAAAAAUUUUAAAUUGUGAACAAUAAACAAAGUAUAAACGUUAAAUCUAAGGAACUGCGUUGCAUUUCAGUUGAAGCUAACUUUAAUAUUUUACGGAGAAAAAUAAUUAAGUUUUUAAUGUGAUUUAUUU
rnacentral:lncRNA from 1 species